rnacentral:lncRNA from 1 species
CUAAUGACUGAUAGGGAUACAGUAGACAAACUCUUAACAUGAUUGCUGUUUUGGAAACAAAAAGAAAGACUUUCAGCUGACAGUGAGCCUCGUUGGAGUGCAGCAGUUUCACUCAACCUGUGUUCCUCAUCCCCGCAGCAAUCCCAUUUAUUGUGAUAAGCAAGGCAUCUCUGAGUUUAUUGUUAUCAUCGUCACGUCUCAACCUCCUCAGUAUCUCAACCUGCAACAUGUUCAUUGGAUUGAGAAAAGGAAGCCGGCUCUCAAUCAGUCUCCUCAAGCUUCGAUUAUUCUGAGAGAGUUUAUCAUGCCCAGUAACCACCAAGACAAACUUCCCUGUUGUCAAGAGCUCCCUCCUUAGGUCAGCACCAAGCUCUUGCCUACUUGGUGACACAAGAACUUCAUCAUAAUGCUUGGCUAUGGUAAUAUCCGCUUUCCCUAAGACCAUCUCUAUAAGGUCAAUGGUAGAUUGGAAGAAAGGCCAUUCUUUAUACAUUGCGAUUAGGUCUUCUUUAUGCCCCUUCUCACAAACACCCUUUAAACCUGACCCAACUCCAAGCCAGGCAGGAAGGACAAAUCUGGUUUGAGUCCAUGCAAAUACCCAUGGAAUUGCACGAAGAUGUCCAAUUCCUGUUGAGCUCUUUCUUCUUGUGGGUCGGCUUCCUAUGUUAAGGAAACCAAGCUCAGCCUGUGGUGUAGCUUCAUGGAAGUAGGCUAGGAAUUCUGGGUUUUCAUAAACUGUACUCCUAUAACAUUGGCCACUGAUUUUCGAGAUCUCCUCCAUUAGAUUCCGCCAUUUUUCCUCCCUAGGUGGAAGUGGAGGCCGCAUGGUUGCAAGCAGCACAGCAGUCGUGUAUAUUUCUAGUUGCCGCACAGCCGUGUGUGGUAACCCAAACUUAGCUUGAACCAUCUCUCCUUGCUCAGUUGACCGGAGAGUACCCUGCCAAUUCAAAACAAAAAACCCAAUGCGAUUUAGGAGGGAGUGCUAUCCCUUCUGAGAAUAUAACCUUCUGUUCUUAACCAUUGAAAGCAAGGUCGUAAACUCCAAUGUGGAUUAUAACUUGGGUCAAUUUGGAUAUCAAAUGAACUCAAGGAAUUAAAGGAAAUUUAUGAAGUUCAAAAGAGAAACAACAAUUCAAGCCGUGCUUAUAGUUUUCUACUACAAGUUCCUUUCAAAAUUCAGCCACAUUGGUUAGGGUUCUCAUAAAAGCUUAUUAAAUUUCCCAAGUUUUCAAAACUGCAGUUAGAUGUUUCCUCAAAUGUUGUACCCCACACAAGUUCCAGACCAAAGAUCAUUGGUUAGUUAAGGAACUAGCAUAUCCUUUUCCUAGUUUUAGAAUGGAGUAGGAAGUGUAGUAACAAAGCAAAUGGAGAAGGAAAACAUAAAAUUGUUGAUUGAAAAAAUGGAAAAUAAAGAUUAGUUAUUUUUUGAGGUGCUGAACUUAAUUGAUAACUCACCAUUACAGAACCAGGUGGUUGGGAUUGAAUGGCAAGAUAUGUAGGGCCACCACCACGACCUAUACUCCCUCCACGCCCAUGGAAGAGAGUAACUUUAAUCCCAUACUCAUUGCAUGCAGCUACAACAUCCUCUUGUGCUUUGUAAAGUUCCCAAGCAGCAGUGAAGCGCCCAGCAUCUUUACCAGAGUCAGAGUAUCCAACCAUCACCUGUUCACAAUAACCAUAAUAAGCUCAUGGAGAAGUGAUCCUAAUGCUUUUUGUUGAUAAAUACCUCCUGGUGCCCAUUAUGGUUCUUUAUAAUAUGCUCCCGGUACCAAUCUAUUGAUAACAAUUUCCUGAUCACUGCCCCAGCUCCCCUCAAGUCCUUCACAGUUUCAAAUAGAGGAACCACCCGUAGCCUAUUCCAAGAUAUAUGAAAAUUUAGUAAGAAUUAUAUCUUGUUUGUGCAACAAUGUAAACCCCAGUAAGGCUGAAAAUGCUAAAUUCUUUAAUCCCACAUAUUAUGCUAUGAAUACAUAGAUAUUUUUCUUAAUUUUCAUUUUUCUUAAGUGCUUGUUUGCUUUUUCCCCAGGAGUAGUACUCUAAGCUAGUCCUAUUAUCCAUCUUUUAAUCUGUUACUGCAGGAAAGUUCAGUGUAUAAACUCACAAUCCUACCCAAUAUGACAGUAACAUCAAGAUGAGAAUCAUUUUCUUUAGGGAGAUGGAUUCCCAAUCAACUACUUUUAUUUCUCUGUUUUGUUCAGAUUCCCUUAACCAUAGAACAAGUCCAAAAGCACAAAUUUGACUUGUUAAAAUCUAUCAAGAGGGAUUUCUAAGAUUGCCUAUCAAUGGAGUGAUGGUAGUGAUCUUACGUUCCACCAGAACAUGGUCUGCCCAGCUCCCCACAAACAGCAAGUCGGGCAUCUUUUUGCAGAAGCUCCACAGCAAGGACAUCGCUUGCCUGCAAGGCCAACGGUAUGGUUAUAUCAAUAUAUCAAAUUUGUGUUAUGUUUGUGUAUUAAUAACGCCUCAGAGAAUUCGGAAAUGAAAAUAUGCAUCAGUAAUCCCUCUGAGAACAAAGAAUCAAAAGAAACUCAAGUACUGCUCCUCAUUAUGUAGCUUUAAUACCAAAUGCCGAACUUUUGUUGGUAAUAAUCAUAAAUUUUGUGCAGAAAAUUUAGGAAUAACUAAUCAUACAUUGGAGGCCAUAGAAAUCACAUAUGCUCCAAAUGAAUCACUCCCUAUCUCAGCAGCAACUCGGAAGGUAUCCAACACUUCUUUAACAUCAGCAACAACCUGAAAAGACCCAAUAAAGCAAAAAUAUGAAGCCAGAAAAGAAGGGUGGGGGGGACAAAUACAUGAUAUGGUAGGGACCAUUCAAACACCUUAAUAAACUUCAAAAUUUGCUCACACAUGUGAUACUGGAUCACCUACACAGUACUAAGUUUAUCCGAGAAGUUCCUCGAUAACAUUCUAUACCUGUGGCACUACCAAUUUCAAGACAUCUGAAAAUAUAAAAAUAAUUUUUUUUUUUUAAAUGUACAUCUAAAAAUCCCAAGGGAAAACCCAAUUUACCAUUAACACAUGGAAGAACAAGGAAGGGAGCCAAAGUAUCAGAAUAUAAAAAUAAGACACCUUAUUGAGAAUUUUUAUAGUGUUUGUUUUCUCAAGGUAAGCUACAAAAGCGUUUUACAACAAUGAUAAAAUGUUUUAAGGAGCCCAAUAAAAAGGAUUUCAUACUACCAUCAUUUGGAAAUGAUGAUAAACCACAUCCUAUGUUUUCACGUCUCAGAAAAACUAUAGAUGAAAUAUAAGCCACUCAAUAGUGGUGACUUAACUUCAGAUUUUUUAAAUCCCUAUGACAUUGCAAUAAUCAGGAAAACAGUUAGAAAACCAACAUUUCAACUGUUUACACAUUUUAAAUAUUAUUUUAGAUUGGGAUCAUCAUAUCAAAUCACCAUACUUCUAUAGUUGGAGGAACCAGAGGCCUCUUCCCUUUCAGCUCUCUUGUCAGAAAAUCCAGUUUUCUUUCUUCAUCCCACUCACUAUAUAUACCCAUAUCCAGGUAACUUGUAAUUGCAUCUAGUGUUUCAGCAUGCCUAGCAGAUUCCUGUCCAUUGCACAAAUGAAGUUAAACAAAUAACCUAUAAACAUUGCAGCUUAUAACCCAAAACAAAACAUACCUGGCGCAAGUCAAGCUUCAUUAAUACCAUUCUAAAGGUAGCAACUCUUCGGAUGAGAUCAGCAAGCCGACCAUCAGCUAGGAUACCAGAUCCACAUGAUUGCUGCAAACAUUGAUAAUUUUACAUCAAUGAUAUAUACCAAUAUAAAAACCUUAACACAAGAAAAUGAAGCUAGUUGACUUAAAUACCAUAGAUUCAUGGCACAGCAGUAGUGGUUCCAAGAGUUCGUCUGCUGUUUCAUAGUAAUCCCCAGGAUCAUGUUCGCAAGGAAGAUCCUCAAGAAGAAGCUCCAACCGUCUUUGUGUUUUCAUAAGCUGAAUUGAUGCAACAUACACAAACAUUUACUCUUUCAUCAUCAUUAAGGUAACAUAAAAGGUUAGAAUGCUUCAGCCUUUGUAAAUAAGAAAAACAACAACCAUGCAAUAGCAAUCAAGAGAAUCAAAAUGGCAUACUCACUCCUCAAAAGCAUUAUCAUUGUACAGUUGCAAACUAUGUCAAAAAGAUGCUUCAACAACUUAUCACCCAUUUGAAUAAUUUCAGAUUUUUAGAUUGGCUGCAUUUAUUUAAAUCCUGCUCUGUAGUCAUAUCACUGUUUUGUUUUGUAGGGAAAAAAAUAAUAUUUUUUCAUGCAUUUGUUUUGGCAUCAAAAUAAAAGCACUGAAAAAGAAUAGUGAGAAGGGUAGCCAAGCACCCUUUCUUAUCUUCAAUACUGUUUCCUGACCUAAAAGUUAUGUAUCAUUUUCUGUCUUAAUUUUUAAUGUUUUUUGUCCGAACAAAACCCAAGACCAAGAGAAGAUGCAAAACCAAGAAUUAAAGUAAUGUCAACCAAAUAUAGAGCUUGAACCACCAGAGUGGUUGGAUUCUUCUACCAGGAGAUUCUAUCCCAGUUUCCUUUCAUUUUACUGUGCAUUCCUAAAAUAUGUGUCCCAAAAUAUUUCCUCUCAAAAGCGCAUCAAAAGUCAUCAUUCUGAAAAACAGACUGAGACCAUGAAAAUGUCAAAUUAGAACCAGGCAUAUCAUGGGCAAAUUGCUUCUCCUAUGCCAGUCACAGGCAAUUUUAUUCUCUAUCAAGACCAACAGCACAUAAGUUUUCAAUACCAGCUUCACCAUGUAACUAAUGACCACAUAUUGAUUAUUGGCGUUCCUAAAUAGGAAAGGAUUACCUUGUCUUUUACAUUUCCAAGAACAAUCCUAUAAGGAGCAAUUCCAGGACGUUGAGGUAGGCUUGGCUCCAGAAGCUUCUGGAAGCUGGACCUUCCCAACUGAGAUUCUGAAAAUAGUUUCCUCUGAGAAAGGAGUUGACCAGAGCUGAAAGAAACAGUUCGGGGUGUCGCAGCUGACUGAGAAUUGCUAGAAUUAGCUACAGUUCCAUUUCCAUAUGUUUUGCCAAAGUCCUUAUUGGAAUCCUGGAAUGAAGUAUCUGAACUUGAAGCAGCCUUAACAUCCUAGAAAUUUAAAAAUAAAAAAGAACUCCAUAAAUAUUUGCUAGAGAGGAUGCAGAGGUAGUAGAAGGAAGAACCAUAGAAGGUAAACAAAUGCCACAUAAAAAUAUAAGCUUUCCUAAAAUUUGUUUCACCUGACGAUUCAAUGGCAUGUAAUCAGUUCCAGGAAAUUCUAAUUUGGGAUACUUAGAUUCCCCAUCCUUGCAUUCUACAUGGAGGAAAAAAAAAUGAACUAUCAACUGUAUUCAUAUGGAUUAGCAAUUACAUGAAAUGCAAGAUCAAACAAAGAAUUAGUGAAAGCACAGUUAUGAAAUGCAGGCAAGAAACAAUCACUUUGCCAAAACAUAUGCCACAAGGAAACUGUUGAGAAUGGACAAAAAUAACAGUUAAUUUGCACUGUAGACCCUGAACCCAAUGAUCCUUAAAAAGAAAGGAUAGACUCCAGUUUGGGCUUAAGGUUUAGCGUUGAUCAGGACCAAAAGAAAUUCCAUAGUUUGAAAGCAUGCACUUAUAUCAUUGUAAAGAAAUAGUUGAAAUCUUGAAACAAAGAAAAUAGAAAUUGGAAUAUAGCCUUGAAACUUCAGAAAUUUUGUCAAACAUUCACCAAAAGUUAUCACUGGUGGAGGGCUAUUAAGCAGAAAUAGAAGUUCAACAACAACGUGGCUAUGAUGUGGCAAGUCCAAUCAUUCACCAAAAACAUCAGAAGUGUGUUUACCAUCAAUUUUAUCACAAGAAAACUAAAAUAAAUUUUUUGAACUUGUAGGAAUCAAUGGAACAAUUAAAGGGAGAGCAGAAUGUGUAUUUAAAUACUAUGGAUAAUGAAUAUAACAGAAAUAGAAUUUCUUUUAGUCAAACCUUGGCAAACUCCUCAUAUUCAAUAAUGAAACAUAAAAUCCAACAUUCAUCCAAAAAGCAACAUAUGUUCAAAAAAAAAGUAUUACACAGUCGCACUAAGGUGCACUUGCACUUGCACUUACACUUGCCACUAAGUCAACCUGGGGUGUUCCCCAAGGAACAAACAAAACUCUUUCAGAUGAAUAGAACAUCGUAAGCAACAAGAGAUCUCAAAAAGUUUUUAAACAGAAAAGUGCCAAAACCAUUUUCUGACCUGUGCAAGAGGGUAGGUCAGCUCCUGCAGGAAGUUGUCUUGGAAGGGUAGGACCUAGCUGACUGUAAGGUUUCAGUUGGCUCCUGUUCAGUGGUUGGUUCCGACUCUCAUUCCGAUCAACUGAUGAAGUUUCUGGAGAAAAAUUUUGACCACUAUCAAACCAUAGAAGCAGCUCAAAAGUAUUCUAGUUGGAGCCUCAUAUAAUUCAAAGAGAGAUCCUCUGUUCAUAUUUGUAGUAGAAAAAUCAAUAUAAACAUACAGGAGUUGUGGACUUUUAGUGUAAAAACGCAUAUCCUCAAACAGAAAAUUUAAUGUAAAAAGAUAUUUAGCCUCACAACUUAUGAUUAUCACUCAUUGAAUUUUAAAUGCAUUUUUCGGGGUGACAAUCCCGUAUCUGGAUUUUCAAUCUUGAAAUCAAACAUGGUUAGAUCAUAAACUAAGAAACUAAUCUCUUAAGCACAUAAGUCUACAUAAUAUCAAAUAUUCUAGGUUCCAAAUGACUCUGGGCUCCUCUGGACGGUUUUUCAUUUUUUCUUUUUUUUUUAUUUUGCUAAUUGAAUAACCUUCCAUGGUCAAGCCCUUAGGACUCUCCAUGGGGACCCAAACCUCGGGGUGUUGACCACCCCACAACAACCAACACCUAGUAAAUUCAAGGUAUCAUCAGUGGCAAGAUUCGAAUCUAAGACCAUAUGUCACUUACUAGGACCACACUUGCCAGUGUUCGCCCUAACCAACUGAGCCACCCUGGCAGGUGACGGUUCCUCCUAUGCUUGUGAACAAGCCAAUUGUCAACAACAGGUCUGACGAGAGGGGACAUCUAUAAAAAUAAAAGCAGGACAAACAGAAAUAACAAUUACAAUAUCCAAAAGUAUUCCUCAAUGCACCAAAUUUCAGUAGAAACUUUGACAAGCCAAAGCCAAACCUUUUUCUAAAAUUUCAUGUGCCAAUCUGGACAAGCUAUCACUGCAACGGUUCAUGGAAAGUUCAAAUCUGAGGCUAUCAACUUCCCGGAUGUAGAGAUCAAUAGCCAUCCACCUAGAUAAAAGAGAUACGUCUCGGGUGACCUGAAACAACAGACAACUAUCUGCUAUAACAACUACUAUGAGAAAAUAAAACCAGUCCUAAUUGGUUUUAUAAUGAGCUAAAAGUUGCAGUAAACAAACCAGCUUCUCUCAUUUACGAACUAAGUAAUUUCUUUUCCUCAUGUGCAAAUCAAAAAAGGAAGCAAUGGGAAUGUUUGGUCUCUUGAAGAAAUAUAGCAUUGAAGAAAGAUUUUGCAUAAUAUGGAAACAAAACACAUCACAUCAAACUUCGACUAUAAUUGUUCUCUAUAUUUUGAGAUUAAGCUUAACAAUAUCCAUGAUCUAGAUGGAAAAAUAAUCCAUCAAUCCUGAGGAAAAAAGACAUGAAACUAGAAAAGAGAAUCCAGUAGAAAAUUUUCUUUCCAUCCCCCUGUUUUAAGACAAAACUACACACACCCACACCAAAAUGCAAGCAGGAGGGUACUAUCAAAACACAAUUCAGCACGCCCAUGCAUCACAUGUGUCAUUUGAAAUGACAAAACAACUCUCAACAAGGUGAACUUUGUUUCAUCAUUUAGAUCUUCUACCUCAACAAAGUCACAUAAUUUCACCAUUAUCAGAUUGUUUACUUUUAUAAGCUAAAUUAAAUUAAUAACCAUCUAAAGAGGGAGAUUUAACCAUAUACAAGGAGCAGACAAUUCACCAAAGGCAUCAAUGUCAGAAGCCUCACCUCUGCAGUUACAUUUGGAUUUCCAUCUCUAUCACCUCCCAUCCAAGAUCCAAAUUUUAUUGGUGUGCAAGUCAAUGGAAGCGACUUCCCAGUGUGCUGAAGGGACAAAAUACAGAGCAAAUUGUAUGAUAAUGAAAACCAUGAAACAAAGUAUAUGAUCCAUCAAAUCUAGCGGCUAAAGAUUGAAGACAAACCUUCUUUAGAGCAUUGCUAACACGGCGUAAAUAAUGAGGUACAGCUCUCCAAAGAGACUGCUCCACAAUGUUCAAUCCUGGGAGAAUAGAGUAAACAUCUUUUACCAAGAAUCAAAGCAUAAAAUUUUAAAGAUAUAUAAAGCUCUGAGUCAUUUACCAGCCCUAGCUUCAUCAACAACAGUAGGUUUCUGGCGCCUAAGCUCAUCUGUCUGCCAUAUGGAAGUUAUCUCUCUCACCUACAAAAACCAGAACAAACUGUUAUACAUCAGUGGAAGAUAUUAAUUAUAUGCAAUGGUUUUCCUGCAUUAUUAUUAAGCGACAAUUACCAGAUCUUCAAUCAGCAUUUCCCGGUCCUCAUGACCAAGAUUAGGUCGGUCAUUAUAGUCUAAAAGAUGCUGCAAGACAAAGUUCAGAAACAAGGACAAAACAGUAAACACAAUUAACAAAUUACAUAUUUAUGUAUUAGUAAAAAUCAAUUAGCAUCAUUAACAAACAUACGGCAAUUCUGAUGUGUUUGUAUUGUAAAGUACGUCUGUUGAUCUGUGUGGGAUGUGCAGUAAGAACGAUCUCAACCUCCUGCAGCAACAAAAAGCUAGUAAUAAAAACCAAUUCUACAGGAUUUCACAGCUCAUAAAACAUGAAUAUACUAAAAUUUGAAACACUAUUAAGCUCCAAUUUAUUGCAUAAAUAAAAAGGAAAUUUAUACAUUUUUUUAUUUAAAAAAAAAAACAAAAUUGUGAAACUUAAAUUCUAUCUUGCCUGGAAAAAACCACAAGAAGAUUGAGACAAAUAAUUCGCUCAGUAGGUGCAAGCUUUUCACUUGCAGUAAAAACAGAGUAAGUUUCUGUAACUCUUUUCUUUUGCUCACUUUUCUUGACAAUCAAACAAGGAGUACCAGAAAAUUGAAAGUGAAAGAGAAAACUAUACAACACCUGCUUGCAAACAGUAUUAUAAAGCUCCUCAGGAGAAACUCCACCCUGCAACAGCUGAUUAAAAAUGUCAUCACAAGAUUUUGACAUAUGUGCCACAUUUCGUGCCUUACGUAAUCUGCAUCAAGAAAAUCAGAAAAAAUGGAGUUUUCUUUAGUGAUAUGAGAUCUGAUUGUAGCAAGAAUCAAAGAUUGCGGAUAGUUCUUUUUUUUUUCCGAGUAUCGUUUUCUUUUUCUACCAAUAUUCCUGAUCACUAAUCAGGGCACCUCCAUCAUCAAGAUAAAAGAGUGAAUUCUUCCUUCCAGAAAAUUACGCAAGGCAAAUAAAAAAUUAGAGACAAAUUCAAAAAUGCAGUUUUGUUUAACAAAACCAAACAAACAAGCAUAAAAAUUAUAAAAAAUUAAUUUGAUCUUUUCCAAGAACAAUUUUCUUUUCCAAAACCUUACAAUCAAACAUAAUAAAUAGCACAGCAUGGAAGACAGCACCUGAAGAUUUUUCUGAAAAUUGCAGUUCCUCAUGCAUUCAUUUUCCAAUUUGUUUUUUAAAGAAAACCCAAACAAUUGAAAACCACUCAUUGCCACAUGUUGCUGCAUUAUUCAUUCACAAACUUCCUGAAAUUUCUCGAAACUACUGAGAAUGAAUGUCAGCAACCUAAACCAAACACGCCUGAAUUGUCAAUACAGCAACAAUGAAUCCAUUUCAGCUCAUCAGAACAACUUGCGACACCUAAGGCGAAUGAUGGUGAAGCUGAAUUACCUAUGGUGAGUUUCGGCGAUACCCAUCAGAUUAAGAUAAUGGCUGAAUGCUCGAGCGAGGGUUAACGCUUCCUCCAAAUUCAUUUGGGAUAUCUCCGAUAUGAGCUGCUUCUCAAGCAGCUCAGCAGUGUCCUCGAUCCCUGACGCCCUCAUAUUGCAUGCACUCUGAAAGUACAAACCACCCAGAAACAACCAUCAUAAAAAAGCACCUUUUUCUCUUUUUGGAUGCUCAGAAAAUGAAGAGAAAGAACAAAAAACAAAAUUGUGAAGCACGACGAUCGAGUACAUAAAACCAAAAAGAAACAGACCUCCACCCAACUAAGCUUCACUACACAACCUUUUAGCUGACUUAAGUAGAAUUUUCACUUUUUGGAAACCACAAAACGAAAAAACACAGACCCCAGAUCUCCUUUUCUCCUUUCCUUCCAUUUUCCUCUGUUUUCCCAGCAACCAAACAAAGAGCCAGAAAAACCAGAAUUCGAAAGAAAAGACAGAAACCCAGAAAAUAAAUAAGAAAAAAAAGGAAUGAAUCCAAGGAAUCUCCAACAAAACAACUAAAUGAAGACGAUCCAGAGCAUGAACUGGAACUUCAGAGAAGAAGAGUAAAAGCAGGGAGAAAACAAAGAAACGGGUAUGGCAGAGCGACCUGAGCAAGGAUCCGAUUCCUUUCAACUUUUUCCAUGAAAUUGCUUCCCACUUCCCUCUGCAACACCUCGUUGAGAAGACUACCCAGCAACCUACAAUCGUCAUCAAAGCUCUGAAAAGAGAUUUCCUCAGCAAUAUCAUCUGUGGUGUCCGUCAUUGUUGAAGCAACACAACACUCCAAAAACCACAAAUAGAGAGACUAGAGAGAGAAACGGAGAAGAAAGAGGGAGAAAAAAAAAAACGGAGCUAGAGAGAGAGAGAGAGAGAGAGGUGGCGAUGGAGAAGUGUGGGAAGGGAGCUAGCCUCAACUACGAGUUUUCUGUUGGUUCCUGUUUGGAUGUGGGGCCGAGCUUCACCGUACAAUCCACCGCGGAUAUUCCGCCAUGUGGCUAUCACAGCGAUAUCAGUGGUAAGCUCUGGGUCCUUCAACUUUCUGUCGUCUCCCACCACCACCUGAUUCAAUACCUCCAUGGACUUCUAGACAUUAUUACACCCAUACAAGGCAUUAUACCCAUGGAUUCUCCUUACAGAAAUCAUAUCUUCUCUUUUACUUCAAUGCUUUAAGUAUCAGUCUCUUAUUUAAAAAAUACAGCAAUUCCCUCCUCCAAUCUCAUAGGUGUUUUUCACGAUGAUUCUAGAAAGCGUUUUCAAAUAGUAUUUCUAAUUUUUUUUAAAAUUUAAAAGAUAAAAAUUUUUAAAUAUUAAAAAAAAUUAAAAAUAUUUUUUAAAAUCACCCUCUAGCAAAUUCUGAUUUAAUUAUAAUAUUUUAGGUAUAUAAUUUGAUGUAAGGACAUUAUACAUCCUAAGUUGCUUUCUUUUAUCCAUUUUUUUUAAUUUUAUUUAUUUAUAUUAUGAUUGGUUCAUAGGUAAUAGUUUUCUUUUUCUAUCCAAAAAUCAAUUAUACAUAAUAAAAAUAAUCUCACUUAUUUAUAUUUGGAUUUAAAUGCCAUUUCUUUUAUAUACAAGUCUUAUUUAUUUAUAUUGUAAUUUUUUUAUAUUUUAAAUAUUAAUGCAAAUUUUAUUCCACGUAUUAAUUGUUGAAAUAAAAUUUUAAGUGAAGCACAUUGUCUCCUUGAUAUCAUCAAAACAUAUAUUGUACUGUACAAUUUCGCUUCUUUGAAAAGGAUUGCAUUGGUCUCCUUUCACAAGUGACAAGCAAUUCAAUUUUCAUCACUUUUGAUAAGGAAAACGUUGGUAUGGACAACACCUCUCAUUUCUAUGGGACACUUACAACCAUCCCCUCGAGCCAUCUGGAUCAUAAUAUAAUAAUAUAAGGUCAAGUAACUUUGUUCAUAUAAUUUAAUGGUAAUAUACAGACAUACAAUCAACCGAAUAUUGAAUACGUCGUCUGAUACGCUUGAAAGUAUUAAUUGUAAUGCACAUUAAGUGGCUUUAUUGACACAGUUAUUACGAAGCCAAAAUACUAGUCUUAGGCUCAUAAAGGCUUGAUAACGGUUAUGAGCCGACAACCAUUGACAUUAACAAUGGUAACACACAUUCGAACACAAUCAAAUACACUAAAUAAGACGUUAUAGUUGGAUAAGAAUAAAUAGUUACCCUUAACUACAAAGAAAAGUAUGCUACCAUUUUUCCAAAAUUCAUGCAUGCAAGUUGAAUUGUCGUCUAAACUUUAGAAGCUAGUUGGACUCUCAUUGUUGGUCGUGCACCAACAACUUCUAUACUUUCUAAUAACUCUCAAAGAUGAUAAAAACUAAUAAUGGACUAGUUAAAUUCUUUUACAUUGGUUGAAAACUUAAAAGUUAUAAUUUCAUUUGUAACAUUGGCCACUAGAAAUCAAAUAAGAAGGUGGAUCAACUCAAAAUAGUAUAUUCUCAUUUCAUAUUAUAUUUUGUGGACCAAUAUUGUUGUAUCCUAAUAACAUCUUCCUCUAUACUUUUUAAUAAAUUUAAAGAUAAUGAAAAUAAAUAAUGGGUGAGUUGACUUCUUUACAUUGGCUAAAAACUUAAAAAUCAUAAUUCUAUUAAUAACGUGGGCAACUAAAUCAAAAGAUAAGUUGAAUUGGAUUAAGAUAAUAUAUUUACCUACAACAGCACAUUUCAUGAUAUCAAGCUUAUAAGUGAUUUUGUAACACUACAAUAAUCUCUCUUAAUAUAACAUUCCCCGGUUUAAACCUAUGAUCCUUAAUUAGGGCAUCAGUAAAGUCAACAUAUAUCCAAAGGGAGCUAAUGUUAAUAAAACAUAAAAAAAAUAAUUUGCUUUUGUAUUUUAUCAUUAAUUUUGUCAUUAAAUCACCAUAUCAAUUUUUGUAUUAGAUUUUAAUUUUCGUAGAAACUUUUUAUAAUAUACGAUGUCACACCAAAAGGAGUCAUUAUUAUUACACCCGUCAUAUUAAAACACACAAAACCAAGGAGGAGAAAAGAAUGUUAAUGUUGAUGUAACUUGGCCAAUUAUUAAAUAGGGAAGUGCAUGCGAGUGUAAGUGGUGGGGCAUGGUCCGAUUAGAUUCACCAUGUAAGGACACACUGGUCUCUAUCGACAUUCGCCCAACGCCCACUCAGCUUUUUGGCCAUUGAAAGCUAUGAUGUCUUGGCUUUGAUCAGACAUCAGAUGAUAUAAUACAAAUGCGUUAUUCGAACUGGUCCCGGAAAGAGGGAGACUCCAUGUGUUUAUUUUCUGACCUGGUAUGGGUCUGUUUGCCUAGUCAGCUAUUCAACGUCCUGAACCCAAAUCCCUAUUCUUAAUAAUGCUGCUUCAAUCAUAGGUUCCUUGAACAAAUGCCAAACAGUGUAUGGUCGUGGCGGUUGAUCUUUUCAAUGUGUAAGCAUUUUUUUUUGUCAAAAAUUUAAAUAGAUCUAAACUUGAUUUACAUGAGUUGCUUUUGAUUAAUAUCUGAUUGUUAUUAAGUAUUAAGUUUACCUGUUUUUAUUAAUCUCUUAAAAAUAUUAAAUUUAUUUAUUUUAUAUAUUAAAAAUAUUAAUAAAACAAAUUAUUAUAUUUCUUCUAAUUUCGAUUUGGAAAUUAAUAAUGUGAAAAAAAAUUAAUAAUUAACAUAUUUCCAGAUAUAAAAUGUCCAAAUCAUUACAUAUUAAAAAAUUUGUAAUAAUAAUUACACAUUUAACUUGUUAGUCCAAGGGUUCUCUUAAUCAGAUUUUGAUAAUAACAAACCAUGGUUAAGUGACUAAUUGGUUUGAAUUGUAAAUGAUUUCAGGUAUAAAUUUGGAAAUUUAUCAAAUGACUAAAUGGAUACAAAAUCGAGACAUUUGAAAUAUUUUUAAUCAUAGGAAACAAAUGUAAGAUGAAUGUAUGAGUGCACUUAGGUUUUACAUAUCUUUUUAUACAUCUUUAGAAAACUCGGUUUAUUGUUUAAAGUUACAAUUUCAUUAAAAUUCAAGUUUUAUCAAAUAUACCUUAGACAAAACGUUUCAAAAUUGGCAUAUUAAUUUAUCUAAAGACUUUGCCUAAAUGUUAAAAAGGAAAAGAACUGAAAAAUAUAGGUUUUUGGAACCAAAAGACUGAACCAAUCGAGGCACAAGCCAACCGGCUCAACCGGCCAGGGAACCGGUUGCCCUUGUCUGAUCGAGGAGUGUAAAAAACACUAUCUCUCUUCCAGUAGUUUUCCUUUCCCGGUCGACCUCCGAUCGAAGCAAUGGUAGCCUGCCAAAGCAUUAAAUGCUCCAACAGCUGGUGAACCAAUUGACUUCCAGUUCGACCGAUUGAGACUGCUUUUUGUUUUUCUCGACUCUCGAGGUUAGAAACCUAUAAAUUGAGAGUUCCACUUUAAUUAUGAUAUGGAGAACAUUUGUAUUCAAUUGUCUACCUACUUGUUCUUGCCUUAAAAACUCUCAUUUCCUUAUAGGUGCAUUAAAUCUACACUUGCAUAUCUUUUAGUGCACCUUUGUGUUUUAUCCUAACUUAGAUUUGUAUUUGAGUUAUCAUUGAAUUAGGUUGAAUGAUUCAUUCUUGUAAAAAACGAGUGUUAAAGUCUUAAAGUGAGUUGAAUCUUGAAGAGAUUGUGUAAGAGUUCAUUAAAGGCAUAAUCCAAGUGUAAAGGAGAUUGAAAGAUUGGUUGAAACUUCAAGUUAAUGGAACCCUCAAUCGGUUAGAAGAUCGAGGAGAGUGGACAUGAGCAAAGAAGUGUCGAACCACUAUAAAAUCUGAGUUUGUUUUCUCUAAACUUUACCUCUUUAUUUUUGCUUCUAUUGUGCUUGAAUUUGUUGUGUUAAAAAAUAUUUUGAAAAACCCAAUUCAGCCCUCUCUUUGGUGUUUUUCUCAUUUAAGUAUAGCUUUUAUUUUCUCAAUUUGGUUGAAAUUUUGAUAACUAUACAGUAAUUAUGAUUUUUAAUUACAUGCUUGGUUACUAAGAAGAUAUUAAAAAAAUUAAAAUUAAUUCUUGUUUUUAGAUAAUAUAAUUUUGAAUUUAUUAUUGAGAUUAAUUUUAAAAUGGGAAGUACUAGUAAAUACAAACUUUUUAUUUUUUUAAAAUUAAUUUUAUUAUUUAAAUAUCUUUUAUUUUCAUUUUUUUUAGUAAGAAUCUACAAAACUUUAAAGAAUUUAAAUUUCAUUGAUAAUUAAAUGAAAUAUGAAGCAAAAAUAGUAGAUGCACAUAGUAGAAAUUCGAUUUCGGUUUUGGAAUUUUGUAAAUUUAUUAUAUUAAUUUAUAAUCUAAAUUAAAUGAUUUUACAUCUAAAUUUUCUUGAGAACUAAGAUAAAAUAGAAAAGAAAAAAAUAACCAAAACAUAUUAAAAAAAUGAUUUUGUUUUAAAAAUUCUUUACUAUAAUUGUUGUCAAAUAUAUUCCAAUUAUAUGAGGGAAAAAAAAUGCUACAAUACUGAAUUGAUACCCAUCGAGGAAUAUGAUCAAUAAUUUUGUAUGACGUCUACAUUAUAGAUCUUAUUAUUUUGUAUUCAUGUUCAUCCCAUUGAUUUGUACCUUAAUUUCAUUUUUUUGUAUCUUUAUCUUAUUUAUUUUUACCUUAUACAAUGAUCUAAAGUUUACCAUAAAUAUUCAACGGUGACCAUCGAAAAUUUGAUAAAUAACGAUUUUUUACAUCAAUGAUUUUUUUUAAACAAAUACAAAUGGGCAUUCAACUUUGAGUCAAUUACGAUGAAAUAAAGAAUUUGAUGGUUGUUUUUAUUUUUACAAACAAUAUUUUAAAAUUAUUUUAUUUUUAUAUUAUUAAAUACAAAUGGAAUAAUGUUUCCCCGAUAUAUCAAAAUAUAAAGUUCAACCUGCACAAACCACCCAAUGAAAAAAAUAUUAUAUCAGGUCGAGGAAAAAUUACCUGUUUGAUAAGUAGAUUUUUAAGUGUUGAUGUACUCAAUGGACAUAAGGAUUACAUUAAUUGUCGAAUUAUGUUAAUUAUUUUCUUUAUUUUUGCUCGUGUGUGAAGUUCUGCUAACAAUUUACAUAUAUUACUAGAAUAUCUUGUUCAAGUUACCUUAUAUCUUUAAAAAUUAAUUUAAAAUUUUUUUAAAACUAUAAAGUCCUCGUAUCUUAUAGAAAAGCUAUUAUUAUUAUUAUUAUUUAUUUUAAAAACAAAAAUUUUGCAUGAAAACUAACAAUAUUUUCUUUUUGAUUUUUUGUUAUAUCAAUAAAAACUUUGUAAAGGUUACAUCUUCAAAAAAAUGUUACAUAGUUUCAUUAUUUAUCAAAAAUUUUUUGAUUUUUUGUUAUAUCAAUAAAAACUUUGUAAAGGUUACAUCUUCAAAAAAAUGUUACAUAGUUUCAUUAUUUAUCAAAAAAUAAUUUAAUAUCAUGUCAAAAUAGUCUUAUUGAAAAUUUUUGUUAUUUAUUUAAUAAAUCAAAAUUUUAGAACUUUUAUGAUUCAAAAAUUUAAAAUUAGGAAAAAUACAAAAAAAAAAGGUUUAAUUUUAAUAACAUUUUUAUUUAUUAUUUCUUAAUUUUGUCCUCAAAAUUGGUCCAUUUAAAUAUAUCAAAUAUUUAAAAUAAUAAUAAAAUAACUAAAUUUAAUAAAAUAGUUUUUAAUUGUGUACAAAUUUUCAAUAUAAUUUGAUUUAUUGAAAGGGAUAGAUUUAAUAAAAAAUGCACUAAAUGUACAUGCCUUAAAAGUCUCCAACGGGCGGGUCGGGCCGUAAAUAGGAGGCCCACGGCCCAGCCUAUGAGUCCGCGGGACUUUUUAAAAUAAGUCAAAAUGGCUUUCAAAAAAAGGAAGGGAGAGGGGGGAUUCGAACCCCUCCCCUCAUGCUUAAAUUUCAAGGCUCUAACCAACUAAAUUAUAUUCCUUUUAUACUUAUUAAUUGAAUUAAUUAUAUAUAUAUAAAAAUAAAGUAUAUUAUUUUUUAAAAAAAAAUUAAAGGCAACAACGGUCAUGUGACCGUUAGAGCCUAGCUAGGCCAUGUGAGUCAUAUGACUGUUGGAGCUAAGCCUCCAACGGUCACAUGACCAUUUUUUUUUUUUUUUUUAACCUUCCUAUAAAUAGAUUUUCUUCCUUUUCAUUUUUUCAUCAAAUUCUCUCUAUUUCUCUCACAGUCUACAAUAUUUCAAAUUCUUUUAUUUUUCCCUCAAAUUAUACAAUAUUGUUGGUGGUGCAAAACAAGUAUUGGUGGCUCCAAGAGUUCAAAUUUGCUCGGAAUUUCUACAUCGGUUCUCUAAUUGAGUAACAUACUUCACCCCUACUACUUUAUCUUUUUGUUACAUUUUUUUUAUAUUUAUUACUUUAUUAUUUUUGGCGUAAUAUUUGAUCAAUAAUUAUAAUAUGACAAGUGCUUCUUCAUCUAGUUCAUGUGAUGAAAUAUCAUCAAAUAACAAAUUUACUUCAAAUAUAUGAAAUUUUUUUGAUAGAAUAGAAAUAAUUUUAGAAAAUAAUAAAAAAGAAAUAAAAGCAAAAUGUAAAAUUUGUAAUAAAUUUCUUACUGGUGGCUCAAAUGCAGACACAAGUCAUUUAAAAAGACAUCAUGAAAAUUGUAAAACUAAAAAUAAUGUAGAUAUUAUAAAUUAUAUGCAAUUAGGUAAAAAUGAAAGUGGAAAUUUAAAAACAUUUUCUUAUGAUGAAUCUAACUAUCGUGAAGAAAUGAUUGAUUAUAUAAUAAGAGCAGAACAACCUUUCAACAUGAUGAAAACUCAUGAUUUUGUAGGAACAAUUCAACAAGGUAUUAAUCCUCAAUUUAAAGGUUGGUCUGGAAAUACAGUUAAAAGAGAUAUUAUGAAAAAAAUUUAUACACAAAAAGAAAUUUAAAAAUUUCUUUUUGCAAAUUUUGAAGGAAAUAUUUGUUUAACAUCUGAUAUUUGGACAUCUUUAACUCACACUGGUUUUUUAUGUAUAACUGCUCACUACAUUGAUAAUGAAUGGAAAUUAAAUAAAAGAAUAAUUUCAUUUAAAUUAAUAAAUGAUCCACAUAGUGGUAAAAAUAUAGCAUCUUUAAUAAAUGAUGAAAUUAUAGAUAUAGGCAUUUGUGAUAAAAUAUUGACAAUAACAUUAAAUAAUGCUGCUAAUAAUGAUGUAGCAAUACAUAGACUAAAACGAUACUGGCAAGUAAAAGAAGAUCAUGCUAAAAUAUUUCAUGUGCGUUGUUGUGCACAUAUUUUAAAUUUAAUUGUAAAUGAUGGAUUAAAAAAUGUUGAUAAUACAUUGGAAAAAAUUAGAGGCAUUGCAUAUAGUAUUAAUAGUUCUCAAGCAAAACAUGAAUUAUUUUUUGAUUGUUGCAAAGUGUUAAAUAUGAAAAGAAAAAAAUAUAAAUUUAGAUAUGACCAUUAGAUGGAAUUCCACAUAUAAACUUUUACAAAAUAUUACAAAAUAUAGAAAAGUAGUCGAAUUAUAUGAAAUACAAUUAAUUAGCAAUGAUUGUGAAGCAAAUAUUUAUGCAUUAAGUAAUUAUGAUUGGCAUAUUGCAGAUCUUUUAAGAAAUCUUUUUGAAAUUUUUGAUACUUCAACAAACAUUUUUUGUGGUGUAUAUUAUCCAACUUCAAAUCGAGUUAUUAUGCAAAUAACUAAUAUUUUUAUUGUACUUCAAAAAUAUUUAAGUUUUGAAAUAUUUAAUGAUACAAUAUUUGCAAUGAUAGAAAAAUUUAGAAAAUAUUAGGGGGAAAUACCUUUAAUUUUUUAUAUUGCUUUAAUUGUGGACCCUAAAUUGAAAUUUGAAGCUUUGGAUGAACGAUUAACAAUUAUUUAUUUUAAUGACCAAAUAAAAAUUGAAUAAAUUAAAAAUGAAAUAAAUUCAUUAUUAUAUAAUUUAUAUAACUAUUAUUAAGAAAAAUAUGGUAAUAAUAUUAAUAGUAUUAAAUUACCACCUACAUCUACAAACUUCUCAUCUUUUUAUAAAGGAGCUCUAGAAAUGUUGAAAAGUCGAAAAAAGACAACAAAUAGUUCUCCAAAUAAUACAUCUGAUUUAAAUAAAUAUCUUAUUACUGAUAUAAUUUCAUUUGAAGAUUAAGAAGAUUUUGAUAUUUUAAUAUGGUGGAAAUCACAUCAACACAAAUAUCCUGUGCUUUCUAUAAUUGCUCGUGAUGUACUAACAGUUCCUGUGAGUAUAGUUGCAUCAGAAGCUGCUUUUAGUGCAGGUGGAAGAGUAGUUAGUAAAAAACGAUGCAACUUAGCGCCAGAUGUUAUUAAAGCAGGGAUAUGUGUGAAAGAUUGGAAAAUAACAGAUAAAAGGAUGUUCGAUUCCAUUCGAGAAACAGAGAUGCUUGCCAAUAUUGAAUCUUUAAAAUUAUUAAGAUCUUCAUGGAUGCAUGAUAGUUCGCCAUCACCAUCAGAAAAUAAUGACUAAAUGUAUAUUAUAUUUUUAUUUUUAUUUUUUGUGGUUGAAAAAUAUAGAUGAUUGACAAAUAAAUAGGUGUCAACCUAGUUGGGAUGUAUUUAUUUUGUAGUGAUGUAAACUUUUCCCACAUUUUCAAAUGUAAUUAUACAUUCAAUGAAUAAAAUUUUGAAAUGAAUAUUUUUUUUAAUACUUUUUAUUUUUGUAGUUUUUUUUUAAAGGGGCGGGCCUAAGGGCCGGGCCGGCCCUCUGGGCCUAAAUUUAGGCCCGUGGUUCGGCCCGCCCAUAAACGGGCUCGGGCCGGGCCUAAAGCGGGCCGCGGGCUUUUUGGAGACCCUUACUUUGUAUAUAUGAACUUACAAAAAUAAUAUGAUAAUAAUAAUAAAUUAAUCAUCACCACAAUAUCAAUAAUAAUAUAAUAUAAUAGAAAGAGUGAAGUGUAGCAUUGAAAACUUGGGGGACAAGGAAAUAUGAAAACGACGUCGUUUUUAAUUCAACACUUGGACCAAUGCAACCUCGGUCAUACAGAUACUAAAACCUUGGAAUGUCUCCUUGUGUAUAUAAAUCGAAGCGAGGGCAAGAAGAUUAGUGACACAAAAUGGAGAAUGGAGCGCCGGUGCCAAGAGUUGCCGUAGUGGUGUUUCUGUUGAAGGGGAACGCCGUGUUGUUGGGGCGGCGCCUCUCCUCCAACGGCUACUCCACCUUCGCCCUCCCCGGAGGCCACCUGGAGUUUGGUCAGUCCCUCUCUCAGUCCUUCGUUUAUAAUAUUAUUAGCUGAUUUUGACCUCGAGAUAGUCCCAUUUCAGGGGAGAGUUUUGAGGAAUGUGCUGCCAGAGAGGUGAAGGAGGAAACUGGCUUAGACAUUGACAGGAUAGAGUUCCUAACUGUCACCAACAACGUCUUCCCGGCAAACCAAUCCCAUUAUGUCACCAUCCUUAUGCGCGCAGUCUCGGCCGAUCCUCAUCAACUGCCCCAAAAUCUUGAGCCUCACAAGUGUUCUGGUUGGGAUUGGUAUGAAUGGAACAACCUCCCAGAGCCACUCUUCGGACCAUUGGAGAAGAUGGUACAAGGGGGUUUUAGUCCCUUCCCAACUUCUUAAUUAAGAUGCUGAGAGAGUGAUUAAUUCCUGGGUUUUGCUCCACUUCUUGCUCCUUUCUCUUUGAUGGGUUAGUUUAAGAUUGGUCAAAUUUUGUAAUUGGCUGCUGAAAUUGCCAAUGAUAUAGACUCUGGGGAUUUAAUGAGUCUUGAGAUUCAUGCUUCUCUCUCAAGCUGGAUGAAGGGCUGUUUAUAUAAAGUUUGUUUUAGAUUUUUCUUUUUUCUUAGCAUAUGAACAAUUUAUGAAGCUCUUCCUAUGGAGGGUAUGUUUGCUUCUACGUUCAUAAAGUUUAAUACAAAUUGCCAACAUGACAGAACCUUUACGUAUUUGUUUGGGUAGAGUAUAAAUGAGUUUGAACGAUGGACAUGCAUAACUCAUUUAAUAAAUAGAUGAUUUUUUAGUUAAUCUACAUGUCAUAAAUUUGACUCAAAUUGACACAUCUAAUAAUCUAGUUAUUAAUUUAAUUAUAUCGUUAAAUUAUUUAAUUUAUAUUUGAUUCAUUUUUAAAUAAAUAAUUCAAUUAAAUCAUAAAUAUAUUUGAUUAAAAUAUUAAUCAUAUAGGCAUAGUAAGAUAUAAGUCAAUUUGAUUAUUAAAUAAGAGUAUUUAAUUAUUAAAUGAGUUGCAUGAUAGGUUACCUUUUUAAUAAAAGUAAUAUUUAGGUUUAUGUGUUUGACACAAUUAUUAUUCGUGUCGAAUUUUGAUUGAGUUAUAUAAUAGAAUACCUAAUUUUUAACACGACACAAAUACGAUUCACUAAUAUGAAUUGUCACAUAUGUAUCAAAUUCUUUUAAUUGCCCAUUUGACACAUUAUAUGCUAUAUUUCUAAGUUGGUUUUUUUUUUUUAAAUAGAUUAUGUAAUAUCAUAAUUAGGAAGGUGUUUUUGUUCAUAAAUCCCUUAAGGACUUUGAUUAAUUUUAUAAAUUUCAUGGACUUUGUCUAAUUAUACAAGGUCUUAAAGCACAAUUCUCCUCCCUUCCUCUCUCUCUCUCUCUUUUUUUUUUUUAAAAUCAUAGCAAUCAUAAAGAGAUGAAAUAUUUAAAUUGUUAAGAAAUAAAAAAGGGGAAUGAUACUAUGGGUAUAAAUAAACAUAGAAAUUAAAAUAUUUACUUUAUUAUAAAAUAUAUUAAAAAUGGAAAUAAUACUAUAAUUGUAAUUUUGCAAAAAUGGACAAAAAGAAUCUCCAAGAGCAUAACAACAUUAAUAUAUACAUAACACAAAUUUUGCAACAAUUACAGAUUGUACCAUUAUUGUACUCCAGACAGGCGAGGGUAUUUCGGGAAAGCGAAGAGACGAGAAAUUGAUCUUAUUGGACUGUGAUUUCACUACUCUACUUCUCAGUGCGCGUUAUCAUAUUUCCGUGAUUCCAUCUUCCACACGGUCUUCUCGAUCUAGGGCAGACCGUCAUCUCCGUACAGUCCCCUACGGUGGACUCCCAUGUAACUUGGCCCACCCAAUUCCUCCUCCUCCUCUCCUGUUCGGCUUCUCUUUCCAUCCAGAAGUCAUUCCAGUGAGGUUGGCGGGCGAUUUCUCACUUCAAAAUUCACAACGCUUUUCCGCUCCAAGGUACGAUCCAGCCACUUCUCAAAACUCUUUCGAACUUUUCUUCUUCCUUCUCUGGGUUGAGCGCAAUUGGAUUGUUUGAAUGGUAGGGUUAACUCGUGGUUUCACUUAUCAACUUGAAGUUUCGUCCCUUCUAGAAACCCUAGCUUACGUUUUGCUUUGAUUUUUUCUCGUUUUGGUUUCUUCUUUUCGUGAUUGAAUUGCUUGAAUGAAUAGUUUUUAAUUACUCAAUGGGAAUCUUGUUCGUUUCUCUCUUGGAAACAAAUGAAUGAUUAAGGAGUUGUUUGGUUUAGCAUUUUGGCAGUGCUUUUCUUGCUUUGGAAACCAAAAGUUUGCUUUGGAAGCAAGAAAAGUAAUUCCAGAAUGCUAAUGAAGCAGCAUGUGGUUAGAGUGAUAUGUUUGUAAUUAUUGUAGAUGCAUUGUAGGGGUUUUGUUUCACAGAGGUGUUCAUGAGGUCAUCUUUUGCUGCCUUGUGUACAUAGAAAUGGUAAUUAUUAUGUUUAAUAUUGAGCCCAACCUAGUAGCUUUAAUGUUUUGAAUGGAAACUAAAAUAUUCUAUGAAUUUUUAUUAUGAAUAUCUUUUUGACUCAUCAGAUGUUUUUCAUUGGAGUGAAUUUUGAUCUGCCAGCAGACAUGUUUCUCUAAAGAAACAGGAAAAAUAAAAGAAAAAAAGAAAAAAAAACAAGGUUUGGGUACUGUUGGUUUUUUUAUCACCUUCAUUGAACUUGAUACCUACUUGGUUGUGUACUCCACUGACGGUGGUUGAUUAUGCAGAGUGCUUUCAGAGGGUGGUAAAAAUUGUGAUACAAAUUUUUUAUAUUUGUAAAAGCACAGGUCCUGUUGAAACAGGGCUUUCUUGGUUUGAGUACCAAAUUAUGGGCAACGAGGAUUUUAUUGAACUCCAUGCAUUGAAUGAUGAAGUUAAGGACGGCGUCUUCAAUAAGGAGAAUGUGAAACAGGCUAAGGGUGAAAUCAGAAAUUUAGAUAAGCAGCACACCCAAAGAAAAUACCCUGAGGAAGAUUUAGUUGAUAAACCGCCGCCUUUGCAGGGGAAUGUUGAAUUGGUAGAAACUGUUACCAUUGCUGAGAAGAUGACUGGGAUUGAAUCCAUUGUGCAUGGUGGCAAUAAUGAUGUGAUUCUCCAAAAGGAAGUUUUUAGCAGCCAUAAGAUAGAUGGUAGCUGUAUCCUUUUUUUACCAUAGAUAUUCUCAGCUUUUCCUUAUCCAUUUUCAGUGCUAUUAUCAAUAAAAUUUUGAAAUGUUGGUGUAGAAUCGGCCCUGGAUUAGGAACCUAAGUUGUCUGCAAUAUAAUUACCAUAGAAGUAAAUGUGGAGUCCAUGUUAUAUCAUGGUGUCAGCAAUGACCAUGUUAUCUUUUUCUGAUUUCGUGUUUUCCAUAAUUUGGAUAUGCUAGCUGUAACAGGUGUUAAGAGAUCCCGGAUGACAUGUGAUGAUCAGCAACCAUUUGUGCAUGUGAUAUAUAAUUCCUUAUCAAGGUGGGGAUGUAAUGAAUAACAUUUUGCUUUUCAGCAGUUCAACCUAAUAAUUCUGUACUUUAUUUUGAAUUGUUUGCAAAGAGAGUCAGGAUCUGUUUGGUGGGAAUGCAUUAAAAUAGAUAAUUUAUCCUUAACAAAAAGUUUGAUUUAGCUAGUCAAGUUGGGAAUGGGCUUUUGGUGAAUUAUGUUCUAUUUAUGUUGGAUUGAUAAAUUUUUCUUGAAGGAUUAUUUUUUGACUGAAAUUAUGUGCAUGGGUCAUGAAACAUGUCACAAUCAAUUAAAACCUCUAGAAAGCCCAUGCCUAAUUCUAAGUCUCUUAACUCUUGAUAAAGACACCACCAUUGUUUGAACCACCAUUUCAUACUGUUGCUGCCACCGCCACCACUAUCACAUACUCCAUCACUACCUUUAUCACCAGGUCCCCCACUUCCUCCACAUACUCCAUCACUGUUGCCAGUCUGACCACUGCCAUCACCACGGCCACACCACUGUUGUUGCCACCAUCAACACCACCACCACUGCCAACAUAUUCACUAUAAUAUUGCCUCUCCAACACAACUGCUGCUACGUCAAUCACUGCAAGUACCUUUGUUGCCACCAUGGUUCCAUUGUGAUUACCACCUCAAAGACCACCUGCACUGUUGUUGCCACCUCCAAUGCCCCUACAUGGCUACAACUAUAUCCAUCAGAAUAAAGGCCUCACCAGGUCCCCAAAAUGGUUACCAUUGUCAAUUGUUCUGCCUCCAUUGCUACUAAUUCUUUAGGAAUUUAUCUCAAAUGUCUUGAAGGUUAUCAGUUAUUUCAUUAGUUUUCUCUUGAUUGUAUUUUGACUGAAUGUCAUUCUGAGAACAUUUGACCUUAUUAAGUGAACAAAUUUUGUUGUGCAUAUACACAAUGCUCCUUUCAUAAAUCAUAGAUAAUCAGAUGAUGAAUUUGGCAGGUUGAAUUAUGAUAGUUCAUCCCGAUAUGUUUUAAUUUGCAGUAUCAGUUGGGCCCCCUUGUUUUAUGCAUCUUUUCUAAUAUAAGUUUACUUUCCUUUCAAAAAAAUCUUUUCCAUAUGCAACCUCAAUAUCAUUUUCAAUUUCAGAAAAAGCAAAAGGAAGCUUGAGGAGCUUUUACAUCAUUGGUCAGAAUGGCAUGCUCAGCAAUGUUCUUCAUCCAAAGUACUCCCUGUUCUUUUUAAGAAUUUGACAUUUGUGCUUUUACAUUUUUAUUUGCAACUUCCAUCCGUUGUUCAAUUUCCUUCUUUAUUAUCAACAGUAUAAGUAAUGAUACUGCCAUUUUCUGGAUAUCAGGAUUCUGAUGAAGUUUUGGAGUCGGGUGAUGAAACUUAUUUUCCAGCAUUACAUGUUGGUCUUGGUCCUGAGAAAACCUCUAUAGUGGUAGGUUGACAUCUGUGUUAUACUGUUAUGCGUUCACGUCAAUUUUUUUCUGAGGAAGCAUUGUUAGUUGGAUUUGAGCUUGGCUUUAAAUUUUUCUGGAACUUGAAUUGAAGUUUUAUUUAAGAUUAUGAGAGUAAGACACAUCAUUCUUAAUUUCACCUGACAAGAUGUGGUAUUAAUUGUUUGGCGUGUAGAGCCUUGAGAAAAUAUAUGAUACCUGGACUCUCUGACUUGACCUAGUAUGCCAUUUUUACAUGACAUAGGUGUAGGUAUGGGAUCCUUAUUGGGUAUUCUUAUUUAUUUGCUUUGGAUAUAGCUAUUUGAUUUUAAUUAAUUUCUUUUUCUACUUUCAGUUUUUUUAAGCAAAUAGUUGCAUUGAAGAAAGAGGAAGGAGGAAUAUUUUAAUCAAGGAUAUCUUUUCUUUUGAUUAAAUUUUAAUUGUGUCCAAGUGGCUCUAACUAUUAUUGAGCAAGUUCCUUUAUCCUAUUUUAUGUAAGAAGGAUCGGACACUUAAACAUUUACCCAUAUCCAGGACACACAUCUGAACCCAUGCAACAUAGGAGACAAUAGGUGUUUGGUAGUGCUUGCGUACAGCUUAAUUAUUUUCUCAUUUGCACUUGUCCCUAAUCUGUAAGGGUUUCUAUUUAAUAUUAACCUAGAUUUUUCAAAUUUAGAAUUUUCUUUUAUUUGAAUUGAGUUCUCUUUUCUCAUUUAUACUGGAAUCUGCAAUAGAUUUUGAAUUUAUAGGUCCAUAAAAAGGAGGGUAUGAUUAGCUGCUUUUUGUCAUUUAGGGAAUUUACAUGAAUUAUCAUGAAGACAAUAUGUAUAUUUUUGCGAUUUUCUAAUUUUCUAAUCUUUCCUUUUCUCUGCUCUUUUCAUGCAAGUCUUUCUGGAUGGAUAAUCAAGUGAAAGAAAAGAAAAACGAGGGGUUCAUCUCAUUGAAUGACAAUGCUAUUCCUCUAUAUGAUCGAGAAUAUGCAUUGGGUCUAACUUCAAUGGAUGAUUUGAAUAACCUGGAAAGGUAAUGGAUGUACAUUUAAUAUGUGUACUGCUGCUUCUUCAGAUAUAUAUGCAAAUGAAAGAUUAAAAAAAAGAAUAAAAAAUUAAAACAUAUAUAUAUAGGUGUUUGACAUGGUUACCUCUAGAAUUUUAUCCUGCAAUAUUUCUGUGUGCUGCAAUAUCACUGUUGGUUUUAAGAUUGUUGUGAGUGACACAGAAAAGUUUGACAGUUUUAUUGCAUAAACUUUGGCAUGCUUGGGUGAUAUCAUAUUCUGAGGUUGAAAAAAUCUUAAUGCUCAUUACCAUCAGAUCCCUAGCUCCCCUGGUCCUACUGUGUUUCUAAAUAUUCGAUCCCCUUAUUUUAGCUCUGCCUGGGAUAGGGUUGUGACUUGUUCACAUUACAUGGAUGCUUCAGAUUUUGUGGAGUACCUUUUCAGGCAUGACGAGUGAGCAUGGAAUGAGAUGUGUGUUAAAAGUGCCCAUGCCCAUGUUCAGAGAUGUUACCCAGCAGGCAUGCACGACAACAAGUUGAGAAAGAAUCUUAGUUCAUGGGGAAUCCCCUAGAAUACUUUCUCAUGCUAUUCCUGCAUGAUGUGAAUUUUGAACAAAUGAGUGAAAUUCCCUUAUAACCCAUAUCAUAUUUCAUAGGCAUUUCAUUCUCCUGAGGAAAAGAAGAAAAAGUGACAAUUUCAACAAUUUAGCCUUGUCAUACUGUUCCUAGAUUUAGAAAUAUUUUCCAUCUAGACAUGACUGAAAAUUUGAAUUUUUGGGACCACCAGGUAGUGAGAAACCCACUGGAUUAUACAGUUUUGAUAUCUCCUUGAAAUAAAGCAUUUUCUUUGAGCUUCUCUCUUGGCUGUUGAGUAUAAAAAGUGUUCAUUUAAAUUUAUGAAGAUUAUAAGAUUCUAUAUUGAUAAUAGAAUAUUUGAAUAAGAAAUUUUUAAAUACAUUAUUAGAGGAAAACUACCUAAACGUGUCCUCCACAGAAUUCCCUAGUCUUGAAAGGGAGGGAUUGCUAUUCUCCACUUCCUGCUUGGCUGAGGAUUCUAUUUUGGCCUUUUAAUAUGGUGCUAAAACGACGAUUCUCUAUAUUCCAAUGAAGGACUUCCUUAUAUCAGGGAUCCUUGGACAUGCAGGGUUAUUUAUUUAUUUUAUUUUUUAUUUUUUUUCUGAUAGGCAAACAAGAUAAUAUAUUAUAAACAUUAAAAGAACAACCCAUGAGAGAGUACACAGGAUUUGAACGUACAAGGUGGUUGGUACCUAUCAUUGGGAGUAUUUGAGUUUUGUAUCAAGAGCUAGCCUUGAUUGGCCUAUUAUACUACAAUCUUGGACAUGUGUAAUCCUUGCACAUUGUACUACUAUGAUGCCUUGUGCAAUCCUGAUUGUGAUGUCUUUAUCUCCUGCUAUAUUUUUUAGUGGGCUGCUUAUGAUUGUGUCAUGUAGGUUGUUGACUUACUGGAUUGGUUCUUGUUAUGUGAACACUAAAGAGAAUAGGGAGGCUUAACUUAAGAUGGUCGAGUUUCCCUUGUUGAUGAUUGACUCGGGAGAGUGAAGUGGACAGGUUUAGGCAUCUCUUAGCCAUCAGUUUCCACUAUAUUCUCAUUUUUACUUCUCUAGUUUUCCUAUAAUAUAUUUUAUUGUCGUCAAAAAUAUUUUAGAAUCUUUAGAUUUUAAAGUAUGUCUUCAUAUAUUUAACUUGUAAUUAACCUCCACUGUAGUUUCAUCAACUAAAACUGUAUCAUCACCAAACAACAUGCCCUAUAGGAUGUCUUGCUGAAUAUUCCCAACAAUCUUGUCCAUUACCAAAGGGCAUCCACAUCUCUUUAAUGGAGGAUAUCUUUAUAUAAAAGUCAUAUGGUUGGCAACUAAAGGUAGUGCCUCAUCAUGUUUUGAGAGGGAAAUCCGAAAGCUGGAGUGUUCGGUCAACUACAAUAGCUCUCCAUCCACUGUCAGGGGAAAGGGGAGGGGUAGGAGUCGGGCUCUGGAAGUUUUGGUGUCCAGAAGGGGUUUCUCUGUUGGGAUUGAGUGGGUGGUUUUUCUCUAGCAUCCCAGCUCCUUGGGCUGGUUGUUGUGAGGGUGGUGGGUUUUUGGUUCUUCUUUCUCUUCUCCUGCUUGCCUUUUGGCCUCAAUUGUAUACUUGAUGUGUAUUUUGUUGCUCCUUUUUGCAAGCGCCUUUAAUAUUUCCUGCUUAUUUACCUAUCGAAAAAACUAAAGGUAGUGCCUCUCUAUGGAAGUAGAAUAGUAUAGAGAGCAGCAAGAGUGAAAACUUGUUUGAAUGAGCAUAAUUGCUGAGUGCAUCUUUUCUUGUUCUGUUGUCUAUAGAUUUGAUGAACAACUUUCAUGUGGUGUUCCACAAUUGUGUUAUGGUUCUUUUCUCCAUAUGUAAACCUUGUUUUCCUUUUACUGAGCAAACUGUAUCUAUAAAGUACAUUCUCAUUCUUCUGUUUUUGUUAUAGAGGCUUGGAAACACUUGAUGCUUCUCGCUGUUUCAACUGUGGUUCCUAUAACCAUUCACUGAAGGAAUGCCCUAAGCCUCGAGAUACUGUUGCUGUCAAUAAUGCUCGGAAGCAGCACCAAUCCAAGAGAAACCAACCUGUUGGUCCUCGUAUUGCAACUCGCUAUUACCAAAAUUCUCCUGGGGGGAAAUAUGAUGGACUAAAACCAGGUGUUCUUGGUCCUGAAACAAGGAAAAUAUUGAAUCUUGGGGUAAUAUGGCUUACUGAUUUCAAGUAGAAACUUUGACCUAAUGAAAUUGCAGGUCUUGUACUGUUUUUGACCUAAUGAAAUUGCUGUUCCUUUUUCUUCUGGAAUCAAACUAUUAAGACUCUUUCCUAUGUUGUUCAGGAGUUUGAUCCACCUCCAUGGCUUAAUAGGAUGCGUGAGAUAGGAUACCCACCAGGAUAUCUAGGUAACUAGUUAUAUCUCACAUUAAAUUCAUCAAUGCUUAAAUGACACAUGGCAUUUUGUGCAGUAUAACCAUUUCCUUACACUGCAGUUUGGAUUCUCAUAUUAUCAUUUGCUGAUAUGUUAUUUUCUUUUGAUGUAAUGCUGUUCUGUUCAUUGAGUUUCUUAUUUCUGAUUUUUGUCAUACCUUCCACCUCCGAAAGAACCACAAGAGACAAUUUUUAUUAUAUUAUAUUCUUUUAAUGUUUCCUUGCCAUUUGAAUUGAUAUCUUGGUAUUUAAUCAGAUGCUGUAGAUGAAGACCAGUCUUCAGGGAUUAUAAUAUAUGCAGAUGAGGAAACCAGGGAAGAAGAGGAUAAGGAAAAUUUAAAAUUAAACACUUCAAUACUGCAGAAGACAAUGUCUGUUGAUUUCCCUGGAAUAAAUGCACCAAUCCCAGAGCAUGCAGAUGAGAGACGCUGGACAACUUCUCAGCUUCCAGUAAGUUUUGAUUCUCUGAGGAACCGGGCGAACCUUAGAUCAAACUGUUCCUCAGAAUCUAUCUCCAACGGCCUCCCCCAUAAUCAGAGGGGGCCCAGGGACUACAGAGAUGGUGGCUUCCCUGGUUACAGCCCCACCAUGUUUGAUCACUCACGUGGCUACAGUGGUUUCAGUCUCAGUCGGCCAAGUGAAUACUUCAGUCUAAGAGGUGAUAACCCGAAUGGCUACAGUGGUUGCAGUCCCAAUUAUGCAAGUGAUCCUUUCAGUCCAAGAGGUGAUAACUUGGGCUUCUACAAUCCUUUCAGCCCUAAUAUCACAGGGGACGCCUUCAGUCCAAGAGGUGACCUGUUGAUGAGAGGCCCAAGUUUGGGAAGGUCUAUGUCCGAUAGAGGGAGGAGCUCGUUGUUUCUUGAAGGUUCUAGCCAUACUACAGACACUCUCUUACCAUAUGCAUCCUCAGGCCUGCUCCAGUCUCCUCAUGAUUAUGGUUCAUUCAGAUUUGAGGCUCCAGCUUAUGAGGGGCACUGGCGUCCCUACUGACCAAUAAUCUAAACUGCUGUCUUUAUAAUGGCAAGCGAAUGAAUUCCCCACCAGAUUAUAGGACCAGCUGCAUAAAGGAUAUUGAACUGUUAUCCUCAAUUCUUAGUUUCUUACUUAACAUUAGGGAUCUUGGUUUCUUGAAUAAGUUUUGAAUAUUCUUCUCUUAUACAUGAUCUGGGACAAAGUUGUUUGUUUAUUCAGUUGUAUGCUGAUGACAUGUUGGUUGGUUGUCUGGCAUGUAUAUCUAAUGUUCCUUCCACAUAUUAAGUUUAAAAAUCUGUGGGGUUCGCCCAAUCUUUGGUUUCUGCUUCAGUUGUUGGGUUUAGAUCUUGGUUUGUUGAUCUGUGAAUUUGGUUGUCCUAUGAAAAGGGAAAAAAAUUAAAAGAGAAGGUCUAGAAUAGUGGUUUUCUAAUUGGUUCCAUGCAGAUGUAGGUUAAAGGGCAAAUCAUGGGGCAUGAAAAUUCAACCAAGUUUGACUUUGGGGGUGGGCUGCAGCACAUGUGGUGCAUAUGGAGGCCAGGUCAGUGAUUCAAAAAAUGAGUAUUUUACAUAGGGAUCAUCUACAGAGCCUAAAAUUUCAAUAUCUGCCACAUUGCUUUGCAGGAAUGGGUUUAUUGGCUCGAUGGUUACAGGCAUGAACUGUAAGCCAUAAAACCCAAGUCCUUUAUGGACAUAUGAAUUCCACACAAACCCAAUGAAUAAAAGAUGGUUCUGUUAGCUUUUUAAUCAUUCGUAUCACAUAAUGGGCAUUUUGUAUAGCAUCCCGGAAACUGAGAAAAGCAGUGCCAGUGGACAUUAGCUGCGAACUAUCAGACUAAUAAUCAUGCAGUCGGCACAAAAAGGGUGGUAAUGCAUAGGGCUUGAUACAAAACACAAGGGAGGCUAAUGGUGGCUCAUCGAUGUAUGUGCAGCAGUGGUGGGUGUUGGCGCCUGGUGGUGGGGUAACACAUAGAUUGGGAUAGUAUGAAAAGGACUGAAGAAGAGGUGAUGAGGCUUGGAGCCUUGGUUGGUACGGUUGGUGCGUCUUUACCUGCCCCUUAAAAACUGUUUCCAACGCAAGUCAGAGUAGUCAGUCAAGGGUUCCUUUCUCUCCCCGCAUUCUCAGCUCAGCUCCCCUCCCCCACAAGUCCACACCACACCAUUGUCUCCUCCUCAGACUCCACUGUUUCUCUAUUUUUUCCAUUUCGCGACGCUUAUCUUGUCAAUGCCAAUCUCUCUCUCUCUCUCUAUCUGCUACUCUUGUCUCUUAUUUCCUGUUGCCAAUUAGGUGGGGCUGCUCAACGUCCUUGUGUCAGGAUUCUCAUGCCACACAGUCGUUCACUCACACAACCCUGACAAAAAGGCCUAGAAGCAAAGGAUAAAUCCCCACCCACAUCUCCCCACAAAUUACAAGGAUCCAUGAUCAUCAUCUAAUUUCUCCUUCUCUCUCCCUCUCCCUCCAUACUCUCCUUUUCCCAGGUUGGUUUUCGCAAAUGAAGACAAUCUUGGCCAAGACACCUCAUGACUCUUCCUUCUCUUUCUCCAGGAGAUAUUUCCACUGGAAAAAAAAGAUUGAAGACGAUGAUGACGACAACGAUGAAGAAGUCUUAACCUUUAGUUCCUCCUCACAUGCCUGUGAUGAUGAGGAUAAGGAGAAGGAAGCGGACUUUAUUAGCACCUCGCUGUCGUUGGCAGCUCCCAGGAAGAAAGCUGCUCUUUCUUCUAAGCUCCGCUCGGCUCUCGCUCUUACCCUUUUCGGUAAGAGGCGUUCACACCUAUCCUCUGGUCUUGGCACCCGAGUUAUAGGCACCCUCUUUGGCUAUCGUCGUGGGCAUGUUCACUUCGCGUUUCAGGAGGAUCCCAAGUCGCAUCCUGCCUUCCUGAUGGAACUCGCGACCUCAACAAGCGUUUUGGUUCGAGAAAUGGCGUCUGGGUUGGUCAGAAUUGCGCUGGAGUGUGAUAAGAAGGUCGAGAUGAAGAAAGGCACAAGAUUGCUGGAGGAGCCUCUCUGGAGGACGUACUGCAACGGCAAGAAAUGUGGGUAUGCCAUGAAGAGAGAAUGUGGAGCGGAGGAGUGGAAGGUGUUGAAGGCGGUAGAGCCAAUUUCAAUGGGCGCUGGGGUGUUGCCAGGGAAUGGAGAAACUGGGUCCGAGGGAGAGCUCAUGUACAUGAGAGCCAAGUUUGAGAGGGUUGUGGGGUCUAAGGACUCUGAGGCCUUCUACAUGAUGAACCCUGAUAGCACCGGUGGUCCUGAACUUAGUAUUUAUCUACUUAGAGUUUAAGUUUGAAUUUUCAUCCACUUUCUUCUUCAUUUAAGCUUUGGAAUUUCAUUUUCAGAGGUUUGGAGGUUUGGUCCUCUCUAUCUGUUUUGCCAUUUUCUCUUCUUGCAUUCAGUGUAACACUAAGUACGGUGCUUUAUUUAGCUUGUUCUAAGUAGUGGGGUGGGAGAAAAUAGCAUUAGGGAAAUGGUGGCAAAGAGCCUUUAUAGAAUGGUGGGUGGUGGGGUGCAUCUAUAACCAUGUAUAUUACUCUUUCUCUGCAAGUGGAAAACCAGCCCUUGCUAAUCAAAACACCUUGUCUUUCAUUUUGAAAUAUUUGUUCUUCCAUUUCUCUUAGAAAUGCUUUCAAUUGAAUAUAGCAUUUUGGUCCAUUUACCUUAAAUUAUAAUAGAAAGUAUUCAAUACAACAUCACUGCUAUUUUCUCAUCUUGCUUUCUUAUGUGGGGGGUUUUGCAAAUAUAUUUAAAGAUGUCAGUGGACAGAGAGGGGGUUUAUAAAGUUGGUACAAGUGGCAAUUUGUCACUCAAUUCUUGAAGUAGAAGCCUGCUUUAGGCCUCUGGGCAAUGAUCCAUCAUAAAAAUCAACAUGCCUUUAGACAACCAUUAUCAUAAAAAUCAUUAUGCCAGAGGUUUUUGUUUUUUUUUUUCUUCUUUUCCCUGAAUAUAUGAUACACACACACGCCCACUGAAAAGCCCCCCACGAGGAGAUUCAGGGAUGCCUACCCAAAUCUUUUAUAUUAUGACUUGAUGCCUAAGAGUGGUGAUUUGAGUGUUAGAAACUUUAUUUUCAUAAUGUUGUCAAAUUAGUUUGUUAUUAUUCGGACUGAAUAGAGCAGCUAUUUCAAUUUAUCCUCCACUAUUUGUACAUGGGUUUCUCUUGUGUGUUUUCAAAACGAGGGGAAAAAAAUGGAGGACGAAAAGAAGGAAGAAAGGGAGAAUAUAAUUCAGAGGUUGUUGGUAACAGCUUGGGCAGGCGGAUCCAUUGGGAUUCGAAUUGUGAAGGCUGGUUUGAUGGACUCAUUAUUCCCUAAGAAAUUCUGACUGUCUCCUGCCAUGUUGCUCCCUAAGUCCCUGUACCAUCCAUAGCCAGCUCAUUUCAUUUCAUUUCAUCCCCCUCUGCACCUCUGAAAAAUUCUUUCUUACAAGGAGGGACUGGGUUUUGAGGACAAACGACCCAUCAGCAAUAGUUAAUAUUGUACCAUGGUAAUGCUCUCCAAUAAUUGACUUGAACAGGGUUUUAAUCAUUUUUAUCACUUUGGAAAAAUUAAUAUGUAAUGAUGCAAAACACCAAAUGGGUAUGUGAUGUCAAAUGAUGCAAGUUCAAAUGUGUUGCAUUCUUCUAUAUGUCAUUUUCUGCCUAGGCCCUUUCUUUGUGAAGUGGUAUAGGCAAUACAGCACUAACUACAAUGAAACAAGACUGCACUUUUCCCAUGAGAAAGAAACAAGUUUGAAUAACUCAAAUUCCAACACAACCAUCCCUUUGGUUUUCGUGUGUUCUUAACAAAGAUAACAUAGAUAAAUGUCUGCAGAUACACUAGCAAGCUAAUAGAUUUGGUGUUUACCAUCUACACCUUUUGACUCUUUUUGUUAAAUUAAUUUGUUUCCAAAAAAGAUUAGAGAUUAAUAGUUGAUGGGCUUGGGAAGAGUUAGCCGAAGGAGAGAGCCUGGGUGGGUUGAGCUUGAGCCCAUAAAAGAUGCAACUUGUUGAGUUUGUGUCCAUUCCAAAAGGGUGACAGCCGGCUAAGCCUAAUUCCCCAUACGUGGAGAGCAAACCCUAGUUUAAUCAAACCUUGCCACAAGACUAGGUCCCAGCCUCUGCAAGGCAUUGCCAGACCAGUCAACAGGUCUAACCCAUCUUAACAAAAGACCCACUUCUCCUUGUUGGAUGAAAGGCCCGGAAAGCAAAUCCAAAGUCCAAACUAACGAGGGGCCCAUAACAAAAGCCCAGAAAAACUUCUUACUGAAAUCCAUAUUUUAACCAAGAAUGGCAUACAAAACCACAAAACUGGACUGAGUCUAAAACUAGUCUGGACUGGGGGGUGAUUUUGCAGCCUCCAAGGUUUUGAUGAUCAUCUUCUGUAUUGCCAUGGCUGGGAUAGUGAAAGUUGCACACAAAUCAAAGGCCUUGUAGCAUUUACCCAAAGCAUUAUACUAAUUAGGGGAUCCAUAUUGUGUUUUAAUAAGAAAAGAGCUUUGCUUUUUCUCUAAUUUUUAGGCACUUCAUCUUAAGAUGUGUGAGAUGUGGGCGUUGGUAGAUUGUUUUUUUUUACUAGUAAUAGUAUUUGAUUAAGCUUACCUAAGCUGUAUAUAAUAUUUGUGGGAAACCCAAUGUCCCCACUCUUAACUAAAAGGUAUGUUUGCUUCAUAUUUCAAACUAUAAUUUCUUAAUGCCAUGAAAGUCACAUAAAAAUAUGUGAUAAAAAAAACUAGUGGAUGCACCGAUGAAGUGAAAGUGAUUAAUCAAAAACAACACAAUUCUUUACACAACCUUAGGCCCUACUAAUUUGCCUCUAUAUUUCAUAAAAUUGGCACCGGUCUAACCUAUUUUGAGAAGCCCACCAAUCAUUUUUCAACUCUAGCUGCCUGCUAAUGGGUUUGCACCUAACUCAUUUUGGAAUUGAACUUUGCGUAUGGUUACCAUCAAAACCCAUCCCCAAACAACCCCUAGGACUAGGUCGGUCGCUAAUCCAAAAUCAAUACGUGGUAACUGUGUAUGAUUUGGGAAAGAGAUUUCAAUGCAAGCGUACAAAAACAUGGAAAGUUGUGUCAUUCAAGUUUUAAUGCAAAGUUGGGUCUUAUAGUGGUUGUAUGCUUGGUGGGCUCAUCGAGAUUUGAGAGAAACAAACCCCCACGUGAGGGAGAUUUGCAGAGACAAAUCCCAAUGAUCAUUACAACAUGCGAAGAAUUUUGGAUCCACCUAGACAAAACAAUUUUACUUGCCCAGAAAGAAAGAGAAAAAGAGGGGAAAAUGACUUUCAAUAUUAGCAAUUGUUCCCAGGAUUCAUGCUCUAGAGAUUUGAGUUUCCCUUGAAAACUGCAGACUGUACUCCAAACUCAGGUCAUGGCACCACUCAACAGCGAAAAGAAUUGGGGAAGAUGUAGGUAAAAAUUAAUCCUGCCCAUGUGGUUCAUAUGCCCUGAAAUUUUGGGAAUGCCGUGAACACUUUGGUGGGGUUGGGAUGGUGGUGGGUUCCAUGCUUGCAAAACGCGUUUCAAUUGGAUGGGCCUGGGGCAUAUCUGGCAGCUCACAUCCAGUUAAUUAUGUUGAAAUUUGACAAAUUUGACAUGCCGUACCGGUAUUUAUUGUGGGUUUGCUUCAUAUUUUAGGUAGGUUGAAAUAUUUAAUAAAUCUGAGAUGGUGGUCAAUGGGACAACAUCUCCAUCUCAGAGACCUAAGAAAGUUACAUAUGGAAUUCGAGUGUGGACCUUUGCAUGUGAUAUUUUAACAUUUUUUAUGACUCAUUUGAAAGACUUUUGCAGGCGUGAAUGUAUAAUGUCAUGUUUUGAAUUCUAUUUUUCUCUGGAAUAUGGAACUAAUAUUUCAAUAUUGAUUAAAAAAAUAGGGACCCAGACCCAUUUGCCAUUUGGGUAUCAGAAAUGCAUAUGUGGGGUUUGAAUAUUUGGGAAUAAAUAUUAUUUGGUUCCAGUUCCACACCAUAAUGGUAGUCUCGAAGAGUUAGCCGGCCUAGCCACCCAAACCCAAGCCUGACCCACGAGGGUGUUGAAUAUGUACCUGCUGAAUUAAUUAUAAGACUUUUGGGGUGUGGAAUAAUGUAAGAAAACCAAAUGCUGGCUUUAUCCACAUCACCCCAAGUAAAAAACUGAGAGAGGAGAGAUCAGAGAUGAAGCCAAUUUCAAAAUCGGAAACCCAAUUUGGACAUGGAAUGGAAAUGCUCAAUUAAGAGAAAGAACUUGAAAAAGUUUACACUUUUCUGAUAAUCUAUUGUAUAAUGGUAUAUUGAACAAAUCAAUUUUCUAUACAGUGUAAUCUAGAAUCACAAAUCCAGGAAAAAAAAAAGGGAAAAAAAGCAAUCAUUCUAAUGCUAUAGAUCCACCCAACAAAAUCCCUAGAAAACAAAAGGAGAAGGAUAGCAACCAUAUGUAUAGGAAAGAAACGCGAGAGAGAGCCUCUACUGAUCAAUUAUUUGGUGUGGAGUCCACAAAUGAGUUGUGCCUCUUAGAUGGACCUGAAGGAGGAAUAGGGACUCCUUUGGGGAAAAAGUUGAACAUCUGGCCUCCCUGUUGAAAACUCGUCUUGAACUUAUGCUCCUGGGGAUUCAUAUGCGCCCGCUCGUUUGAUUCUUCUUGCUCCGCCAUCAUCAUUCUCCCUGGUCGAGUUGCAGUGCAAGAGCCUACAACAAGGAAGAAGAUAAAGACAAGGCAGAUGGGUUUGCAUGAAAGGUGCAUGGAAGGAGAUUUUGAAGAAGAAGAAGAAGAAGGAGAAGAAGUAGCAGCAGCAGCCAUUUGGAGAGAAUUGUCUUUGGAUUAGGGUUUUAGAGAGCAGAGGAGAGGAGAGGAGAGGCUUUUGUGUUUUCCUUUUUAGUUUUUUACAGAUGAGUGGUUUUUAUACUGCAUGGGGAUGGAAAAAUGCGUGGCAAUUGGUAUGUAAAUGUUAGGAAGGAGGGGAGGAGGAGUGAACUGCACGCCAAGAGGCUAUUGAAUUUUGAUUUUCCAUGUCAACGCUUUGGAAAAUUAAAACCCAAUGAAGGGAAUUUGAGUGCCGCCUUCCACCAUCCUCCAAUUUUAGUUUCAUUUUUUUUCUUGGGUCCAUUGGAAAAACUGCAGCAUGUUCCUUCCACCAACUUUUAUCUUUUAAAAAAAAAAAUGUAUAAAUGGCAAAAAUUGAAACCCCAUUUGGGAAAAUCAUAUUUACUUGUAAUUUAAUGUUGGUAUGGUUAUGAAUAAUGGUGAAAAUUAACAUAAGGAUGCAGUAUAGUUGAUGGAACUUGAUUAAGAUUAACAACCAGAAAGAAGGCAAUAAUUUUCAGACAAGAAAAUGACUUUUUUGUUUCUAUGUCCAUUCUUCGUGUAAAAUAGUACACUGCACCAAUAUAAUGAUCAUAAAAAUGAGUGAAUCAGUGAAAAAAGUGAUCAAUAAUCCCAACUUUCACGUUUUGAAUGCUGUUUGGCACUUGGGAAAAUUGCAGAAAAUUAUAAAGGUGUGAGAACCUAUACAUAAUGUAUGAUUUUUCUUCUUUUUUUCCCCAAAAACUUGUAGAUCAUGGCAUCAAUAAUUUCUCAACAAUGUAUUACUAUUAAGGGGAUCUUUUGCGUGUGAAGGUCCCCCAAGAAAACAAGCUUUCUGGGUCCACUACUACUUAUCCCUUGUCCAAUAUUCAACUUUGACAUCUGGAUAUACCUUAUUUAUAUUUGAAAUCCUAAGUAUUAUCACUCACUUCUUGUUUUUUUAUUACCCCAAUUCAAAUGGGUCUUCUCUAAAUUCAUCAAAAUCUACCAUAUGUCUACAAAAUCUAAACAAAUUAAAUUUGGUCUCAUAAAUGUUCGUCUCCUCACUGCUGUACAACUUUAUUGACCAAAACCCAAGUGUUAAAUUAAAUAUUUUGAGAGAUGAGAAAGGGCAAGAUAAAGCAAAUGGAUGGUGUCUACUUGAUGACUUUGAACUGUGGCUACGUGUUGAUUAUGUGUCAUGAUCUAGGCGGUGGAGGCUGUACGUCCAAAGUCAACAAGAUGGAGUUGAUCUCAACCGUACACUCAAUAUAACAUUGAAUAAAGAACGGGAGAAAGGUUGACAAUGAUUGAUAAUAUAAUACUCGUACAAUCGGUCCAACGCUCUUAGGGCAACUAAACGUGAGCAGAAGACAAAGGCGGUGAUUAAGGGUUGUUGAGGACGAAAAUGGAGAUGCUAUUUCGUUUAUAGAGAAUUUGAGAGUCAAAGUCUGUGGUUUGGGCGUGGAAAACACUGUUUGAUAUUGCAUGUGGUGUGCCAUCUUUCCACAAAUGGACUCAGGCACCGCCGUGAACUGUGGACCGUGUGGCUUCCGCCUCGUCCAAGUGGCUGGCUCAGGAGUCAAGGCUUUUUGGAUGAGAAUUUGGUAUGUUUUGGGCCCAUUUUGAAGUCAUGUUGAUGGUUUUCUUCAUAGCUUUUAGGCAUUUACGUUUGGGAGAGGUCUACUAUGACCAUCAUUUUUGGGGGAUCAAUUCAGUACUACAAUUGGAUGAAAGAACUUUUAAUGAAAUCAUCCAUAAAGAUAAGUCAAUAAGGUUCUAAAUUGUGUGGAAGAACAUAAAAAAUAAUGCUUUAUAAUCCUGAAAUUGUUAUUCAUUUUCUUAUAAAUUCUAUGAGAAAAAGAAUGUAUUAACUAUCAAUGUGGUACUUGUUUAAGGGGACUUUAGGAAAACUAUCUUUUUCUCAUCAUGCCUUCAAUUCAAUAGUAGAGCUAAUAAUGUAACACCGACGACUUCUUCUAAGUUUUUUUUAAAGAAAAUCUCAAUUUGCCUUUGACAAAGUGGUGUAUGAUUAGGUUGAGCCGAAAGUAAUUACCAAUAUUGUCAAAAUUAAUGUGAAAGGUGAGAGACUAUUUGCAUAGCUCAUUAAAAAAAUACAUCUAAUCAUAAUGUGUCACAUAUAAAAUUCAGUCGUAUUGUCAUUUAUAUCUUAUUACUUUAAACUUUAAUAUUAUUGGUUGGUACCUUAAUCUCGUGCAUUGAUACCUUUGUUUUACCGUCUAUAUUUCAUCAUAUAUUUCCAAUGGUUAGUAUUACAAGUUUGAUACUUAGCAAAUCAAUAUCACAAAGUAAAGAUUAUAAAAUGGUCAUAGUCAUAAGCAAUUUUCUUUUCACAUACUGGGGUAGGGUAAACUUCUAGCAUUUAAGAUGAAUGGGCCUACCAAUCACCAAACUUGGGCGCUCACCUAAUCAGAUUGUUGCCUCCUCGUAUGCAUACAUUAGCCACCAUUAAUAUACCAAUAAUAAAAUUUGGAUGUCAUUUUCAAAAGUUUAACAUUUUCAAAAGGUGCAUGAACCCCAUUUGAAUAGCUUGUAGAUAACUUAAACUGAAAUGAAAUUAGGUAACUGACCUUUUCAAAACUCUGCACAAGCUUUUCUGCAAGCCUCAAGUCACAUAGCUUCAAGGAAAGCAACUCAUAAAAGCAAGUGCUAAAGUCUAGUGUUCUUGUAUUUGCCCAUUGGUGAGUAUGGCUCUGGCUCAUCCACACUUUGGGGACUAAAGUUGAGUUUGAUUGUUUUUAAAAUUUUAUUUUAAUUAAAGUUAAAUUCAAAAUUAUAUUUUUGAAGAGGUAAUAAAUUUUAUCACUUUAAUUAAACCCAUAAAAAGAGUGGCAUUUCUAGAGGGACCUAGGACUUUAUGCAGUCUCUUUCUCUUUCAUAAUGUAAAGUUGAGUGUGACAAAAACCCUUUAUAAAUAUAAAAUGAGUCUACUAUUGAGUUUUUUUCUUUACUUUUAAAAUGUGAUUGUUAAAUUUUCAUUUAAAUGUUUAAUUAGAAUUAAAAAAGAUGUAAAAAUAUACUUGCAUUAAUCAAAACUCAUCAUGCAUCAACAUGAAGUGUAAAACUUUUUAGGAUAAAAAUACCCAUAAACAAAAAAGGUAAGAUGCUCUUAAAAAUUAUAAUUAAUUUCAUUCACUUCUUCUGAAGUUUUGGUUAAAUACAUUUAGUCCUUAUAGGUUUAAAAUUUCAUCAUGCGUCUUCCUUAUUUUGAGUUGGAGAGAAAAUAAGUGAAAAUAAGAAAUUAAAAGGAUAAACAGGUAUUUAAUAAAAUUUCAAAUUUAUAAGGGUUAGAUAUAUUUAGUCGAAAUCUUAUGAGAGGUGAAUGAAAUUAACCUUAAAAAUUAAUAUGCACCCACCUUCUUUGUUUAUUUACCUUCGUUACUUCUCUUUUAAUAUUUUCAUUACUCUAAUAAAAUCUUUAAAGAGAUAAAAAAAAAUUUUAAAUUAAGCUCUUUGUGAUCUAAAUCAACAUAAGCAUUAUUUAAGAAUCUAUUUUACAACAUUUUAAUAUAUUUAUAAACUACACUUACUGCAUAUGUAAUUUCAAAUUUAAUACAAACAAUUAAAUACUUUAGGCAACCAAUAGCAUUAUAGUGAGGGCUUUAAUAUAAGCUUCACUUUGUUCUUAGUACUAGAACAUAAUUGUGAUGAUAAUAUAAAGCAUGUAGCAAGAUGGGUAGUCACUUGUUUGGACUCAUUCAUGUUAACUUUACAAUAUUUUAUCAAUAUACUUCUUUUGAAAUAUCCAUUUAUAUAUAUAUAUAUAUAUAUAUAUAUAUAUAUUUGUAUCUCUUUAUAUUUUAAUGCCGAGUAUUUUAUUUAUAGUCCCAAGAUCUUUCAAAUCAAACUCAUCACUCCAUAUAUGCUUCAAAAUUUUAAUUUUCUAACUUACUAUGAACAACAAUCAACAAAUAAGAGAUUCAUCAUUAAGUAUUAUAAAAUAAACAUCAUAUAUCCACGAGGCACCAUGAACAUGUUAAGACGUAUUUAACAUUGAUGAGGAACUUACUUCAAAUCAUAUAAACACCCUUUCAAUCUACAUACAAGGCCUCUUUUCAUGGUUCCAUAAAAUCUUUAGGUUAUUAUAUAUAAAUUUUCUCCUCCAAAUUUCCAACUUCAUGUCUAACAUAACAAACAUAGCAUGAAGAAAUUAAAUUUCAUUAUGUUUCACAAUAAAAGAAAAAAAAUCAUUUUAAUUAAUUUCUUCUUUCUCCAAAAAUACUUAUGUUAUCAAUUGAAUUUUAAUUUUUUUUUUAGACCCAUUUGCACCUUAUUGAUUCAUUAACGUAAUUUUCCUUUUUCUUGGGUUUUAUUUAUUUGUAAUGAUUUCAUCUCCUCUGGCAAAACACUAAGACAUUAGUCUCUAUCAUCUCUUUUGAAUACAUCUUGAAAACAAUAGGGACCUUAUCUUCUAGUAAAUGAUGCAAAAGAAAUCAUGUUUUCAAAACCAUACCUUAACAAGACAUUAUAUGGAUGUCUUUCUCCAUCUCUGGUGAUGCAAUAAGAAUCAUUGGAUUGGGUUUGGAUGAAUGCCUUUACACUUACUAACUUUUGUUUUAAACUUUACCAAUUCUUUCUUUCUCAAAUUCCAUCUCAACAAUUUAUUUUUGUAGUUGAAUAUUUUCAUUAACAGUUUCAUUUGUUCCUAAUAUUUUUUCAACAUAUAUUUCUCAUCAAAUACCAAAUCUCUACUCACCAUUUUUUUUUUCUUAAUUAUUGGAUCCCAAAAUCUUUAAUUCCUUUUUCAAGCCUAAGGAAUAUGCAUUUUUUCUUUUUCAAUUUUGGAUCAUAGGAAUAUAAGUAAAAAAAAAAAAAACAUUUUAAGAAUUGACAAAUCAAUUUGUUUACUUGACCAUUCUCUUUUUUUUAAAAAAAAAAAAUCUUGAAAUUAAUUGUAGAACAUGAAUAUCAAUUACCCAUAUAACAAGUGUUGUAUUGAUAACCUCAACCUAGAAAUUCUUAAGUAACCUAGCAUUCAAUUUUAUACACUUGACAUAUUCCAAGAGUAUUCUAUUCAUCUUUUCAGCCACUUCAUUCUAUUAUGGAGUUCCUCUACACAUGAGAUAUCAAGUAAUAUGUGAAUUCCUGUGUGAAGCCCUUUGUUUUUGUACUCAAGUUCAUUAUAUGAAAUAUCUUUUUUUUUUUUGUUCAUUUGUUGUUCAACUUCUUUUUUCGAUUCUCUAAAUAUUCCAAACAUGUACCUCUUAUUUAUGCUUUAUAAAAGAGACCUAUAAUUUUCUUGAAUAGUCAUUAACAAAACAAAUAAAUGAUCAAUUAUUAAGUGUCGGUUAUGAUGGAAUUCUAGAAAUAAUGACAUGAUGUAACAUAAUAAGUUUUUAUUAAUAAAUUGAUUUAUUAUGAUUUCCGAUUCCCAUUUAUAUCCUUGAUUACAUUAUUCAUUAUCUAAGCAUUCGCAUUUUUAUCACUUACAUUAUUCAUUAUUUAGGUAUAUUCGGAGUUGUAUACCUAAAAACCAAUAAUAAUUAUCUUGUGUAAGCCUCAUCUCCUCCAAGUGCAAUUGUUAUCAUAUUUACAUAAUUCAUUAAUCAAAGCAUUGGAUCCUAGUCAUUUUCUUCUUUGUGCAUUCAUUGGUUACAGCUAGAUAUUACUCUCUUUCUAAACCUUUCCAUAUGUAUCUUUAUGAAAAAGUUCUAAAGUAUCAAAAGAAAACUUGUUACAUUGUAAAUAUCCAUUGCAAUCAUGAAAUCCAAGUAUACAAGAAUAUCAAAAGCUUCUGUAAAGACACUUCUUGGCUUAGUGGAUACAUCUCCAAGCUCAAAAGAAAGUCAAAAGGAGUGGAAGUAAGUGGUUGUCAAACCACUAUAAAUUGUAAUAUGCAUUUUCUCCUUCCUUUCUCUUUUACCAACUUUCUAUUCAAUUAUUGCAAUUCAUUUUAAUUAAGCUUCAAAAUUGUCAAAUAAUCUAAUACUAUAUACAAAUUUUAAAACUAACCACCACACAAUUUACACCUCCCCCUCUUUUUUUUAGCAUGUAACUAAGUUGAUUACUUAAACUUCACACCAAUAACAUAAAAUUUUCGGUUUCUGCUUCAAACAUUAUCUUUAAUUACAGUAGUUAUUAAAAGUUCGAUUUACAGUGAUUUUAAAAAACACUUUUAAUAUUUUUAAUACUUAAAAAAUUUUACCAUUCAAAUAUUAUAAAUAUAAAAAAUAAUUUCUAAAAUUACUACUAAACGCAUUUUAAGUCAAGUGAUUGAAAGUAAAUUCGUAUUUUCAAUCAUACAUAAGUCAUGCAAAUCUUUGUUGUAACUUUAUCCUUAAGGUUCACAUUAUUUAUGGCCUCAUAAAAAAGCUAUCAAUGUAUCACACUGGAAACUUCUCACUCAUCUUUUCAAAUAUCUAUCUCAAUAUUUUAUUAUUAUUUUUUACAUGAAUUAUUUAUACAAUUUAGCACGUUAAAGAAUUGCAUUAAAAUUUAGAUGUUUAUUUUCUUACAUCUUAUCAUCUUUAAAGGGUGCCGUGUUGGAGCAAAAUCUUGCUCCCCAUCUUGAUGUACAUGUCAAGAGCAGGACAAUAAUUUCAACUUUCAAGCCCAAUAAUUGAUUAAUUGGCUAGAUACGUGAAGUAGUAUACAAAUCAAAGUGACUUUCUACAAAGAAAAAUAAAUAAAGAAAUGUUUGGCUUUAAAUGAGAGGCAUUUAUAUCUUCUAACCCCAACAGCCCCAACUAGUGCACACUGGGUCCAUUGGACAGAAAUGGAAAUGAAGAUCAAACUCUUAAAACUUUAAGUAGGUUGAAGCAUGCUAUUAAAAGCUGAGUUUGGGAUCAGAACAAUUGCUUUUAAAAAGGAAGCCCACACUUAGAUCCAACUCUGAAAUAAUUCUCAAUCUAAUCCAUUUUAUACAUUUGGAUGGGUAGAUAAAAAUUUAGGUUCUCUUUAUUGAAGAUAAAGGUCAGUCUAACUGCUGCAUUCUUUUUAUUUUUUUCUAAGACCUGCAAUGGCCCAAAAGCUCAAAGGCAGAAGCCCCUUUGGAUGGAGAUGGAAGAGAUAGAUGAGGAGACAGCAGAGAGUCCAAAGGGGGUGAAGAACAUUCAAUUUCAUCUUCAGAGCCCUUUAAUGGUUGUUCGUAAGGGCAAGCCAGAAACCGACCCAGAACACAGGGAUCUACCUCAGAUUUGCUGACAAAGUUUCUACAUUCGUUCCUUUUUAACAAUGGGAAGGGGACCCACUCAUCAUCAUCUUUAAACAUAAGGCCCGUAUUAAUAAUUAAUUUAAUACUGUCCUCAACCUAUGGGCUAUGAGCCUACAAUCAACCCACUCAGUACUGGCUAUGGGCACAGUGCAGACCCCAUUAGUCUGCUCCCCCCAAACCCCACACUUCGCUUUCAAUCUAUUAAACCCUGAACUGCCAUGCCUUGAAAAAGCAACUGUAUAUAAAAAUAAUAUCACCACACAUCCUUACUUCAUUGUGAGUUUACCAGAAGAUAAAAUGGGAAAUGGUAGAAUUGCAGAAGACUAGGAUUAAGUUUAAUAUUUACACGAGCAUAAACUCAAAGGAAAUGGGAAUGAACAACCACAUAAGGUUCUUUCAUUUUCUGUCACAAGGGAAACUAAAAGGAUGUUAUGUUAUUGUUACAUCAAAAAAGGGUUAUCCUGCAGGCUAGUAGUAAACAAAUCCUAUGAGAAAAAAUUCCAGAGUAGAAUCAUGGUUGAUAUCUCAGCCAGAAAAACCCACCAAAGCCCAUCAAUAGCAUGGCUUGAGAAUCCCAAAGAGGCCAUGAAAUGGAAAUUCUGAUCCGCAUUCCCAUUCUCAUUACCCAACUUGGUCCUUGUAUCAGGUUCAAGAUAUGUGACCUCCUGGUCGCAUGGCUUUACUCCAAAAGGAACAUGACUUGAUGACAUUAACUCAACUGGGUAACAAAGAUUUGGGUUGUUCCAGGCCCCAAAUCGCCUCUCCAUUUUCCCAUAAAACCAUCCAGAGAAUUUAAGCUCCCCUGUCAGAUUGUUUCCAUUUAGGUAGAGCGCGGUAACACUAGGCAGAGCUGCAAGCUUUGGUGAGGGAUUGCCCGUGAGAUUGUUGUCAUUAAGACCCAGAAACCUCAGACCCUUCAAUUCUGCCAGUGACUCUGGAACCUCUCCUGUCAAACCCGUGUUGGAGAGAUCCAAAAUGACCAAGUUCUGUAGAUUUUGCCAUUCUAAGCUCAAGAGGUCUCCCCCUAUUGGGUUGUUGGAUAGGGCCAUAUCUUCUAAGGAAGCCAUCUCUUGAAGUGACUGCGUCAACCCACCUGAAAAUUUGUUGUUUCUGAGGUCCAACAGAGUUAAAUUCUUCAUAUUUCCAAGUUCACUAGGCAGAUCCCCCUCCAAUUGGUUGUUACUCAAAUCAAGCUUCAAGAGUGAACUCAAACCUCCAAAACUCGUGGGUAAAGGCCCAGAAAGAGAAUUCCUGCUUAAAUCUAAGAUUAAAAGUUCACCCAAUCCACCAAAAUUAUCAGGGAUAUGACCUGUAAACCGGUUUCCAGCAAUGACUAGCCGCCUCAAGCUGACUAAGUUCCCAAUAAUUGUUGGUAAAUUUCCACUUAAUCCAUUUUCUAAUAGCACUAAAGAUUGGAGCUUCCUAAGGUCUCCAAAACCAGUAGGGACUUGCCCAACAAGACCCGGAUUGGACCUGAACUCUAGUGAUUCUAAGCUGCCAGCAAGUUUAUACCAAAUAUUUGCAGGAAUGGUCACAGGAUGUUUCCGGGGUGAGAUGAAGCAAUUCAAGAAGGACAGGGUUUUCAGGUGCUUAAGCUCGAACAAAUGCAGUUUAAAUUCCACAUUAUGGGCACAAUCAAGAGAGUUGUCUUGAACAGGUCCAAUGUUUAAGGCAGUGACAUACCAGAAACCAUCAUAGAGAUCACAAGAGACUCCCUGCAGAAGAAGAUUGAAAAGAUACAAUUAGGAUGUUAGCAUGAUACUAAACCAAAUUGUAAUGGUAAAAGCUCAAGACUUUCAGAGAUUAAGCAAUAAUCUUCUCUGCAGGUGUAUUUAAAUCGAUAAUGUACUAUUCCUGGAGAACAGUGAUCAGACCUUGGGGAAAAGUUGUGGAUGAAUUUAUUGGUUGACCGUCAGAUAUAUAUAAAAAUAUUGAUUGAGCGUUUGCAUAUUUAUGACAAACAACUGAAGAAGCAGAAAGCAAAUGAUUGUAGGUUAUGAUUAAAUUGGUUAUAGGAAAUUUCCUAUCUCCCAACUUCAUAUAUUUACUUACAAUUCAUUACCAAUCCUAGAAUAACAAUCAUGAAAAAUAGUCCAUACACUUCAGAACAAACAGAGAGAGAAACAAACAAACAAAGGUUCUCCAAGCGCUUGCAUGUUGAUUUACAGUGGGUUUUGAAGCUAUUUCUUGAGAAGUAUUGGCUUGUGUUACAUAAAAUGCUAUCUCCGAUAACAAGUCUACUCUCUCUGCAACCCAUUUUAAAACAUUUUAAAACAUUUUAAAAAAUGGGAAAAAAAAAAAAAAACCUCAGAAGAGAACAAGAAAAUUUUGGAGGAAUCUAAACGUCAAUGGAUUAUUAUCUUUGUCUGUCUCGAUUAAAGAAUUGUUAAUAUUAACUAAUUAUUUUAUACCAUUCCUUUUAAUUUAACCAAAAAUGGUGCAGGUAACAAAAACACAUCUGUAAUUUUCAUUGGACUAAGAGAAAACCUCAAAGCCUUGUAUCAAGUACAAAGAAAAAGGGUAUCGUUAGGAAGCCAUUCAUAGGGUAAUCAUACCUGUAUAGGAGUCCACCCGCACGGGUCUGGGUAGAGAUCUGAGCCAUUCCACCACGUACCCACGAACCCCUGAAUAGUAGAGUACAGGGCUUCUUGCUCUGUUUUCUCCAUAGGAGCCACCAUAGGAGCCAUUUCUGUGUCUCCAUCACCAUCACAAUACACUCCCAAACAGAGGAUGAAGAGAACUAAAGUGGUGUGAAAAAUGGCGGUGAAAGGCUUCAUGGAUAAUCUCAGGGGGGAAAAAGAAAAGAAAGGAAGAUUAGAACAAACUUGAGGCAGAGCAGAAACAGGGGAUGCCAGAGUGAAGAGCCUUGGCUUGAAUCCAGUAGAGCACUCUAGUCAUUAAUUCACAAGGGUCUUCAACUUUCUCAUUCAUGAACAAGAAUCGAAGGUUUUGGGCUCAUGAGGUAGUUCAGAUGAGAGUGAAAAAAUACAGACCCAGGAGACCAAAGGAACGGAGGACACAACCCCACCAAUGCAGAUGCAAAAAUCAUGAGAAAAAUCAACGUGGGUCCCCCUAGAAACCACUGGUUUUCGAGGAAAAUCGUAUACCGUUUAGAGAGAAAGCUCCAAAGAUGUUGAAACAACGAGGGAGGAGAAGCAAAGUUCGAAAGCAAAGCAUUUUCUUGCUAAUGUUUAUAGAAAAACGAAGUAUAGAGCAGAGCAACACAAGAUUGAAGCACAGUUCUCAAUGCUAAAAGUAAUAAUAGUAAUGACAAUAAUAAGAGCAGUAGUAAGUGAAGGGCAUAGGGUUGGGCCAUGAAAGUGAAAGGAAGCUGAAGCUUGUGCGGCUCUGCAAUGCUGUCCUGUGAUUCUCCUAUUAGACAUUAAUGACAAUAAUUACUACAAUUCAUUGCUACAUUACAUGCAUUAAAAAAAUUUCCAAAAAUGGUUAAAGGGCUUGGUUGCUGGGGCCUUAAUGGUUUAAGAUGGUGGUUCAAGUGUCAAAUUAGUUAGCUUAGGUUAGAUUCUGGGGUGGGGUUAGGGUUUGAGUUAGGGUUUAGGGUCUGAGGGGACCAUUUCCCAUGCAUGUAAGUGCAUGCAAGACAAAGUUGAGUUUUUUUUACCCCUUCAUUUCUUCCCUCCCUUUGAGCUGUUGGGUUUUCAACAGUUCUCUGGAAGAGGAUAGGGAAUGAAGAAAGGACAAAAGCUGCUAUUAGGGCUGAGGGAAGCCUUGGAAAGUGGGCACAUUGGUCGACUGCAAUGGGUCACAAAAAUUUGGCCUGUGAGGGAACUCUCAACUAAGCCAAAACAAAACCAUAUUCCAUCUGACUGACUGGGCUGGCACAUCCUCUUUGGAUGCUCCGCCCUCCACUUUCUCUAAUUUCAUAUAUUUAAUUACCCAAUACUCAAGCAAAAAAGCCCAUGGAUUCUCAACUAGGCCAAACAUAAUGCUUGCUUUUUGGGUGGUGAGUGGUGAGAGCUGACCAGAGGAAGUCAAAGUAAAGUGGGAUUUGGGGUGGCAUAUCACCAACCAAAUUGGUUCAAAAACUAGAAGUCUAGUGUCAACUUAAGUCUAUAGCUUGCCUAAUGUAGAUCAAUCAAGUGGUCCUGGACAGUGGGCCAGAGCCCAUCUAAAUCAUCACUCUGUUUGGUACAUGGGUUUGUAAGGUGGCUUUACGGCUCGCAAUCAAAGGCUAUAAACACAAAUGUCAGUACUGCUUAAAGACCCACUGGUACGAACUCAAUACAACCUAGACCCAUAACCCAUCUAAGCCCAUACUUUGUUCUACGGCUAAAAGUAAAGCAGCAAAUGGCUUUGGAGACUUUGGAGUUUGGACCACCCUAUCAGAGUUAAUUCUGAGAUGGGAUAGCCACCACCCCCCACCUUUACAUCUUUGCCUUGGCAGGCCUAAUAUGCCGAGUAGUCACUUUCCAUCGACCUUUCUAAUUGUUGCAGAGAGGGAAGAGAGAAAGAGAGACGGGAGAUUUUGUGGUUUUUUAAGUAGCACAUGAACCAGAGCCAGUUCAUCUCCACUUACAUUGAUUGGUUCAAUUGCACCACUUCACCCAUCAAGAUUGAACAAAGUGCCUCAGUUUUGGUUUGGCCUUUAAACCAAAGGAUUGAAUAAAUGGGUAUUUGAUAAAACUUAAUAUUUAAGUUAUGAUAUUAAAUUAUUUUUCACAUUAACUUGAAGCAGAAAUCAAAUAUCAAUGGGGUGGGAAUGCUUCAGUUCUAUAAUAUCUCUCUUAAAUUCGAAAAUAGGUAACUGAAAUUAUGUUUGUUAGGACAAACCAACAUGAUAUGAAAUCAAAUGUUGUGAAAAGUUUGAUCCAUCCUCAUUAGACAUCAUAUGAUUUUCAAAUAAGAUGAUUAAAACCCGAGCCAGAACCUCCCAUACAUGUUAAACUUCUUGUCCUUCAUACAACUAAUGUCGCAGGGUAGUUAUGUUUGCGGGUCUUCUAACUGUUUCAAAAUGCAAAUUAUAGUUACCACCUGACUUUGUUGCAUCAAGCCUACUUUCAAAUCAUUUCAAUAAAUCAGAUAUGAUUCCCCUAAUGAGAUGCUUGAGUCAAAGGCAGCUUUCAAAGAGAUAGAACUCGUUGAAAAAUAGCAAAAAAAAAAGAUAGAUUCAAUUCCUACACGGCAGGACUAUGUUUCAGUUUCACCUAGUGAAAAGAAGUUUGAUCUGACUUGACGGAGAACAAUCACAGGGGAGGAGGGGGAAUGCCACAUGCAAGAUUGGGGCAACAGAGUAAUAACCAUUCCAGCUGAGAUUUUUGAAUUUUGGGUCAAAGUAGCUUUUGAUCCAAACAAAAAAUCAACUUCAGGCCUGUGUUGAGCUUGAAACAAUCGUUCAAAUUAGCCUUCUUUUUUUUUUCUUUUUUUUUUUAAAUUAAAAAUGCAUUUCUUCCUUCUCUUCCACCCGCACACCCAUCACCAUGGACCCAUCCAUCGCUGGCGACGUUGCUGUCGGCCACUCCGUUCCCCCUUCUUCGGUCGAUUUCAACCCUUGCUCCCUUCGCAUGUUUCCUUCUUUCCCUAUUUCUCUUCUCUCUCUCUCUCCAUCCUAUCCAUCAUACCCAUUUUUCCUUUCCUCCAACUCCGGCUGCUACUCAUUGCCAGCCAGCGAUGUCAUGCCGUCCUUGCUGAUGAUGCCCAUGGUUGCCCCCACCCAGACCCACACCUCCAUCUUCAAUUUUCUUUUUUCCUUUUUUUAAAUCACUUUUAAAAAAAUAAUUAAAAAUAAUAAUAAUAAAAUACGCUGAUGGGAUAGAAAGAGGCCAUUUUGAACCAAAGAUUCAAAAGGUGACCAAAAUCCACAUUUGUUUGGUUAAAAGAGGUUAUUUUUAACCAAACACCAGAUUUUUGGUGAAAAGUGCUUGUCCUUUCAGAAAUGAUAUUAAGAUUCUUAUUCUAGAAUAGAGUAUAAACAGCUCAUUUUCUUUGCUCGUCAUUCUAGAGAACUUUUUUAGUCCCUAUUUUCUUAACAUCCAAACUUUCAGAGAUAAAAUGAAACAGGAGAAAGUGAGAUCACAGACCAGAAAAGUCUGCAAGAGAGAAAACAAAAGGUGAGAUUCGGUACCAACAAUUUAGAGGCAAAUCUGAGUUCUAAAGCUACAUCAUCGAUUACAAUACAGUAUCAACUAGGGCCUGAUGUAACUAGAAGCAAAGAUCAGUCCUGACAUCCUAAACAAGGAACCCCAAAGAGAUUUUCCCCUCAACAGAAGCUAGAAUUCCUGAGUUAUGCUACUACACAAAAUGUCCAAUACAAUAGGGGAAAGAAUCAGAACCUCCCAAAAUCACUCAAAACAAUGCAUUGAUUAUGUUGUGAAAAAGUUCCAGAGCUUCUUUCCUAUUGAAGCAUCACCCGGAUGCUCGGAUUCAUCCUCAUCGCUGUUGUCAUCCUCCUCAUGUGACAUGCUCCCAUUUUCAUCUUCAUACCCUGGAGUAUCACCUGGAUUACCUGGUAUCUCCUGCCUCAACUCCAUAUUUUCUGCCAACCUGGCUGAAUCAUUGUUGCCUCCAACAAUGUCUACUGUUUUAAACUGCAUUCCAACAAAAAAAAAAAAAAAGAAACCAACACAAUUAAACAUUAAUUUAGAAUCUUUGCUGUGAGUGUCAUCCAAUAACUAUUACUACUGCAUAAAGAGACAGGAGGGUGGAAUUUACCCUAACAACCCGAUCUGGUGAGUAUUCACGAAUUUCAACACUUUUUAAUGUUGUAACAUGAACUAACGGUGUUGUUUUGGGAUUGUCACUAUCUGCUAAUGAUGGUGAAGAAGCAGCUUUAGGAUUUGCCUUUGUUUGCAGUGUAUUAUCGUCACCACCAUCACCUCCUUUUUCAUCUCUCUUUGGCAGGUUAGCUGAGGCUUGUGCUGUCGCAACUGUUCCUGCACUGAUCAUUUGUUUAGAUACACUUUUAGAAUGAUGACUCUUAAUUUGGGGGUUAAGUCUCCAACACAAUUAAACAUAAAUCAAGUUCUAUGAUGCUUCAAGCCUGGCCAAAUAUAAAAAAAAAAUAUCAUCUCUAGUAAGAUAUUUUUAAUUCUUCAAUCUAAUUAAUUUAAAUAUUUUCCAGUUUUCAAACUAAACAAACCAAUUAUUCACAUCCUAUACCCCUGGAUAAUAUCUAUCCUAUUAUUAACCUGAAAAAUACUUGAAACAUAUCCAAUUAUCCAAAUUUUAGGCCAAAAUGCCACUGCCACUAUCCAGUUCAAAAAUACAAAUACAACCUCCUUGCAACACCUUUUUAAAUAAACAUGGAGAGAUUUUGAGCCUGUUUGUAAUAACACUUUCAAAAACAGUACUAAAAAAGAAGUUUUUGAGAAACAGCUCAUAUUCCCCAUCUUUUCAAUAAUUACUCGGAAAACUCUACAAAAAACAACCAAAAACACCUCAAAAUUGUUCUAGAAAACAACCCAUUUUCUGACAAACUGUUUUCUGUCAAAAAAUUGUCAACCGUGUUUUCUAAGUCAGAAAACAGAAAACUGUUAAAACAAGUGUCAUUAUUAGGCUUAUAUGGACAAAGGAUUUCUGAACACUUUUUUUCAGGGGUGUAUUUAUUUUUUUUCUAAUUGUGAACUUGGGACUGACUUGUUAUGACUUCUAAAUUCCCCUGUAAUGGGUGCACAGAAUAUUAUGAUCACACAUUAAUUAAAGCACUGAUGAAUUCAAGCACCCAGGAGUUUGAUAACAUGUCAGCAAGGAGAAUUGCCCAUGAAUAUUUUUAAAAAUUGAGCUGCAAAGCCAAUUUCCAACAUGUCUUCAAACUAGGUUUAUUCUCUUCCAACCAAUCAUCACAAACCACUAACCGUACUGACCAUUCUGUGUGUAAAGGUUUCAUACUGAUACAAAAGAAGGAACUUACGUCUUAUGCCGCCUGAGAUUAUAUCGUUUUUCUCCUGGAGUUUGCACAACUGGAGCAACAGUUUGCCGCCUCUUUCCGCGCCCACCUGCUGUGACACUAUCAGAACGUCCUUCACUGUCAGCAGCAUCCUGCUCACUCUCUGUAAUUCUAGAGGAUGGUGCACGCUGCCGCUUUCUUGUAAUGGUGCUAGCAGCCUUCUCAGCAUGACUGGUUUCUCGCUCACCUUCCUCAUUGGUAUAGGUAGAAUCAUUAGGUCGCUCAUCACCAUUCAGCUCUGGUAUUUCAGGGGUUUCACCUAGAAAAGCUUUAGCAUCUUCAACCACAUUCUUCACUGAUCGUGUUCUAUGAACUCCAGUCCUCCGUUUCCUCCCAGGUUUCCGUCGACCACUCUUCAGCUCUGAUUGCUGGGAAUCUUCUGGACCUUCUUGUUCUUUGCUGCCCAUGUUGCUCACACCAUCAACAGAUUGAGCAUGCCCACCAUCUACUUCUCUCAUGACACUAUCAGAGUGAAGCUGUUGAAUAUCAAAGGAAUCAUUUGCAAUCCCAAAGGAUGGUUCCAGUUCAUCUUCAGCAAUACUUUGCCCAACUAUACUUGGCCCCUCAGCUUUUUCCAAAUUGACCUGCAAGUCUAAGAGAGGUGACUCCUCCCUUAGAACUUGAACACCAACAUGCUCACUCUUCUUACUUGGGGACAAGUUAAAAAUCUUUGUGGCACAUUUACGGAGGAAAGACAUGCGCCCACCAGAACCUGAAGACACCAAAUCAAUUUCACCUGUAGAUAUCUUCACGUUUGUUCCAUCAGAAGCAGCCAUAUUGCCCUGAGGGCUGUUCAGAAACUCAUCAGCCAGAUUUGGAAGAGGAAAGGCCUCCACCUCCAUUUCAGGUAAUUGGAGGUCAUUUAGUACAAAUUCCCUUGUGAUUUCUCCACAGUUCUUGCAAGUCUUGUGCUUGUCAACAAAUGUAAGGAAACGAUCUCUUUCUUUGAUAAAUUGCUCUCUCUGAUCUUUGAGCUUCCUGCUAAGAAUACCAAGCUCAUCAAUGUCUUUACGCAUUUCAAGUUGGUGUCCUUCCAGCUGCCUUUUGUUUAACAAAACUUCCUGCUUUUCCUUUUCUAUUCUACGCCUUUCUGUUUUCAUUUCUUCAAUUUCCCGUCGAGCAACUUCCUUCAAGUGAUUAAUAUUGUUAAGUUCUCUCUCCCUUUCCUCUUCAAAUGCUCUCUCCCUUUCUUGCAAGCGUUUCUGUAUUUCAUCCUGCCUAUUCUGCAUUUCAAUCUCAAGAUCCCUUUUUCUCAACUCAAAGUCCCGAAGCAUUUGGGAAUGAUCAUUUUGAGCCUUUUCAGAUAAAGUUACCUGCUCAUGCUUCAUUAUGGCUGCAAAUGAUUCUUUUUCUAUCCUGACAGCUUCCAACUCCCUCUGAAUAUGUUCCUCCAUUGCAAGUUUCUCCUUUUUUAACCUUUCUUCUUCAGAGAGAUGCAGUUUUUCUAAUUUUUCUUUCUCGUCACCAAUUUCCCUCAUCUCUUUAGUAAUCACAGCUCUUUUCUCAUCCAAGGCUUCCCAGUCUUUCUCAAACAUAAUCCUUUCCUGCUUCAGAUCUUCACGUUCCUUCUGAAGCAUCUCUUCCUGAUGUCUGCAUUUGUCUAUCUCUUGUUUCAAUUCCAAUUGCAACCGAUGAUGUUCUGACCUCUCUUCUUCAGUUACUUUGAGUCUUUCAGUCUCUUCAUGAAUCUGCAGUUCUUGUUCAGUAAUAUCAGCCCUUAUCUUCUCAAGCUCAUCUUUGAGAAGAUGCAGACUCUCUUUAUCAGCCAGCAUUUGCUUCUUUUCCCCCUCUACCCUUUUCUCCUCAGCUUUGAGGGACUUCUCUUUCUCCUUCAAUGUUUUCAACUUUGCUUCAAGCUCCUUCUCCUUCUCCUUGACUCUCUCCAAUCUCUUUUCUAAAGCUUGCUCUCGUUUUCCUAGCUUUUCCUCCCUAUGGAGGACUUCAACUUCCUUCUGCUCCACUUCAUGUACCUUGCUUCUCAAUUCUUCAUCAACAGAGUUUCUCUUUUGUUCCAUUUCCAACUCAAACUCCUGCUUCUUUGUAUCAAGGAUAGCCCUGUGCUCGUCCAGGAGCUUCUGAAUCUCCACCUGUAAGAGAUCCCAGCAAUAAAAAUGUGAGACUAAAAUAAUUCUAAGACUUUUAAACCAGCCACACUAUUGCCUUCCAAUCAAAGACCUUCUGAACAAACAAAAAAAUCAGUACAAGAUCUCCAUCCAAAACAGGUCCCUAGCAACUAUGAAAUCAACAAAAAGAAAAAAAAUUCAACACCAUCAAUAAAACAGCAGAAAGACCAUUCUCAACAAGCACCUUCUUUGAGCAUCCUUUCCUCUGCAUCUCGUGAACUAUAUCGUACAUUUGACUACAAAAUGUAUCAUACAUGCAAAAGCAUUUAACACUUGAAAGAAUAGAAUUUAUGAUAAUUUUCAUAAAAAUUAAAAGGUCAGAGACAUAACCUAAAGCACCUCUAACAAUAAAAAAGUUAGCUUGGAGUUCUAUGAGUUAAAACAUAACAGAUCACUGCACUGAUUCAGACAUGUAGGCAGGGUCAUGACCUUUUACUUCAAGCCAUCCAAGAGAAACCAAGUAACUCUAAAUGUAAAACAACAUACAUCCAUCAAGUUCUAACUUUCAACUCCCACAUGUAAAUGUGUAUGAUUUCACCAUCAAUCAAAGUCUCUCUAUGCCUUCAACUCAUAUAUUAUAAUUAUUAUUUUUUUUUAUCAGUAAAUGAGAUUUGUAUUAAAGGCCAAAAAGGGCGCACCAAAGCACACACGAUGUACACAACAACAGCCAAAAAGCACCAAAAAAAGGAAGAGGAAACAAAAAACUACUCCCUCCCUCAAACCAACCCUAACCAAUCAAUGAAAUCUACCAUGGACAUCAAUUUUUCACCUAUAAACAGUUUGGUCCAAGAUAACAAAUUACACAAAAACAAGUAUUUCAGCCUUUGGAUUGAGAACUCCACAUUCUCAAAAGAUCUUCUAUUUCUCUCUUUCCAAAUAGUCCAGAAGAGGCAUAAAGGAGCUGCCCUUCAAACCUUUUUCCACUUUCUUCCAACAAAAGUGUCAUGUCAGCCUAGCAUAGUCUCUCUAACUGUGGACUGCAUCACCCAAAAAACUCUAAAGGGAGAGAAUAAAAGCUCCCACAACACCCUCGUCUUAUCACAAUGCAAAAGGAUGUGGUCAAUUGACUCCUCAUGAGAUAGACAAAGGAAACAACGGUUGGCCAAAGACCGGUGUUGUCAAAAGCAAAAGGCGAUAUCAAGGCAAUAAGACUCCUUUUAGCCUAAGACGAAAGGCACAAAACAAGGCAAUAAAAAAUAUACAUAUAUUUACCUAUUCGAUAUUCAACCAAUAUAAGUGUUGUCUUCAACCAUCAACACUAUUAAUUUUUCAUCAACACUAGUAAUAAUUAUUGAAAGUGUUAAAUAUUAUACCUCAUAUUAUAAAAAACAUCAUAUUGUUUAAAGAUAUCCACCUAUUUAAAUGUAUAUUCUAAUUUUUCAAACAUCUAAAAAGUAAAAUAAAAAACAAAAUAAGAGAGUGAACAUUCUAGAGAAGCUUUAGGCAAUCAUCAUCAUAUUCAUUAUUGAAAUUAAAAUUAUCAUUACUUUCAUCAAGACUAGAUUGAUAACCCUCUAUCUUAUUAUCUCUAUGAUAAUAUAAUAUUUUAUCUUAUACUUUGUUUAAUCCAAUGUUAGAUUGAAUGAAAUUAUAAUCUAAGUAUGUUUAAUUUUAAUUCAUGAUCAAAGGCAACCCACCUCUAUGCCUUAUGCCUUGCCCAAGGCAAUUGCCUAAGCAUUGCCUAGGCAUUGGCUCUUUGAAGUUGUCUUGCCUAGGUCUUCAAAAGGCGACUUUUAUCUACCCUACCUGGCCUGAUGGCCUAGGCGACCCAAGCAAUCACCUUUGAUAACACUGCCAAAGACCACUCCCUCCUUUGAAGCUGGUCAAGAGUCAAAGUUUUUCCUCAAGUCACCUCCCAUGCAAAAAAGCACACCUUAGGAGGAACCCACGCAUUCCACACAACACUAGAAGGGAAUUGCACUACCCUUCCUGUCUCUAAGCUAGCAUAAAGUGAUUUAAUAGAGAAAGUCCCACUCUUCGUAUCAACCCAACACACUUUAUCCUCUUCAACCACUUUAUCUUGAAGUCUUGCCCAAAAGUGUUCCACAAUACCAAUCUCCCAAUCAUUUAAGGGCCUCAGGAAGUUAAGAUUCCAGCCACCCCCCUCAUUAGAAUGUUGCCACAACUCUGCCACAACUCUGCCACCCAAGCGUCUUUAGAGUUAGAAAUGGCAAAUAAAGAAGGAAAAUAAACAUUUAACGGCUCAUCCUCGCACCACUUAUCUUUCAAAACUUUAUCCUUUUCCCAUUGCCCAUCGAAAAGGACAAUUUACAACUAACUAAAUCCCUUAACUUUCUUAUGGUCUUCCAUAACCCAACACUGUAGCCUCCUCUAGGUUCCUUAGAGCACCAACCCCCUUGAACUCAUAUAUUAUUAGUAAGAAUGAUUCCUUAUCACAUGAAAAAAGUAUACAUAUUAACAUUAAUUUCAAGCAUUACAAAAAGAGAUAUUCUACUUUACAAAAGCGAAACCAACAAAAUCAAGACCAUUAAAGAAAUGGAAAAAGAAAACCCUUUGGGACUGCACCAGAUCAGAAAUGGGCUCUAAAAUUAUAAUGAAUUUCUUUACUUUCCAGUAUGGCCUUGUUCUAAAAAUAAUAUCCCCAAAAAUGUUGAGCCAUGCAUAUCAUGCAUAUCUUAUUGUGUAUCAUGCCAAUCAUUGAAGAAAUAGUUAUAUGAGAGAUUACACCAUAUGUGGGUUAUUUUUCUUAACAGCUAAACACUAUAAACAUAUCAUGCUGCAUAAUAGUAAUAACUGUGCAAAUGAGACAUAAAAGCACAAAUCCAUCCAUAGAAAACAUCUCAAAGUACAACUUACAGAAAAUCAGGAGAUGGAACUCACUCUUUCUCUAGCGCUAAGUUUUUCUUGCAACACAAUUAAUUCCUUCUCUUUCACUUCAAGAAUGCCUCUCAUAGAUUCAGCUUGCUGCAACCAAAUUAGAAGUAAGAGAAGAUUUCUUAUAAAAUAACUGCUGAAUUAAAUUAAAAAUAUUGCAGUUAGAUGAGAAACUCACUUUCUCCUUCACAGUUAACUCUGCUAAUCUAUUAUUUAUAUCAUCUUCCUUGACUUUUACAUUUAAGCUGUCUAAAUCAAUCUUCUUCUGUGCCUCUUCAAGAUUCCUCUCUUUCAGCUUAAGAGUCCUGUCAAUCUCAUUUGCCUUUUCCUCUCUCUGGUUGAUGAUUCUCCGACCCUCACAUAGCCUCUCUUCCCCUUCCUGUAGUUUCCUCUCCCACUCCCUUAAAUCUUCUUUUUGUUUGUGGAAAGUUGCUUCAUGUGCUUCUCGCCUGAAAGAUAUGGAGCAAAUGCAUUUUUAAAUUGUCAAAAACUGUCCAUAUUAAGUCACAAACUCAAGGAGAAUGUAACAUCAUCGAGUUAAUGACAUGGACAUAAAAGAAAUAUAGAAGAAAGCAUACUCUGCAUUUAAGGAUAGACGCUCCCUUCGAAGAACACUUUCACGAGCCUCAACCUCUUGCAAUUUCCUCUCCAACUCUGAACUCUUCCUACUGGCCUCCGCAAGCUUGGCAUCAGCAGCAAGCAACUUUUCUUCCACCUCCAAAGAUCUCUUUUCAAUUUUGGCUACCAAAGCGUUAGCAUCAGACAACUUUGUCUCAGAUGAAAGCUUGAUUUGUGAAUGCUCUGCAUGGAUUUCACCUAAAGCCUUCUCAAGCUGCAUCGAGGAAGUACACAAUCACAAACCCUCCCAACCCUUUUAUCACUUUAGCCAGGCCUAAAGGACCAGCCUAUCAUCAAAUCUUUUAGAAUAUGUUCAACAGAAAUGGAAGGUCAGUUCAUGAAUUUCUCAUACAAAGGCAUGCUCAUGCACUAGGAAUAAUAUCUGGUAUUUAUUUCAGUGGGUUUCAGUAUGUUCAGACUUCAUUGUUGGACCCUCCCAAGAUAAAACGAUAGUAUAUAUUUAUAAGUACAUAAAAAGUCUAAAAAAUGCAGCAAAGGUGAGAGAAAAAAAGAGCUCACAAACUAAACUUUCUUACCCCUCCCAAGAUAAGACAAUAGUAUCAAUAAGCUAAAGUAAAAGUCCAAAGAUACACUAGCCCAAAAACUAUAUAUAUUUACUAAAAAACUUUUUGUCUGCACAGAUGAACUCUCCACAGCCGCGAAAAAACUCCUACCAAAGAACUCUUAUGCCAACCCAGCAAAUAACUCCAUUAUUAGAGUUGGUGGAUGUAAAGGAUAGUAAUGAAGAUUGAAUGUUGUAGUAAGACAAGGAUCCACACAUUUUUUUGUCGAAGGUUUAAAAAAAAUAUAUAUUAGAUGUGCAAACUAAGAUCUGGACAUUUUAGUCAUUUUAGUGAUUCGGUCAUCUUUGUCUUCUAGUGUUUCAGUUGUAUUUUGUAGAUUCAAUUGUAUUUGGGUCCUAGUUUCUUCUUGAAGGACCAAUCAUCCAUUAAGUGUGAUGAUUAAUCAAUGCAUUCUGUUGCUUCUUAUUAAAAAAGAAAAAGAAAAAGAAAAAUAACCAAAUACAUAUCCUAAAUAUUCAUAAUAAUUAUACAUACGUAUGCAAAUAUACAACAAAAGUCUUGAAGAAAAUUGGUCAAAUUGGCAAGUAGUAACAUACCUCAGCCACACACUGCCUCUCAACGCCUAAAGCUUUCCUCAAAUUCUCCUCUCGCUUCUCAACUUCAGAUAUCGCAAUGAAAUGUGCCGACUUCUCACGCUUGAGGAUCUCCUGUGCUUCUGCUAAUGCUUGGCUGAGUUCUUCAUACUUAGAAGUCCAUUCCUUCUUCUCGAUUAAGAGAAGUCCCAUGCUAUACUGGUAAUCAAAAAGCUGAAAAGGAAACCAGAACAUUUAAUUAGAUAACAAGAGAGUAUUACCAAAGUAAAUAUGAAGGAAGAAAAGGAAGUUAAAUCCACACUAUCAGGGAUUCAGAUUACAGAAAAUCAAAUCUAUAAGAGAAUAAUCCAAGGCCCAUCAGCUCACUAAUCACCAUGCUCCACCAAACUUUCAAGUAUCUAUUCUUUUGAUUCAGUAAAAGGAGUUUUUUUAAUCUUCUUAGUUCCCAAGCAAGUAGUAAAGUUAAGCAUGAAGAGCUUUCCACGAUCUAUAUUGCUUUUGAGUUUCCUAAGCUCUUCACCGCAUUCAUUCCUAUGGAUGAAAGAAGCUGAAUUUCAGAUCAAGUUUCUCCAAGUUAAUUUUUAUCAUAUUUUGCCUAAACAUCAUAACUGAACCGAAUGCAAUCUCUGAGCCUCUGACUACCAUGAUUUUGACAAUUUUACAGAAUGAGUUUGAUCACCAAAUUUUUAACCAUUUUUACUUAGAAUUGGUUCGAUUCUAAUUUAGAAGUCUGCCUCUUGUUUUCCUGGAGUCCUGGAGUUUUGGUAGUUUUAAAACCUUGGUCAAAAGUAAUUACAAACACCAUGAUUAGACUCUCCUUCCUGCAGCCCUUUCAUGUUUAAUCCUAAAACCCCAAAUCUUCAUCAUUACAAACCCCCAAAAAUAAAAAAUAAAAAUAAAAUACAGCAAAUGAGACAAUCAUAAAAUAUGAAAAUUCCGAAUAAUGAUUCCAACGGGUUCUUCAUCUCUCUAAUUGCAGAGGCAGAUUCGAAAUAUAUAACGACAUUACCAGCAAAAUCCCAAAUAAAUGUGUUCAAAUAUAUAUUUCUCGACUCAAAAUUCUACUUACACAAUCCACAAGCUCUCUUGUUGCCAAAAAAGAAUAAUUGGUUCAAAAAGCACUAAAAAUUGAAAAACGAAGCAAAAACAAUAAUUCUCAAAUGUAACAGUACUUCCUCUCACCUCGUUUUGGAGUUUUGAAACCUUCUCCACAAGCGCUUCUCUGUCCUUCCUCUCCAUCGCCGCCUCGUCCAACAACCCCGCCUCCCUUAACCGCCUCCAAUCUUCCAUGUCACCGCCAUCAAUCCCUGUUAACAUCGCCUUUCCACUCAAAGAACCCAACGGAGGCGGUGGCCCAUCCACAAAGGCCACAGAUUUCCCCUUUCCGCCGUUUACAGGAUUCGAAACCGCCCCACCACCGCUCUUCUGAGCCUCGCUUCUUGGCGUGAGCGAUAAACCAGUCCACGCCUUCCUCUGAGGCGUAAACAUCAGAAAUAGGAAUUCAAAUCCCUCAAAUUUCUAGAUCUUAAGACGAAAUGUUAUCGAAGAAACCCUAUAAACCUAUAAACCCUAGUUCCCGUUGCUCCGUACAACUCAGACUUAACGGAGGAUCUUGACGGCUACGGAGUUGCAAUACUCCGGCGAGUCGGAUAAAGAAAACCGAAACGUACCGAAACUUUAUGCCGAAAAAAAUAGAAAGGACCGAAACUUUCCGAGUUCCUCUCUUUGAACGCAGCCAUUCUCGUUCUCUCUAUUAUUUCUUGGUCCGACGCGAAUAGUGCUUCUUGAAAUUACGAUGUUGCCCUCGCUUUUGGUCGUCUUUUCAGUGCGCGUGAUGGUAGUAACGUCAUUUCAUGAUUAGGUGCCUUGCUUCGGAGCGUGCACGUUGGAUGUCGAGAAGAUCCAAUUUAAAUGACCAAAUUACCCUCGCGAGCCGUUGAGAAAAAGGUGGGGUAACUAAAUUUGAUGACUUGAGGGUUCUGAAGUCAAUGCAUGGUCGAGACUUGGAAUAUGCCAGAUGGAUGUGUUUAUGCCGCUUGAGGAGAAAUUGAAGAAGGAAAAUAAAUUUAUAAAAAUAAUUAAGGAAAUAUUCAAAUUUAUUUGUGGAAUCUAUUUAUACAAUUUUUGUUUUAAUGUAUUUACCGAUUUUUAUUUUUAAAAAACAAAAAAUAAUUAUAAUUACGACAUAAAAAUAAAAAUAAAAAUUACUAUUUCAAAUUUUAAAAAUCAUUUUUAAUGACAUACUUUUUCUUAUAAAUUAUUUUUAACAACCCAUUUUUAUAAAGGAAUUAUUACAUUUUAUAUAAAAUUACUAAUAUUUUUAAUUUUAAAAAACAUAAAAAUAAAAAAUGCAUCCAAAUGACUACUAAGUUAAUUUGAAUAUUUAUUUAAUUAAUUAUUAUAAAUAAGUAUAAUUUAAAUAAUAAUAAUUUUUUUAAAAAUUCUAUAAAUAUAUUUUUUUUAAAGUCACUGUAGACCCCAUUUUGGGGAGACAUCUCUACAGUCACACAUUAUAAAUGAUUUUUUAAAAUUUUUAAUAAUAUUUUUAAAAUUUUUAAUAAUAUUUUUAAAAUUUUAUCAAACACCAUUUUUUAAAAUAAAUAAAUAAAUAUUUUUCAUAUUAAAAGUUUUUAUGCCAAACAAAUUUAUAAUUGACCACGAUCUUCCAAGUUAAUAGUAUAUCAGUCUAUCACUCUAUAGAAUUUUAAAUACUAAGCCAUUAUAAUAAACUUAACUCAUAAAUAAUUUUAGAUUUGUCCUUCUUGUAACAAAUGUUGGAAAUUAAAAUUUUAGUUUUAAAAAUUAUUUACAAAUUUUAAUUGGAUUUAAGGUUUUUUUUUUUUGGUCUUUUAUUAUAUUUAUACUUAUAAUUAUUUGAUUAAAGGGGUUGAAAUAAUCCCCGGUUUAUAAAUUUAACACUCCACCUUUUUUAACCUAAAAAUACUAAAUUUUAGUAAAAAUAUUAUUAUUUAAAAAAAUUAAAAAUAGUAUUUUAUUUUAAAAUUUAUAUGUAAAUAAUUAAAAACUGAAAAUAUAAAUAUUUAUAUAAAAAAUUAAUUAAUUUUAAAGUCCAAAUAUGGAGAUAUUAAAUUUACGAAUUUGGAAUAAUUACAUCCCUUUUCAAAUAAUUCUUACUGGUAUAUGUAACAAUACAUUAUGUAUGUCGAUUUAUUUACAUUUUGAAUAUUUAUUUAACAUUUUUUAUAUAUAUUUGAAUGAUAUAUGAAAUUGCGUGAUUAAAAAUAUUCUUAAGAUUGAAACCAAAACUUCUAAUUAGUGAUAAUUAAAUAAGUAAUUUUUAUUUUUUUAAAGGACCGAUAAAUAGAUGAAGAUACACAUUGACCUAAAAAUAUAAAUAUCAUAUGAUUUUCCAUCAAAUGAGACUAUAUCAUAUUUAAUAACCCAUUCUCUAUAAUAUUAAAAAAUGAUGAUUUAUUUAAUUUUAAAAUAUUUUAAAAUAUAAAAAACAAUGGCAUAUGUGUAAUUAUUUUUUUUGUUGAAAUGCUUAUAAUUUUAUUUAUUAGUUUAUGUAUCAUUUGUAUUUAAUUACAAUACAAGUGAUUAAAAAAACUCAUUACAAAGAUUAUUAAGAAAAUUUUUAUAUUUUCAUAAAUGGAAUCAAUUUAAUUAUUGAAAGGUGGCCAAGUGGCAAUAUUGGAAGAUGCACAAGCACCCUAACAUAUUUAUUUUUGAUUUUUUUUUUGCAAAAAAACCUUAGGUUGCUUCUUGUUUGGAAUUUUUUUUUUGAGUUUUUGUUUUUUUUAAAAAAAGGUUUUGUUUUUUUUAUGGUUUCGUACUUGGAAAAAGUGUUUGAUUCAAAAAAGUGAAAUUAAAAAAAAAAAAGGGAAAAUCUUAUCUGAUUUUCUGUUUUUAGUAAUGUAAAAAAUAACUAAAUUUUAUGUAAUAAACAUGUCAUACAUAUUUUUUGAUGAUUUUACAUUAAGAUAUGAUAUAGUGUAUUCCAUGGAUCAUAAAUUUAUUAUUCUUAUUAAUUUAUUUUAUUUUCUUUAUUUUUUUUAUACUACUUAUUUUGUAAAACAAAAUAUUCGAUAGUUUUCGAAAAAGUUAAAAGGAAAAUAUCAAAAAAAAAAAAACAAAAAAAAAAGAAAAAAAGAAAAAAUAAACUUAAAAUCAAUAUUAUUUUAAUAAUUUUAAUCAUAUCCAACCUACUUUCAUAUUUUCUAUAGUAAAAUUAAAUAUAAAAAAUCAUUUUACUUUGACAUUUUUUCCUUUUUAAUUGCUCGUUCAUAAAUAGGGCAUUUAAGGUAAUAAAAAGGAAACUCUAACUAGACUAGACUAGACAUUAGGUCGGGCCAAGCCCAUCCAAGUCACAGGCCUUGUCAAAACCACCGGCCCAAGCAAAAUCCUCGAGGGAGACUCUGAGGGCACACUGGACUAAACCACUCUCACGUUUUUACAGAAAAAGACCAUAACGUCCAAACACCACAUACGUUUCGCGCUCUAAUUGGAUGCAAUAGUAGAUAAACCCAGAAAAAUAAAUUACCCAAUCAGAGACCGUAGAUCUCUCUACUCCCCUAAACGCGAGCACCGAAUCAUACCCAAUCUAACCCUAACAUCAUCGCACCUCCUUCAAGGCAGUCAACAAAAAUCCGAAUCCAAACACACCGUCUGUCUCUCUCGCUCGCUCUCCCCCUUCUGCUAUUCUCUUUCUCUCUCUAAAACCCUUGGCUUCUCUCUCUUCGCAUGCUCUGCUUCCAUGGCGGUGGAAGCUUCGAGAUCGAGCUCGUCGGCCGAUUCCUACAUCGGGAGCUUGAUUAGUUUGACAUCCAAAAGCGAGAUCAGGUACGAGGGCGUUCUCUACAACAUCAACACCGAGGAGUCCAGCAUCGGAUUGCGAAACGGUAUUUUCGUUAUUUCUUGCGGGGUUUCGUAACUUUCGUUUUAUUUUCUUUGAUUUCGGUGUUUUUUCGCUGCGUUUUCUCUCAACUUUUCCCAAUUGGUGAAUUAGGUGGGGGAAAACAAAGGGUUUUGUAAUUAUUGUUGCGCUUGUCUUGGUUUUAAGGGUUUAGUUGUCCUUGAAGUCUCUUACAGAUUUGAGUAUUCUUGUGUUGUUAGGUAUUGGGGUUUUAGGGGAAUUUAUAUCAUAAGUUGACAUUGAGUUGUAUUGAUGCGUCUAUUGCAUGAUAGAGGACUCACAGGAAUAGCUUUAACGUUUGCAUUUGGGUUGCCCAAAACUGCCACUGACUCAUCGGCAUUUAGUUUUUGCUGAAUAGCCGGAGAUGUGCAACCAGGGAAAGUUUUGGGGGGUGGGGUGUAGGGGAACAUAUCUUGCUGAUAUGCACCGUAUUUUCAAGGAGUGACAGAAUUAUCUUCGAGAUUCUGAAAUUCGAAAUUUAGUGAUAAGAGAUGUUGUCAUUAAGUCUCUGUGCUUGUGAAUCCCUCUCUAAUAUUUCACUAUGGUCGAUUUCAUCGUUUUCAAAUCCUAUGGCUUUUGCUUGUCUGCAAUUCUCAUUAGUUAAUAAUUAUCUAUUAUUAUAUUUUCACUCUCUUAUUAAAAUUUCACUAUGGAACCAGACUGCUAGUGACUCAUGUUGAAUGAUGGGCUUGUGGAUCCCUCUUUACUAUUGCAAUAUGGUCAAUUUCAUCGUUGUUAAAUCCUAUGGCUUUUGCUUGUCUGCAAUUCUCAUUAUUUAAUAAUUAUCUAUUAUUAUAUUUUCACUUUCUUAUUAAAAUUUCACUAUGGAACCAGACUGCUAGUGACUCAUGUUGAAUGAUGGGCUUUCUCUAAGAAAGGUGAAAUUGGAGGAUGAGGUGGUCGGGUGAUUUUGAUGUGUGUGGGUUGAGCUUUAUCUUUUUCUCAAGUAAUAAUCAUGUGGGGAAUAGUUUGAUAUGGUUGAUAACCAUUUUGUUUAAAACUAUAAUUUCUAUGUACAUUGUAUGCUGUUGGAAAGCCAAUACAUUAUGUAUUAUGAGAAGAAAAGUUUGGGAUUUAUGGUUCUGGUUUUUUAAACAUCAUAUGAAAGUUUUUUUAGGGAUUUUUUGAAAUGUGCCCAAAUGUAAUUGUGAAAUUGCUCUUAGUAGAAGUGAAAUGCAAAUUGGGGUGUAUGAUUGUGCCUGUGCUAGGGCGUGGGUGAAAAAUUGUGAAAGAACAUUCACAGAGAAGUGGUUGCAUAUGUUUAACUCAGUGAUUCUUUGAAGCUUAUUAUGCACAGUCAUCAAUUAUAAUAUUUUUUUUUGUUUCAUUUACCUAUCAAAAAAAAAAAAAUCAUUUUUCUGUUUAAGGUUUCUUUAAUCUCAUGUAUUAUUUCAUGUUUAUACUUACUGUUUUGUCAAGUAAUUGUCAACCUAGUGUAAAAAAAAUGGUUCCUUUUUUCUAAUCUAUCUCCUGUCACAUGGCAGUAAGGUCAUUCGGUACAGAAGGACGAAAGAAGGAUGGUCCCCAAGUCCCUCCAAGUGACAAAGUUUAUGAAUACAUCCUAUUUCGUGGAAGUGACAUCAAGGUAUAUAUAUAUGUGAAUAAUUUGAAUGUCUCCUCUCAAUGCCUAUUUUGACCUGGAUGAUUGAAUAAUCUCAAGUCGUGAAUUACCAUAGUUGAAACUUUGUUUUAGUGGUUGAGCAUGGAUAGUUUGAGACUAUAUGUUUAAUGAGAUGAAAGGACUGAUGAUAUGUGAUGGUUAAACUGAGAUUUUUCUGGUCAAAAUGAAAACAUUCUAACUUUUUAGUUCUAGCACAUCCUUUUACCUUUUAGUUGUACCUGGGAUAUUGAAGUUUGAAACUACCUUUAGGUUGUGUGGGUUUCUAGAUAUUCUCCUUCAUUGUGAGGGGCUGGCUUGCUUUGGACUCUUUGCCUGUACGUUUUUGGCAUACAUUGAGUACCUUCACUUUGGCAAGGUGGCUUUGUGGAGGAAAAGAAAUCAGAGGGUUUUGGGAUAUUACAAUAUUUCCCACGCUUUGAUCUAUCUGUAAGUAGUAGCAUUGGCAUUUUUUUAGGGUUGAGUUGUUGAUCUUAAAAUUAAGGUAUUCCUACCUUCAUUCUCUUCUCACUUUUACUCUCUUGAUUUCUAAUAGGAUGGUUUCUAUGCAUUUUCUGGUUUUAUUGAUAGAUUGUGGUUGUUUUGGGGCUCUAUUAUGGUCUUCUUUUUCUUACUUUAUCUUGCUUCCUGGGCUUUUCCCUGUAUACAUUUUCUGUACUAGGUUUGCCCUGUUAUGACAAAUUUCUAAAAACUUUGUUUCACCUAUUUAAAAAAAUGGUCUUUACAUUUGAGUGAUGCCCUAAUAUUAUGAGUUGUAAAGUCAAUUUGGAAUAGGAAGGAGACAAAAAUUAUAUACAAACUUCCAGAAGUUACAAGUGAGGAAAACUUAAGAGUCAUGGUCUUUUUAUAAUGAUAGUGCAUUCAUUUAUGACUGUUUGUAAUUGACCUCUGUUUUGAACUAUAGUGAACCUUGCAGGCUUGGUAUUCAAUAAGAGUGUAUUUGUAUUUCUUUUCUAUUUAUUUAUGUUAUCACAUUAAUGUAAUUUGUUAAACACUGAAGAUUUCUUUCUUUUUUUGAUCAUCUUUGCAGGAUUUGCAGGUUAAGUCUUCACCUCCUGUUCAGGCUACACCACCUAUAAACAAUGACCCUGCUAUUAUUCAGGUGGAUAAAAGGAUGACCCACCUUUUUUAUAUAUGUGAUGCAUCAAAUCAAGUAAACUUGAUUCUGAAUUAACCUUAAUUUCUUAUGCAGUCUCACUAUCCUCGCCCAGCUACCACAUCUGCAAGCUUGCCAUCUACUGUUAGUGGGCCUUUGCCAGAUCUUAGUUCCCACAAUGCACAGUUGGGACUUCCUGGGUCAACUUUUCAAGGUGGUCUGCCUCUAUAUCAACCUGGAGGGAAUUUAGGAUCCUGGGGCCCUGCACCGCCUCCCCCUACCGCAAAUGGCAGUGGCCUUACCAUGCCUAUGUAUUGGCAAGGAUACUAUGGUCCCCCAAAUGGGCUUCCUCAUUUACACCAACAAUCUUUGCUUCGGCCCCCACCUGUUCUGUCAAUGCCUCCAAUGCAAUAUCCUGGUUUCAAUGCCUCUUUACAGCCAGGAGCUCCAAAUUUGCCUGGUUCGAAUCUACCGGAAUAUUCUUCUCCUUUGCUUCCAACCAGUAGUGGUUCCCUUAAUUUAACCUCUACUUCUUUAUCACCAUCUACUCUGCCUUCAAAUCUGCCUUCAAGUAUGCCUUCAAUUCUACCUUCAAGCAUGCCUUCAAUUCUGCCCUCAACUCUGCCUUCUGCAUUGCCUCCUGUACCAUCUGCUGCUUUAGCUUCUGAAACCUUAUCCAGUUUGAUGCCAAAUAAGGUUCCUAAUCCUACUCUUCCUUCAGUAACACUAGGUAUUAGCUUGCCAUUAGUCACUCCUUUGAAUACAUCCAGUUCGGAGAUAAAUGCUAUUGCACCACCAAUUUCUAACAAGCCUAAUGCAGUUUCUGGUCCAACAUUGCCUUAUCAAACCAUAUCUCAGUCCAUUCCCUCUGUUGGGACAUCUAGUCCAAAUCAUCCAGAAAUAGCAGCACCUUCACUGGUAACCCCAGGUCAGUUGUUGCAGUCUGGACCAACCACAAUUUCUUCAUCUCCGUCUUCACAAACAGCUCACAAGGAUGUGGAGGUGGUUCAGGUAUCAUCAUCAGCCUCACAAGAAUCAUCAGUUCCGGUGUCAGCAGAAGCUCAACCACCGAUAUUACCUCUACCAGUACCUUCUCGAACUGUUCAAAAGGUGUUUCUCUCAUUUAAUUGUUCAUUUAUUCUCCACAUUUUAUGCCUUUAUCUUUGUGUACUGGAAUAACUGAGCUGGAACCUAGAUGUUGUGGUUUGCAAUCAUUGUCUCUGCCUAAAGGGAGGGGUGAUGAAGGCUGAUAAGCAUGAUUGUCUGCAUAUAUUUGGUCAAGCUUAUCUUGUAGCUUUAGGGAUUUUCAAAUGGAAACUUUUAACUUAUUAUUGUAAUUUUUUAAAAACCAUGCAUUUGCGAUCUUUUAGUGACCCUAUAAUAUAAUUUAUAAUUCAAUCCACAUAAUAUGCAUUAUUUCUUUAUUGAAUAUGCCUUUUGCUAUUAGUAUUUAUACCUAACUUUUGGACAUUGCAACACAUUAAUUUAUUAGCUUUACAUUGGUAUCCUAAAACUUGAUGACCCACAAAAUCCAACACCUAGACGCACACCCAAGGCCAUGGCACUGGUACAUUAGCCCAUGUAACAAAGGUCCAUGCGAUGGAAGUUUGAAACACUGCAGUUCCUUUUAGAGAGGCAUUGUACAUAAAUGGGGCUGUUAGAUAAAUUCCUAUUGAUAAUUGGGAAUUGGUUUAGUGGAGUUAUGUGCCUUAAGUUUUGUUUUGUUCUUUUUUUUGUUAAAGGAGAAAAAGGAAAACACAUUGCCUUAAGUUUUAUGUUUGACAUUGGGCCUCGGAGUGUUAAAGAGUUCAUGUUGGAUGGGAUGUCAGUUGUGUUAAGUAAAGCAAAAAGGAAGUUUUAAGCAUCAUUUCUCCAUAUCAUGUUUUGGAAUGUACCAUGUAGGGGAGAAUUAUAAGAAAUUUUGAGGACGAGUAGAGUUCCAUUUUGAAGCUGGACUGUAGUUGUGCUGAGCAUGUGCGCAUCUUUUCUGCUGAUUCAAAAUUUAGUUUUAGUUUCUUCUUUGGUUGUUUUCAUUAUAUAAUUAAUCUUAACAUCAAUUUUUCCUCCGUACUAAGCAUUUUUUUUUGUGGGGUGCUGGCCCAGUGUUGGAGAUUUUUUUUUCAUUUUUUAUUUUUGGGUUGGGGGGGGGGGGGGGGGGGUUGAUUGUGGUUGUGUGAGUGUGUAUUUAUGCUAAAUGUCAUUUGUUAUGUAUAACUCCUUGGGUGGGGUGGCAGUUGUGUGGGUUGUGUUGGGGUAAGAAUUGAGAUGGGUUGGGUUGUUUUCAGGGAACUUGUUGUCUCGGAUGUUGAAUCCCAGAGGUGGUAAGAGCAUGACUCCUAUUUGUGGAAGUUUGACUAUCUUUUGCUCCAUCUAACAUUUUCACUUUUGAUUAUUUGGUUAAGCAAGGGAUGAUGAGUUAUUUUCAUCCACAUUUUGUGUAAGGGAGAUUUCAAAUUGAUGGAUCAUCUUACUAUUUUGUUGCCCUGCUCUGUUCACGAUACAUGUUAUGUCCUGUUUGUCUGUUUUUGGGUCUCACACACUUAUCAUUUUGGUUGGUUGAUCAUGUUUUUAGGGGCCUGGUGUGUGAGUUGUACCAAUUAUUGCUGCCUCCUUGUUUGAAUAGCAUCUACCCUUUAUCGUUUUGUGCAUUUGGGAGUAAUGCUAUACUAAAAUUUAGUCUUGUUCUGGCCUCUUUAAAAAUUUGGUCUUAUUCUUGCUUUUUAAGAAUAAUACAUUUGGGAGUAAUGUUUUGUUCUGUUAUGUUUAAUCCUAAUCACUGAUGAUGUGGGCUUGACAGUUAAAUCUGCCAGUUAUCAGGUUACAUAGGCAAUGCCUACUCUUCCCUGACUGAUAUCUGCCACUUUUGAUGGUUUUUAUUACCUUAUGCUAUCCUUAUUUAUAUUCUCUUGGGGGCAUCAAUAGGAUGUGAGAGGCUUGGACGUGAGAGUUUCUAAUGUUGGUUCUUGGGGGAAGUGAAUUCAUUCCCAUCUUUGUGGGUCUAGGCAUGCUGCUGAACCACUUUAGUUGUUAUUUUCUGAUUGCUGGUGACUUCAAUUUUCAUCAAUGCUGAUGGUUGUUCAAGGAGUGAACCCUUGGUGAUUCAGGUGAAAAAAAAUCUGAAACCUAGGUGCAGUGAGAUGUGGUCAUAUAACAUGAAUCCCAAUGAACAAUAUUUACUUCAUGGUAGAUGAAUGAGCUUUUUUGUGAAAUAAUUCAUAUAGAUGCUUUAUUGAGUUGAAUUAGUCCUCUCUAACAUGGUCCUUUUUCUUCUUUUUCCUUUUCCCUUUUAGUUGAAUGGUGCUCCUUUCCAAGGUCGUCAUGGUUACCGGGGACGUGGAAGAGGAACAGGGGUAAUUUUCUGUUUACAUUUGCAUUUUUUUUUUUUUUUGAUAAGUAAAGAGAAGUAUAUUAAAAUGAAAGAGGAAACACCAAACUAGUGUCCUCUAGGUAUACAAAGAGUAUACAAAAGCAGCCCCUCGACUCUAAACCAAGGAAGCGAGCCGAAACCCCUACCUAUAACAAAAGCCUAGCCACUCAAAAAAGCUAACCAGAGACCGCGGGCUCAAAACUAUAAACAUCCUCACCCAUGACCACAGAUUACAUACAAAAGAAUGUUUCAACCUUUGUAUUGACAACACCUCAUUCCCAAAAGAUUACAUUUGCAUUUAAAGAUCAAGAAGGAAUUACUGGAUUUCUGUCAACAUGAUAACUUGUUAACUUAGUCGAAGAGUUCUAUAUCAAAUUAUUGAAAGAGGGUUUUCUUUAAUGUCAAGCUCUUAACUUGUAGCUCUGGUUUCAUUUCGGUUUUCAGUCUAGAUAUUUUGUUCAAAAUGCCAAAAACAUUUGGUUGACUUGAACCGAAUGAAUUUCAUAGCAUGAAAGAUAUGAAUUUGAUUGAAAUCCUAAAGCUCAAUCUAAUUCAUUUGAGAAGCAGAGUGGGAAGAGGGGGGUUUGGGGGUGGAGGAAUUAAGUUAUAGGAUCCAAUAAAGUCAUCCAGGGUGAUGUAUUGCAAAUGUUAUCUGCAUGCUUCACAAUUUUUUGUUACUUUAGUUUUUGUUUUUGUUAUUAUUAAAGAUGAUUAAUAUGACAAUUGCCCUUUAUAGUUACUGUUAAGAUAAAAAGAUUUUAAGUUGCAACUGUGAUAGUGUAACUGCAGGUAGCUACAAACAGAGAGUUAAUGUUGGAUUAUUAAAGAGAGAAAAUGCUUUAUAAUAGUUACUGUUAAUGUGGGGAUAGAAAGACUCUGAGCUGAAAGCAUGAUGAGCCAUGGAAAUAACAAAUCAAUGUGGAUUGGGAACAAUCUAUUUAGUUUUGAAAUGGGCCAUGUUCAGCAGCUGUUGUCAGUUGAAAGAUCUAUUUGAGUUUUAAAUCAGUAUGGAGAAAAAAAAAGUUCCGGAAGAUGUUCUUUGGGUUUUUUUUUUUUUUUUUUUUUGAGAUAGGCAAAAUAUAAUAAUAUACAAUUAAGGUCCCUAACAAAAAAUGGGGCGCCGCCAUCAAUACACAUUGUGUAAGGUGUUAUACCAUGUAAUUUGCUUAAGCAAGCUUAAAUUCUGUCGCAGGCUUUUCUUUUGAGUAAUUAUGGAAGCUUUUCAAUCUAGUGAUGUAUCAGAUUAAGUCUGUCUGGAUGAUUCUAGUUAUUUUAGGAGAUUGGUAGCUUUCAAUAACCUUUUCAGGAUAUGUCUAAUCAGUAUGUCCCAUUCUAGUAGGGCAAUCUUUUUAUGGCUUAAAAUAUUUCCUGAUGUCACUGUUGGAUGGUUGAAGAAAUUCUGAGUUAGUCUUCAUACUUAUCUUGAAUCUAUUAUAGGUUUGAUUUUAUGGGGAGAAUAUUUGCAAUGAGUUUCUCCAAAAUUAAUUGGAAAUUUGACGGCAUGGAAUAUUUAACAUUUGCCUUGCAGGGCUCACGUCCAGUGACAAAAUUCACUGAGGAUUUUGAUUUCAUGGCAAUGAAUGAGAAAUUCAAGAAGGAUGAAGUAUGGGGUCAUCUUGGUAAAGGUAAUAAAUCUCAGUCAAGGGACAAAGAAGUUGAUGGAAAAGUCAGCGAUGAAGAUGAUUACGAAGAUGAAGAUGAUGCUGAAUUACCAAAGUUUGAGGUCAAGGUGGGGUUGCUGCCACGCAUCACUUGGACGCUAAAUUUGAAUUUCAAUAAAUAGGGAAGCUUGUUAUCUAUCUCUUUCUUACUUGGCCUUGUUGUUCUACAGCCCAUCUAUAAUAAGGAUGACUUCUUUGAUUCCCUCUCUUGUAAUGCCCUUGACCAUGAUUCACAUAAUGGAAGGACUAGGUUCUCCGAACAAAUGAAGAUUGAUACUGAGGUAAAAUACCCUUUAACUGGCUUCUGUCUCCAAGGUUCAUAUUUUUUUUUCCUUGAACGUUUCUCGUUGUUCAUGGUUGCAGACUUUCGGUGAUUUUCCUAGACAUCGGGGUGGUCGAGGUGGGCGUGGGCCCAAUCGUGGAGGGCGUGGUCGGGGUCCUUAUUAUGGAAGGGGUUAUGGCUAUGUUGGGAGGGGCCGUGGACGGGCUAUGCCCAGUCGUGGUCCCUAAGUGGUGCUUGGUAUCUCUUAACGUUAUACUACUAGGUAAAACCUAUAGCCCAAUUGCUCAGCAAAGCAUCAAACUGAUUUAGGACUAUGCUUGUAAUGUCUGUUUUUUUUUUUUUUUUUUUUCUUUUUCCUUUUCCUCUCUGGGUUGUCUAGAAAUAAGAGUAUGAUAUGCUUUGUGGUUUUCUGACUUGGUUAAUUUGUUGUCUUUGAAUAACAAUCCUUUCCUGGAGCUAAUCAAGAAGCAUUUGGUUUUGCGGUUAUGUUAGUAUAUCAAUGAGUGAAUUCUAAUAUACUUUACUGGUGGUUUAUUGGGUGAUCAAACAAUUAAAUUAUCUUAUAUGUGAUUGCAGUUCCAAACCAGUAAUCAAAUCAUUAAAAUCAUCUGAUGGCCUGCUGUAAUAAAUGUCAGAAGCAGCGCUCUUGGAAAUGUUGAGGGUCUGUUGGUUUGAUUGCCAUGAAACUAGUAUCUAGGGGAUUGCAUUGAGAAGAUUAGCAAUGUUCUUCUACAAUUUCUGAAUUGCUUACGUAUGUUUGUUUAUUUUCUUUAGAGGGAUAAGUUGAUAAAAUAUAGACGCCCCUCUAAGAAAAAAACUUAAGAGACGUGUGUUGUAAGAACUUCUUGAGAUGUGAGUGGAUCCGAUAACAAUGCAUUAAGAUGCUAAUUUUGGAUUUGCUAAAGUGGUUACAGAUUCAAUUCAAGAGAUUAAAAAACAGUAACCCAAGUGGUUAUAUAGAAAAAAACAGUUGACAUCAUAUGGAAAGGAGUACAUAGAAAAAAACAGUUGACAUCAUAUGGAAAGGAGUACAAAGUGAACCAUAAUGGUUCAUCGUUUUAUUUUAUAACGCUCAAACUCUGACAAAGACACCACGAGUGAACUUAUGAGACUUCAAUUUCCACACCAACACCACAAACCCGAAACCGAGAUACCGAUGCAGCCCUAAUUCAAGCUACUUGCAUGUUGUUACCAGGACCCUCCUUGGAGGAAGGGAAGGCCUUCUUCCAUGAAGCAAAGCUAAAUUAUCUAGGACGAGAACAUCACCCUUCUCCCACUUGAAUUGUAUGCUCUCUUCUUCAAUUAUCUCUUCACAUCUCUUCACUACAUUUGCCGGUAUUUCUGUCCCGUCUGCCAUCAUGGCAGAGCUGUGCUCCUUCCCAUGCAUCCCUACCAUGGUGUUGAACCACAUCCUCCUCCCCUUUCUUCCAUCAAACACCUUGGUUAGGGCUCGAGGACCUAAGACCGUCUUCACCCCACCAUUCGGUAGCCAUUCCAUGUCCAUCCCCAGAGCCUUGGCCCUGCAACAAUUCUUUCUGUUAGAUCCCCCACGUAGUAGUCACAAAAGAGCAAACUCUCAAGCAUUCUAGAUAUAUAUGUAUGCAUACCUUUUCUCAGCUUCUGCCCGGUCCGAUGUUCCAAAUGUAUCCUCCCAGCCUCUACCUCUCAUGGAAGAUGUAUCAUUCUUGCUGAGAGCAGUGAACGUAUACUUUAACCCCUUGCUGUCAAUAUCCUCCACAGCCCCCGGAAACUCCUCCAGCAUCCGCUCUGUUACUCGGAAGCUUGGCACAAAGGGUGUUUCACCACCUUUUGGUGGCGGAACCUCACAGAAAAGUAUUACUUUUUUUGGGUACUCUUUUAUCUGGCCAGCCAAACACGAUAAAAUAUAGUUAAUCAAACACCUGCUUACCGCAAAUUCAUAUUUUUUUUAUUAUUGAUUAUGUAAGUUCAGGUGACGAGAGUGGUACUUUAUAUUUGAAUUCUCUUCCAUCAACCACCCUCGGUAUUGCUUGCUUAUUGACACGUAUUCUAGAUAAUUUAUAGGGAGGUGCUCAACAUACAGUGGUUGAUGUCCUCAGAUUGUUCGACUCGAAAAAAAAUGGAAAUCAGGAAAUGGAGUGUUUGGUUGGCUAGAAAGAAUUGGAAAGAAAAAGGGAAAACUCAGUUUCUUCCUAAUGAAAAUCACAGAUAGAAAAAUAAGCAACCAAACACCUGCAGAGAAAGCUGUAAGUUAUAUCUCACUCACCAAAACCAUCUCAUGAUGGUAGUAUAUGAAUUCCUCGAGAGGUCCCUCGUUGGCAGUCCAAAUACGUUUAUACACAUGAGUCCUAGGUGCAGGGCCAACAUACCGGAUGUCAUCCCAGCCAAAGGCUUCAACAAUCUGGUUGAAGUCCUCCGCGUUCUUCACGUCGUAGCCUCGAAGAAGGACAGCACUGUUCUUGAUGAUCAUCUGCUCAAACCAGUCCUUGUUCUUCUUCAGACUCGACACAAGGGAGUCUAAGUCACUGCUGUUGUUGGGGUCCGGAGAGUGUAGCACCAAUGGCAUGGUUUCACCAUGCACUAGUUUCUGGCCCUCACAUUUGCCUACCUUGAAUUCCUCGCAAGAGAACUCCAUUGAUGAUUUGGUUUGUGGGUUUCAAUGCAUUUGGGGAUGUUUAUAAGGAGUUUGGUAAUCGGUUUGAUCGCUAGUCACCAUGAAGAAGACAACACAACUCCUACUUUGUGCAAGACCUGCUUAGAGAUUAUCUCCUUACGUCGUUUUGUGGAGGGCUGCAAAACACAUGGGGUUUUCCGAAUCAACAGCUUUAAGUUCCCUGUAUAUAUAUAUAUAUAUAUAUAUAUAUAUAUAAUUUUAAUGGUUAGAUAUUUGAAAAUGAAUUUCAAUGAAUAAUGAAGAAUUGGACAAGCUAUUGGGUUGGGCCGAGUCAGCCUUGAUUGAGUCGGGUUUAGGGCUAUUAGCCCAAGGAUUAUCAACGGGAAGCACUAAAAUAUUUUGGUAAUAACAACAUAAAGAAUUAAAGACUAAUAGGUUUAAAAAUAAAACCUAUACAUAAUGUGUUUUCAUAUUGGACCAAUCAUUGAACCGAAAAAAGUUAUCGAUUUACUGUUUAGUAAUCAACGAUGGUUGAAUAAAUUGAUGAUGUCAUAAAUAUAUAAUUUAUGUAUUACUAAAAUUAAAAGUAAUUUAAAAUGUAUAAAUAAUUAAAAAAUUUAAACACAUUAUUUCAUCAUUUAAUUUUCACUAAUAUUGAUAGCUUUAAUUAUAAUAAGGAUAACACAAAGAUUUAUUAAAUUGUAAGUUUUUAUAAUUUUAUUAAAUAUGAAGUUUUUAAUUAUUAAGGUAAAAUAAGAUUUAAUUAUUUAAAUUUAUUUAGAUUUCAAUAGUUAUAUAUUUUAUUAUCUUCAAAAUUAUUAUUAUUUUAUUUAUAUUAUUUUAGUAUUUAUUAUAGGAAAAUUAUAAAUAUUUAUAUUCAUUUUAAAUUUAAUGUACAUAUAAUUUUUAAAUGAUUUCCUUUGCAAAAAUGUAAGCAUAGCCUAGUGGUUCCGCUUAUAUUGAUCCCAUUUCGAAAAAGUAGACUGCAAAAGUAGCCUAUAAAGUUGUCAUUUAUUAGCAUGAGAGUUUGGCUGUGAACUUAGGCAAGUAAUUUGAGCAUUAGCAGCAACAAUUUUUAUUUUUUGGCUUUUUGAUUGGUAGGUUAUUUUUGCAAAUAUGAGGUUAUUUUAACCCAUUUAACCAAAAAAAAAAAAAAAAAAGGCUAGCUCAUGAAUUGAACUAUAUUAGCCUUCAGAUGAUCCCACUAGUUGAAAACAAAAAAGACAACUCAUGAAUCGGUUAGAUUGUUGGGUGGAUGGUUCAAGGCCGAUUUAACUCUUUUUCGGUCUAAUAUGGUGAAUUGAACCAAAUUAACCUUGAAUUAGUGAUCCAAUCGGUUGAAUUAUUUUUGAUCGAUUUUCAAAAUAUUGUCUAUGCAUGAAUUGUGUAGUUCAGAAUUAUAAAGCUCUUGAUUAAGAAGAAGGUGCAAGUCACGAUUAAGAUAUCAAGAUCAAAGCUUGUGAUUUUUUAUAGUUGCUUGAUUUCUUGUAAAGCUAGGAAAGGGUGUACUAAAAUUGAACAAAUUCUCUUUUAACUUUUCUUAAACAUCCAAGAUGGUCUUUAAAAACACUUUUUUCAACAAAAACAUCAUUUAAAAAAUUUAUCUUAAAAUCGUUUUGAAAAUAGUAAAAUCACAAGAUUCUAAAACUUAAAAGGUUUUUUAAAACAUAAGGACUAAUUGCCUCAUACCUUUUUAUGGAAGUAGUUUUUAGAUGCUAGAGUGUAGGACAGUAGGCACGGUCAAUUGAGGUGCCCAUAAGUGUUCCUUAAAAUGAGAAAUUUUUUUCCUUUUUUACUUAGACAGUUAUUGACUGGUUGCUCGUUCUAGGGGUCUCCAAAAAGCCCGCGGCCCGCUUUAGGCCCAGCCCGUAGGCCCGCCCUUAGGCCCGCCUUUAAUUUUUUUUUAAAAAAUAAUAUACUAUAUUUUUAUAUAUAUAUAACUAACUCAUUUAAUAAGCAUAAAAGAAAUAUAGCUUAGUUGGUUAAAGCCUUGAAAUUUAAGCUUGAGGGGAGGGGUUCGAAUCCCCCCCUCUUCCUUCCUUUAUUUAAAAGCCAUUUUGGCUUAUUUAAAAAAGCCCGCGGCCCGGCCCGUCGGCCCGACCCGCUAGCCCGCGGGCUCAUAGGCCUGGCCACGGGCCUCCUAUUUACGGCCCGGCCCGGCCCGCCCGUUGGAGACCCUUGGCUCGUUCAACCCUUCAAUAGUCAGCUAUAAUGCAAUUAAUACUUCAAUGACUAGCUAGUUGUUUGACUAGACCAACGGUUUUUUUUUUUUUUUUUUUUUACUCUAAUAACUAGUUACCUUCAAAAUCAUAUAACAAUGACCCAUAAAUCAUAUUUAUGACUUUUGACCAAUUGACUAUUGAUCAUUAUUUAUUGUGAAAAGUCAAAAUCAAUUAAAAAGUGCAGUGAUUUCAAACUUACAAUCUUCCUUUGAUUGCAUCUUGAAAUCCUAGUUGGUUAUUCAUUUUCUUGUACUCCAUUUGUUCUAGUGUUAGGUUUUGUGAAAUCAUCUUGGAGUGAUUAAAUUAUUCUUGUAUUAUCUUGAAUCAGCUAGAGAGUGAAAAAAGGGUUGUGAGAUAUUCCUUAAAGCUUUGUGAAGACCCAUUAGAAUAUCAAUAUCUAGAUAUACUGAGAAGGGCUUGAUUGAAGUAUUUGAAGUUUAGUGAAUUAUCUUCAGCCUUAGGUUGAAGUCAACUAUUAUAAACAUUAUUUGCAAUAUAUUUUAUCUUUUUGGCCAGGAGUUGGCUAUAAUAUUUUAUAUAAUUGUAUCCUUGAAAAUGAAGAAAAAACAAUUAAGAUAUCUUUUAUUGUACCAUAGUUUUAAAAUUUUAACAACUAAAUAUUUGUAAAUGAAUUUCAAUGAUCAAUGAAGAAGUAGACAAGUUACUAGGUUGAUUCAAGUUGGACAAGUUCAUUAUCAGAAUUUCAUGUCCUUUAGUCUGAAGAAUAAUAAACCUACAUUAUUAACACUUUAGUAUAGUCUCCCUUUAAUAUAAAAGAAGUUUAGAAGCUUACUAGCCAAAUAGUUGUCCUUAGUUUAUUGAAAAUUUGCUUAGACAAUAGAUUACAAGCAACCUUUUUAAGCCAUUAAGGAGUAUCUUUUAACUUUGCUAGUUUUAACUAAGCUUGAGUCCAAGGAGGAGCUAUUUAUCUACUUAGCUAUCUUUAAAAGGAUGAUAAAUGUAAAUUUAGUAAAAGAAAAUGAAGCUUAGGGUCAAUGUUAACCCUUUUAGCUUUGAGGAUGGUGUUUAGAUUGCAUGUAUUUCUAUGCACACCUUAUUAGUACACUAGUAAAUUAACUAAUCUAUGGCAUCCUUCAUAAGAUAGAUUUAUUUGGUUGGUUAGUUAAAGUGAGUCAUUGAAUUUGGAGAGUUCAAAAUAAGAUACUUGCCUUGCAUAUAUGUUGAAAGGCAAGUCACGGUAGACUUUUGGUCGAGCCUUCAUGAAAUGAGCCAUAGCCAAAUAUCGCUUUUAGUAAUAUUAAAAAACACUCAUUUGAACCUUGGAAUUAGCGAUAGCUAUUUGUGAAUAGAUUAUCAAAAUACAAGUAGGCAAGGCUAAUACAAUUUUGAAGUUCCUCCACUAAGAAGGCAUAAAGCAAUUGUUGAAGUUGGUGUCACCAACCUUGAAUAAGGAAGCAACUUAUCAAAUCCUUGUUGUCAAAAUCUUUCUAGUUGAAAAUAUAGGUUUACAUGUUUUAGAUGUUAAUUCCUAACUUGUAGACAAUCAAAUUGAUACAUCUAGGGGCUUAGGUCAAAUAUGUUGGGCUUUACUAAUGCCACUCUUAACUAAUUUUGGAUGAUAACGUUGAAAGCCAUAAAAGGCUUGGUCUACCUUUACUUGACAAGAAUUGGUUUUUCAGAUAAGAUGAUCAAAGUUUGCUUUAAGAAUCAAUACUAGAGCCAACAAUCAUAAGUUUGAGUCAUGGGGCACAAAAAUUCCACUUUUAACUUUGAUUUCCAAACAAUGAGAAGUACAAACAUCCUUCUUUGGCAUGUUGAGGGGAAUCAAAAUAAAACUUAUUAUAUGACACCCUUCCAAAGAAUGUUAAAGAUGACUCCUUAUUCUAUUAUUAAAAGGAUUAUGAUGAUUGCAAAAAGUAGAUUAGUAAAGUAAAAAAUUCCAAUCCUUGAAGAGGACUCCUUAUUCUAUCAUGAAAAGGCAAACUUAGAUUAAAAUGACCGCAAAAGGUGGAUUUGUAAAAUUGAAAAUACCAAACCUUUCUAGAUUAUAAGGCACUCCAAAUUUUUUGCCAAAUAACUAGGAAUCAAAAAUUGCCAUUUGACUUUAUUACCCACGAAGAAAUGAACAAGUCAAGAUCAUCAACAUGACCAUUCUUGUUUGCAUGAAGAAACAACUUAAAUUAGCUAAUGGAAAGUGAGUAGAUGAAUUAUGUCUUGAUGGGGUUAUCUAAUAAUCCCUAAAAGCCAACAAGAAAACCCUUAUUGCCUAGCCUAUGACAUGGAAGUUGUGAUUCCAACAAAUGUAUACAUGCCAACUAUCUUGUUGGCAAUUUUGUUCCAUUUUCUCACUAAGAUUGAUAUAUCUUAUCUUUAAGUGUCUUAUUGAUUAUAGUCGACUUUGAGUUAACUCAAAAUUGGUUAAUUUUCGAGGUACACAUGCAUUUAAAGUAAUUAGAGCUUACACAAUGACCAUGGUGUGUUAGUUAAUUGAUAAUUUUAAAGAAAAAAAAAAUAUCCAGAUCUCAAAAGGAAUGUGGGAAAUCCAACUAUUGUUAUUUAAACAUUUUGACAAGUAACUAGGGAUAAAGCAAGGUCAAGAAAGGCUCCCUUAUUCUAACGCCAUCCUUAUUUGUAAAUUUAUUCUAUAUUCUCAUGUCAUUUCCCAUCUUAGAAUAAGUAGGGCCAUGAUGAGGACUCAUUAGUGGAACAAAUGAAUUCCUAUUGAUUUUUUUUUUUUAAUUUCAAAAUUUUAUAUUUAUUUUAAAAAAACCUUAAAUAUAAAAUUAUUUAUAAAUCAAUAUACUAAAUAUAAAUAUGUAAAUUUUAAAAUAUUAAAUUAUACUUACUAUAUAUAUAUGUAUAUAGUGCCUAUUCCCUUCACUAAUUCAAGUUUUAAAAAUUUUCCCACCCUCGAUCUUGGUUGUUACUCCUUGCCCAUGCCCUUAUGUAUGUUUUUGCCAUCCUUGAUUCAAAUAUUCUAAAGUGUUCAAACAUCCUAGAGGGCAUUCAAAUGUUGCCUUGAAGGGCAUUCAAAUGUUUUCCUUUUGUUUGUGUUUUUAAGUCCAUUCUUCAUAUUUUAAGUUUGUUCUCUACAUUUUAAAGGUGUUUUGUAAAUUCAAAUUUAGAAUUCUUUUCAAAAGUGUUCCCCUCGGUGUUGGUACAAGUAGAUAAUUUUAUUGAGUUGUAUUACAUGCAUUAAAACAUAGCCAUCUCCAUAGUUUAAGUUCUCUAUUUCUUAAGCUUUUAAGAUCAAUUUAAAAAUAAUCCUUAUGAUGAAAAAGGGAUGUUCAAUAUGCUGACUUUAAUCAUAGUUCUAGUUUUCUAUUUCUCCAAUUUUCAAGAUUGAUUUUAAUAAAAGAAUCCUUUUGCAAAAAAAAGGAUGUUUGAUUUGCUAACUUCAGUAUAGUGUUAAAGUAUUCAUUAAAAGAACAAAGUGUUUGUAUUAAGGAUGUGAAAGAUUGUAUAAUUUUAGUCAAUAUGUGACUUUAGAGAUUAAGAACAUCUAGAUUUUUAGAUUUAGUUACUUUAUUUUUGGUCAUUUAACCAAUAAUUUUUUUUAUCGAAGGAGUGUUUGUGAUUUGGAUUAAUUGAUAUUAUUAAAAUUUUGAUGAAAAUUUUAAAGUUAGUAAAAAAGUGCUUAGACAACCUAUUCACCUUCCUCUACAUAGUUGCUUUCAUAAACCACUGAAGUAACACUUUGAAUAACAUAUAAUUUCACAGGAAAAUAUUCAUUAACAAAAUAAGGCAAGCCAACCUUACAUUUACAAGUAUUGGGGUAUAAUAAUAUUACUUUUAGGUUCGGGCAUUGGUUACCUAAAUGAUAACUAUUAAAAUAAGUCCAGGAUAUAAUAUCAAAUGCCAUAAAAGAUUUAACCUUGGACAUCAAUUUUUCAAAUUAAAUUAUCAAAGGCCGAUCCAACAACAAAUAGUCAUAUCAAAUCAAAAAAUGUUCAAUACUUUUGUACGGGUAGAGCUCGGGAAAUAGGGGAAAUUGAAGGAUAGGCUGAGCUCCCUCUCCUUGCCAACGUCUGGUUGGGCUCACAGCAUGUGCAUGAACGACUAACGCCUAGAGCCAAGCCUAACCCCAAAGCAACUGAAAUUAGGGCCGAGCCCUUCCGAGAAAGGCAGGUCCCAAACUACGACGAUAAAGCUUAACAAGUUGGCAUUAAUCCAAGAAAAUUACAGGAAUGUAUGUGUAUAAUCUUAUGGGUUAAAAAAAAGAAAAAGAAAAAAGGGAAAAAGAAAAAAAAGAAAAAGUUGAAGAAUGACGCAAAAUCUUAUGCUUUGCGGACCAUUAAAAAACUUCAAUCGGUUUUAACUUUCACAAAGGACAAAAGAAAUACUAAAAUAAAGGCACCCUACAAGGUCCCGUGGGACAUUGGCAUGGGACCUGGGUAAUGACGACACUCAAUAAUGCAAAUUUGCAGUCCAUGACCAUCCCCAAAACCCUCAUUAAUGACAUCUCAACCUACUACUUUACUCCCACGGCCCCCUUUCCCUUACCCUUGACUUACUAGAAUAAAUGUAACAGUCUGAGUCUGUGGAUCAGUGGAUGUGACUCUGAGCAAUCCACCCCUUCCAAAUAAAGAAUAACUAAAGUUAGAUUAUAAAAUUUGUUGAAUGUGGUACAAUACAGGAUAAGAUCUAUAAUAAUAGUAUGGACUCAUGUGUCGGUGGGAACUUCUUGUUGUUGGAGAAUCAGUACUAGAGAGUGUGUGGUGACUGGUGACUGAGACUGCUCAAACCCCAUGGCAACAGCCUCCUCUGCUUCACUGCCACUGCCUCUGCUUUUGUUUGCCAGAGUCUCAGCUCUUUUUGUUGCCCUCCUUGUUCUGUUUUGGGCUCUUGCUUUUAAGUCUAGCUUCAUCUCUCAUCACUCAUCCCAGGAAGAUAUAGUCUAUGCUGUAACUCUCUCUCUUUCUCUCUUCCCCUUUUUCUAUCUGCAUUUUCAUUUUUAUUGUUUGUUUGGUUGCUGAGGAAUUGUGGGGAAAGAAAAAGGAGAAAAAUUGAUUUGGGGUUUUCUGGCCCUGAAGUAGAUGAAACGUUCAUUCAGCUGAGCCUAAUGUAACUCUUUCUAUCUGCAUUUUCUUUUUGAAGUUCUGUUUUGUUGCUGAGAAAGUGUGGGGAAAGAAAUUGCUUUUGGGUAUUUUUUUUUCUUCAAUUUUUACAUGAGAUCUAAGAGUUUACUUCUCUUCUUCUCCUUUGUUUUUUCGGCAACCAAACAGGGUGUCUUAGAAAACCCACAAAAAUGUAAUUCAUUUUGGAGCUGAAAAUGCUGGGCUUUUUUGGCUUUCUAUUUUAACAGGUUCUUCAUCCUCUAUUUAUGGUGAUCGGUUUCAUCCUCAUCAGUGGAGAAGGUAGUCAGACAAACCAUAACUUACAAAAUUGAAACAAACAAGAGUGAUUUUUAAAAUGUUUUGGUCGUGUUUACAGCUAUUCUUGUUCAUAGAUGGUUGCCUGGUUCAAGAAAUUUGAAGAAAUCAGUGCAUCUAUCCAUGCAAGGUCUGGCUUUGGCUUCUGGGGUUUUUGGGAUUUGGACAAAUUUCCAUGGGCAAGAUGGGAUUGUGGCUAAUUUCUGGAGCUUGCAUUCAUGGAUGGGUCUGAUCUGUAUGCUCUUGUUUGGUGCUCAGGUUUGUUCUUUGCUUCCCAAAAUUUUACUUAAAUUUCUUGUUUGUUUCUUGAGAAAGUGAGCAAUCUGUUUCUUAUUCAUUACGAAUAUCAAUGUGCCAUAGUUGACAUCAAUAGUGUGAUGAUGCCAUUGUGGGUUGUGGCCCCUCCAUGUUGAUUUUUAAUUUCCUUUUGGGGUGGCAGCAGAAUUACACCAUCCAUUGCUGUCUCUUUUCUUAUUUUAAAUGUUUUGGAUUGAGUUGGUGCAUAAAUUCAAUUAUUGUUUAAUGCCAACAGUCUGCCGAUUUCAAAUUAUAUCAUUGCAAUGGUUUGUACUAUUUUUUAAGUAAGCAAGAGCUUCAUUUUCAGCUAACUAAACAUAAGCCUAUAGAAUUAAACAGCAGUGCAGAGACCCAGCGGGCCUUAAACAUUAGCCCAUUGCAUUUCAACUUUUGUCAGCCCAUGGUUUGAUGCUAAAUCUUUACUUUAAUUCUUAGGAAAAAAAAUCAUAAAUAUUUGUAACUUCUUCCUAGAGUGGUGUAAAUGGGGGUAAUUGGGUCAUAUUCUAUGAUUGAAAAAUUAAUGAUUUAUUUUGGUGCAGUGGUUGAUAGGUUUCCUGAGCUUUUGGCACAGAGGGGAGAUGCGCACAACCCGGGUAAGCGUCUUGCCUUGGCAUGUCUUCCUUGGUCUAUACACCUAUGGCCUGGCGGUGGCCACAGCUGAAACAGGACUUUUGGAGAAGUUAACGUUCCUUCAAACAAACAGAAAUGUGUCGAAACAUUGUACAGAGUCGAUGGUUGUAAAUGGCGUGGGAGUGGGACUGGCCCUGCUCAGCGGAAUUGUGAUACUGGCUGCUGUUUGCCCCAAGUACCAAACUCUACCAAGUAAACUCAUGUAUUCAGACACCAAGUGCUUGUCUUCUUAAUCCAAUUGUCACUCCCUUCCCAAAUUUAUUGCAUUGUUGGUUGAUCUAGAGGAUUUUCUUUUGCAUAGAAAAAUGGAGGUUGAUGAACAAAUUUUUUGGUGAUUUUGAAUGUUAUCAUAACCAUGUGUUGGAAAGAGGGAUUUUGAAAGCUACCAAAUAAUGCUGGAAGAACACUUCCAAACCCAAAUAAAAUCAACUUAGGUGUAAAUAUGUGGGAUCAAAAUACAAAGUAAUGAAAUCGGGUUACAAAAAAAAUAAGAUUCAUGUAUAAUGUAAAAGAAUUAUUUACGAGACACAAAACAAUGAGGUUCAAGGUUUAAGACCUUAAGACUCUGUUUGACAUGUAUUUUACACAAAUGCUUUGAUAUUGUACGAUUUUGAAAUUUAAUUUUUUAAUUUUUUAUUGUUUGAUUUGGACAAAAAUGUCUUUAUUAUUUUAUUGUAAAAAUAAUAUUCUUUUUAAAAUAUACAUGAAAAUAUUUAAAAUAAAAAAUGAUAUUUAAGUAAAAAAAAUAAACAAUGAAAAAUGAAAAGGGUUAUUCACAAUUUGAUACGAUCCCAUCCUUUUAACCGAAUAAUCCGAAGGGAAACCACCAGUAAUUUCAUUUCCGUGUUUCUUUUAUUUGCAAAGCAUACCGACGUACUGAUUUGCAGUCUUGUCGCACCAUACUCUUCUCACAAACCCUAACCCUAGGUCCCUAACCUAAUUUUUCAGUACUACUUUGCAUUGAAAAAUCCGAAGAAAAUGUGUUCUUCCUCUGCAUCUCCCUCGUCUCUUUUCCUCUCCACCGGCACUCCUAUUCUACGAAGUCGUAUCGUUCCAAUCUUCAGUUCUUCUAGCCCAUUUAUCAAUUCUCACAGAUUCAGAAACCCUAGGUUAUGUAUCUCCUCAUCAGUCUCCGAGACAAGCUUCGAGGUCACGUGGGUGUCUCCUGAACGCAAUGCAAGCGACGACUAUGGUGGCUGGGCGGUUGUCGAGUCUCCAUGUCGUAAGAAGAAGAAAGGUUCCCCUCAAUUUCGGUUUUCUAAACCCUCAUUCUCCUUUUGUUAAUCAGAAAACAGUAGGAAAAUCAAAAUCUUGGAUCUUAGCUAUUUAAUUAAUUGGCUGUCCAGAAAAUGGCAUCUCUUAUCAAAAGUAUAACUAUUUGGGCUAGUUUUAAUAGUAUUACUCUAUGAAUUUUUCCCAUUUCCUCGGCAACAAAUAGGAGGGUGAUCUAAUUUGCAUGUAAUUUCUUUUCUUGAUUAGUUUGAUGGGGUCGAGAUUUUUUGCGAAUUAGGGAUUUAUGAACUUUUUCUUGUGCAGGGUCAAGUGCACUUUUUUGUGUGGUUACUGGGACUUCGAUUGCCAUUCUACUCUCCGCCAUUGCUUACUUCUCAUUAUCAAGAAAAGGCUAGUAUACUCUCUUAUUUUGAUGAUAAGCUGGUUUGUGUGAUUGGGUAUUGUUUCUCUAUAAAAUGCUUAAUAUUGGUUGGCAAACCCCAAAAGGCUCUUGGAUCUGAUUUUAUUUCGGGUAUCAAUUCCUUUCGGAUAUUGUUGGAAUUGGGAUUUAAUCAUUGUGUAUUGGUUUCACAGGUUUUAGGCUUCAGUUUAAUAAACCGAUGCAUUCUAUCCAUGAAAUCUUUGUGCGAACUAAAACUGAAGCUGGUCAAAGCAACACUGUGUACUCCAAUGCAUCUGAUGUGGACACCAACAUUGUUGAGGCCGGCACAGAGAGUGCAUCUAAUGAAAUUGAUGAAGAUGUGGCAUCAGGUAGUUUGAAAGCAAAUGAUUGUUGGAUGUUAUUGUCUGGUUUAUGCAUUGGCCAUUUUAAACUGUUAGGAUUUGCAAUUGAAGCUGUUAGCAUUGCAUGGAAUUUAAAAUCUGUUCAUGCAGAAAUAUAAUUAGGAGAAUUUAGUAAUUUGAGCACAUUAGUUGGUGCUUUAGCUAGGAAAUAUGAGCAUAGUCACCGUGAGAAGAGUAGAAAUAAGGUCAUCAGUUAAAUCCCAAAAUGCCUUAUCUUAAAGGUUCAUGAAGGACGAUUUAAAUUAUACAAAAUGCCAUGAAGACCUUGAUGGGCUCAUACAAAUGAGUUGUGGGACUCAAUCAGCUGAUUUAUUUUCUGUGUGAUGUUCAACUUUGUAAAGCAAUCUACUCACUCUGUUCAUUUUUUAUAAAAAUGCAAUUCAUUCCAAGGCUACAAUGUAUGUAUUUUGGUAACUUAUGAAGUUCUAUAAUCUGGAAACCGAUUUGCUUGUAUGCUACGCCAAUGCUUUGGAAUUUAAAUUAUGAGUAAAGGGAUGAAAUUGAUAUACAAAAUGAAGUACCAGAUAAAUUUGUAUGCCCAAUCUGAAUAUAUAUAUGUUGUGGCUAGAGUAAUUUUGGCUGUCUGGCUAUUGAUAACCCUGGGAAUUCUGACAUUAAUGAGAUACAUGAGAAAUGGGAAUAGAUUAGGUAUUCACAUGCAUCUUCUCCUUAAGAAAAUUCUCAAAGGUAUGCUCCUCUUUCUAGUGAGGCUUGUGAAAUAUCAAAUUGAUUAAAUAUUGGUAGCUCUUAAAUCCAUAAACUUGCAUAUCUUUCUAUUAAAAAUUGAAAUAAACCUCCCAAGUUAAAGCACUAUAUGGAUGGGAUGGCUCUUAGUCAUUCAUCAACUUGAUUAUUGACAAGUAUAGGGGUUACAUCUUAUAUGACAGUAGGAUUUGUGUAGGUGAAACCCUGCAAAGGGUAAUAAAGGGUGUAAGAAUAAGUUCCUGCCAGGUAUAAUCUGAUCGUGUUUGCAUGCGUGUUUUUGUGUUUAACCAGCUUGAUUACUGAAAAGUACCUAGGUACAUUUUAUAUAGCAGUAGGCUCUGUUAAAUGUGGACUUCCAAGGAGUUAUAGAGAGGUGUAAGAAUAAAUUCAUACCAGGAAUAGUUUGAUCACGUGUGUGCAUGUGUUGAACCAGCUUGAUUACUGAAAAGUAUCUAGGUACAUUUUAUAUUGCAGUAGGCUCUGUUAAAUGUGGACUUCCAAGGAGUUAUCAAGAGGUGUAAGAAUAAAUUCAUACCAGGAAUAAUUUGAUCAUGCGAGUAGUGUGUGUGAGAGCUUAUGGUUCACAUAUUCACCAUAUUUUUCUUGAUUUACAUUUCCACAAGAAAAUUAUAGCUAAAUAUCAUAGAAAUGCCCUAAUUUCUUUUGUACAUUUUGUUUCCCUCAUCUUGUUCAGCAUCCAAAAAGGUUAAGCAUGUUCUGAUCCCAGUUGCUGCAGAUUCCACUCAACAAGAAGCUCUAUUGGUUCUGAAGAAACUGAAGGUUUGUUUCUAGAAGCAUGUUUAAUAUGCAAGAGAUUAGAAAUUCUGACCAACAUUUAGUCAAUUAUCCACUAAACUAUGUUAUGGCUGUGAUUUAAGAUGUUGCAUGAUGGUCUUUUGUUUUCAUUUAUCAAUAAUUGCUAUACUGUCAAAUUUCAAAGAUCGAUUUUAGAAUUCUGAAGAGUGAUUAUUUUGAAUGCCUUGGUUGUGCACUGUUGGUUUUGAAUCACUCUCACGAUUCUUAUCAUCUUAAAGAGUGUGAUCUUCAAUUGCAGCUGGUCCUAGUGGUGGUAUGAAAUGUGGCCUUAUUAUUUGUCAUGAUCUGAUGUUUCUGGAAGAGCACCUUUAGAACACCCCAUAUUCUCCAACAUCACACACACACACACACACAUGCACACACCCAACAUUAAUGUCUUUUUAAUUGGGCGUUAGGUGCAUAAUGACAUCAAUAGAUUGCAUUAUCAUGAUAUCAUCUUAGUGUUGAAUUGGCCAAUAUUUGUUAAAAUAGAUAUGCUUUGAUUUUUUUUUUCUUUUUUUGGAAAUGUAGUACUGAAGGCCCCACAUUUUCCAAGCUUUUGUGUAAAUAGUUUAGCCUUGGAAUUUUAUACUGAUAUUUAUGAAAUUUUAGGUCCAGUUCUGAGCAUGAAUUUGUCAAUUGUAAUUAAGGUGUACAGAUAAUUGAGGAUGAUGUCAGUGCAGAUGAAUUAUGCACUAAGAGGGAGUAUGCAAGAUGGUUGGUCCGAGCAAAUUUGUUACUAGAAAGGUAGUGUUGAUCUAUAUCAGGACUUUGAAACAUUUUCUAAAUAUGCAUACGCUGUACUGUGAAAUUGUAAAUGCUUAAGCUUGAUCACUCAGCAAUUUAUUAUCUGGCUUGUAGGGACCCAAGACACAGGAUAUUUUCCUCCAGUUUACCUUCUGGGUCCAUAAUUUCUGCAUUUGAUGAUGUGAAUGCUGAAGACAGAGAUUAUGGGUCUAUUCAAGGUUAGGCUUGAUCUUAAUGCUCACCUGAUUUUCUUUGUGCAUUUGAAAGGUAGAUGGAAGUUUGAAUCUUUGCUCUUGAAUAUGCAAUUUAGCCCUAGCAGAGGCUGGCAUUAUACCUAGCAAGCUAUCAGGGAACUCCAACUCUGCUCUUGACAGUUCGAAAGUCCAGGGAGAGGUCUAUUUUUCCCCUGAUAGGUAGUUGUUGUAUACCACAUUUUUUUUUUAUCCUUUCCCUCCUUCAAAAUCCCUUCGCUCUUUUCUUUUUGUUCCUGAGUAUGUCCUUUCCAUCCUGUGGGUUAUAUCUGGUAUUGCAGAUUUAUAUCCAGACAAGAUCUGAUAAACUGGAAGGCUCAAUUAGAAUAUAAAUUCAUGCCAGGAAUUAAAGAGAAGGUACUAGCAUUUCUAAUAAAUUUUCUAUUUUAUAGGAUUUUCUGGGAUUGAUUUUGCAUAUUGAUAAAACUUGAAACUGAUGCACUUUACUAGUCUUUUAUAGAUUUUAAAACCUGACUUGUUUACAGUCCAGAUAUCCAGAACAAAAGUGGAUUUUAUGGACAUGAAGGAGAUCAGUUCAGAUGCAUCACCAGAGUUUUUUAUAGACAUGCUGGCUGGUGACAGGAGUAUAGUCAGAAAAGUUUUUGGUAGGCUUUUUUCACCUUCCCUUUCAAGCAUGCACUCACAGAUUUCAUGUCCCUAAAAAGGAACCAAAAAUUUCUUCAUCAGAUGGAAGAUGUCUCUGUUGAUUCUUUGCCUGCCAUCUGCAUUAUAUGAAACAUUCAACUGAACUUAACUUGGAAGAAUAAGAUUUUCACUUCAAAUGAUGAUAACCCCUUCCUGUUCAAUAUCUACAUUUUACAGGACAGAGCAAGCGGUUUCAACCAAAUAAACCUUCAACAAAAGCACAAUCAGCAGUUGCACUGACAAGUGGUAGGAUGACAGAAGUAAUUCAUACAGAAUUGUUGAGACUAGAGGCUGAGAAACUCUCAAGGGAAGCUGAAGCUGAAGAAAUUAGGUCUCAGUUGCUCAACCGAGGAGACAUACAAAGCUUUUGGAGUGAGAAGAUUAAAGAUGAGAAAAUCCGUGGUUUUGAGGUGGAGAAGGACUAUCUUGCUGCAGUUAGUGAUUUGGAAGAGGAGAGGAUUGUUCAUGUGAAUUGUCUCACUGAGAAUUUGAAGGAGAAGGCAGCUAUGGAAUGCCAGAGUCAGCUUCUUUUCAGGCUCAAAGAUGAAGUCGAUGAGAUGUCAGAGCGGCUUGCAUGUGAGAGGACGGGUUAUAUGGCUGAGCAGCGCAAUUUGCAGGACAUGCUCAAUGAAUUACAGAACAAACAGGAAGGAGUGCUUGAUGUGAAAUCUAUACUGGAAGCUGAGAAAGAAGCUCUUCGAAUUCUCAGGUAAAAUCAAAGUUGUAUCUUUCUUCCCUUCCCUUUUCUAAUACUUGUUUGUGACCUAGGGAACUUGGCCAACAUAACAAAUAUGAUCAUUAAUGCUACAAUAAAACCUGUUACUCGUAGCUAAUAUUCUGAAAAUUAGGAUUUCAGUCUUAGAUGAUGUUUGUGACCACCAUGUGUGUUCAUGCCUACUGGUGUAUCUACACCAGGUGGUUUUUGUUCUGAUUAAAAUUGAACAUUCUCUGAUAGUGUUUACCCAAAUUUAUGGGUUUACUUUGAAUGGUAAGAGCAUUGUCAGUGCAGACCCCUUUUCCUGAAUUGUUUUGAUCUGAUGAUGUGUAUAUAUAUAUAUAUAUAUAUUUCUUUCCAGAAUGGAUUAGAAAGUAAUUUCUGCUGAUGCCAUAUUUUUACUUCUGGAAAUUGUUGUUAGCUAGGAUGAGUCCAUAAUAAUUUUGUUUAUAAUUUUGGGCUUGAUAUGUGUAAGUUCUCUAACGGAGGCAAUGGAUGCAGAUCUUGGGUUGAGGAUGAAGCACGAAAAAACCAAGCUCGUGCCAAGGUUCUUGAGGAGGUAGGACGGCGGUGGAAAUGGGACAGUGAUGCCCAAAUGUCAUAAACCCCUGAAGGCAGAGUUUUUUCAAUGAAUUGUUCAAAGAAAGGCUAAUCUGGAAUCUUGAUUUGAUUGUUUGAGGACCAAGAAUUCAUGUGAAACUCAGGCUAGCUAAAUGGAAAUGUGGCACCUCAUCUUGUAGUUAGCAGCUUUCCGUGCUGAGAUCAUAUGUUGUCACAUGUGGAAUGAAAUAAUCAUAUAAUCAAACCAAGAUGAAUGGAUCUCAAUGUUUUGAGGCGCUUCCUUUUUUCACUCUUGUUAAGGUCAAUUGCAUGGAAGGGAGUUUUUUUUUUCCUGUAAAGAGGUUGUAGAAAUGUUGUUCGCUCCUCAUGAUCAUGUUGUUAGAAAUAAGUUGUCUGGAUGGAGAAUCGUCCAACUCAUUUUAAUUUUGCGGAAAAUGCUAUAAUUCAGAUUUUCUCUAAUCAAUAUUUAUAGAGAUUACCGAGAAAUUGGUGCUGGGCAGCAUAAGUUAGUUAAUGAUAUUGGGUGCAACCGCCAAGAGUUGCUGAUGUAAAUCCGGCUAGAUUCUCAGGACAGCGGGGAAAUUACAAAUGGAAUCCCUUUUGACAGCUUGAAAUAUGGAAGUGAGAACACCCAUUGCAAUCUUAUUUGAGUUACCUACCGUGUUUAGAUUAAGUGUGGGUCAAUGUACUUCGCUAUUGUGAAAAGAAGAAAAAGGAAUCGGGGUCAUGGCCGAUCCGCAACAGCUUGAAGAUCUCCUAGUUGAUGUGCCGUGGCCCAUGGCUGGACUAGUAUUGCAAUGGACACAACCCUGGCGGUGAUGGGAUUGCCUGUUAUACUGUUAGCCUAUUUUAGGAAGUGGAGGUUGGUGGUUAUGAGGCGAGAAUGGAAUGGAAAUGAAGGGCUCUAUCCUUCUAUUGAUGGGACUAGCAUGUGGGGGUAAUCUAAGGUGUGCAAUUAAAUCUGAUUACGCAGAUACGAAGAAAAUUUGCCUCGAGUUAUGAAACACUCAUUUUCAUUACUCAUAAGAAUGGAAUGGAGAGGGAAAAUCAAUUCUACUCCCAUUUAUUAGUAUGCUUGGAUUUUUUUUUUAUAGAAUUAGAAUAGAAAUAAAAAUUUAAUUAUUGCAAAAAUUAAAUUUCAUUCUCAUCAAAAUUUUGAUGAUUGUUUAGGUCAAGGAACAACCCUAUAUUUCUAGAUAGUACUAAUCAAAUCCCAUGAACCACUAGUUUUUGGAUAGCACUUUCGCUGCUCUUGACCCAGUGGAGGAGUGUACAUCAUUCUGACCUGGAAAAUGAUUUUUAUUUUGUUUUUAGAUUUUGAUAUGUUUAUUUGUAUUUUUGGAACUGUGACAAAGUUCACAGCAGAAGAUUCCUUGGUGAGGUAUUGAUUUGUGCCACUCAAAUCAUUGAUCAAUUGAUAGAAACAAAGGGGUCCAUUUGUUGGCCUUACAAACAUUUCAGCUACGAAGCCUCCUCAUCUCAUCCUGAUUAUUGUCCAAAAAGCUCCAGAAGGAGAUUUCACCAAAUAAAUUCAAAAGAAUAAUUCUCAGAAGCCGAAAAAGGCUGAAAACAUAUAUGGUCUGGGAGACAAAUCUAUACAUAAAAGUGGGUUUUUUACUUAUGCUUUUGCUUGGCUGCUGCUUCCAUUUGCACCAGUGAGGAAAAAGGUUGGGAAUUAAAGGACAGCCCCACCUUUUCUCAUCUACUUUUCUUUUUCUUAUUUGUGUGGCAAGCCAACUCAAAACAAGAACAACUCUCAAAGUGGUCCUGUGUGGGGUCUACUGCCAAAAAACACUGACUUGCUUCAGUCAAUGGUUAGGAUUUGUUCAUAGUUGAGGCUUAUGUUAAAUGACAAUAUACCCUAGUUUUGAAAUCAAUCAAAUUCAAUAGGAUAGAAACAUGCCGUUAGCUGGAAGAUAGCCGCCAGAAACAUUUAUUGUAUGGUGUAACUUGCCUCUUAGCAACGCUUCUCAAAUUUACAGUUGGUGGUGCCUUUUUCAGUCUCUUUAUCUGCUUAUUUGACUGUAUAUUCCCAUGAAGGAAAAAACACCCAUCUGUGAAUUCCUAAUCCUUCUGGCAAAAAAACUGGCCACUAGUUAUUGGUGGUCUCUGUAGCUCUUAGCAUGAGAGAGUUGUGCUGGAAUUCUCUUUGUCAUAUACUUUUGGUGUACAAAAGCAAGUCUCUUUGUGAGGGCUCUACAAGACCUGAUAAGAUGAUAAUGCUGAUGUUGUGGGGGAUGCUCGCAGUUGGAUAUGAGGCUACUGAAUCUGCAUGAUUACAAUUACUCUUUAACUUAGGCUUUGUUGGGAUUGAGCUAGCAUUGUUAUAUUGAGUUAUGGAGGCCCAGCACGGCGUAUUAGUGGCUGGAUGGUUUGAGUUAUCAGUUAUGGGGGUUGGGAGAAAUGGGUUGUGGGGUGUUUUGGAAUUGGGUUGUCCUGGUAGAUAAGUGGAAGCCUGAGAAUUUCCUAUUGACAUUACCUACAUGAUAGUAAGGUUAGGCUUCUUGGUUGCAGCUUCAAUUGCAGCCUAUGGAGUUCAGCAGUUCAACAUCAAAAACUCAAGGUCGCGUGCCUCUCUAGGCAAGCCUUCAGGUACUUAAUUCUAUGAGUUCUUUGUUCUUAUAGAUUGUUCAAUCUUUUGAUGCUGAUACUAAUUUUAUUUAAAGAACCUCCUGUAAGAAUUGUGUCAAUGGUUAAUUGGUUAUUGGUACUCAGAAAAUGGUGAAGCAAGCUCUGAAGAGGGCCAGAAUAAAGAGGAACGUAAAGAGCAGCUCACAUGUUCUGAUGAUUACCUCAAAGAGGUGGAUGUAAGUAUUUCUUGACCUCAUACAUCUAGUUCAUGAAUAUAUACAACUAUUGUUUUUUAGAUAUUUAUUUAGAUAAUUAAUAAGGUGCUUUAUAUGUUUAGGGGGAGGAGGAAGAGGAGAAAGAAGAGGUUAAAUUAAUUAGUAGUGAAAUAAACUGGGAUCUGAGUAUUCCACCUGAUAUCGAAGAUGAAGAAAUUUUACCUGAAUUUGAAGACCUUUUGUCUGGGGAGAUUGAUAUUCCAUUACCUAGUGACAAGUUUGACACAGAAACCGCUGCCAAGGUGGAGAAAGACAGAGUUUAUGAAACUGAGAUGGCAAACAAUGCAAAUGAACUGGAGCGGCUGCGCAACCUAGUGAAGGAAUUGGAAGAGAGGGAAGUGAAGCUUGAAGGUGAAUUGCUCGAGUACUAUGGUCUGAAGGAGCAGGAGACGGACAUUGCUGAGUUACAAAGGCAACUUAAGAUCAAGACUGUUGAAAUUGACAUGCUGAAUAUCACCAUUAGUUCUUUGCAGGCUGAGAGGAAGAAGCUUCAAGAUGAGGUUGCACUGGGUGUUUCUGCAAGGAAGGAGCUUGAAGUGGCAAGGAAUAAAAUCAAGGAAUUGCAGAGGCAGAUUCAGGUUGAAGCUAACCAGACAAAAGGCCAUUUGUUGUUGCUUAAACAACAAGUUUCUGGUCUUCAGACAAAGGAGCAGGAAGCUAUCAAGAAAGAUGCUGAGAUUGAGAAGAAGCUUAAAGCUGCAAAGGAGUUAGAGGUAGAAGUUGUGGAGCUUAAGAGGAGGAACAAAGAACUUCAGCAUGAAAAAAGAGAGCUACUAGUUAAGCUGGAUGGUGCUGAAGCUAGAGUAGCAGCCCUCUCAAAUAUGACAGAGGUCAGACUCUUAUAGUUCAAUUGUGCUCAUUUUUAUCUUCCAUUAAUGUUUCUCUUCCUCUUCUAUUUUUGUUGGGAAACUUUUUAAGUUGGCAUCUCACUCUGUGUGUAUCAUUUGAUGCACGAAUGAGUUUUUAGGUGUUCAAUGUUCUGCUAAUGGGAAACUCACCUUUGAUCGAGUUUUUUAAGCAUAUACUUAGAAGCCAUGUUGAGAGCAGAAAAUAAUGGCCAGAUGAUUUGGUUUAAGAAACUCAGUGGAUGGUUCCUCUGAUACUGAAAUUAAAUAGAAAGAAUCACUUGACCUUGUUUAGUUCUGUUAAGUGGAGUGGAGAUUGACACCAUUAAGCCAGUAUAUAACUGACAAUACCUAAAUUCUUGAGCAUGUGAUAAUUUAAUUCAUUUUUGCCAUACUUUGCUUCAUGUAUCUUCAGAGUGAAAUGGUCGCCAAGGCAAGAGAAGAUGUGAAUAAUUUAAGACAUGCAAAUGAAGACCUUUUAAAGCAAGUGGAAGGGCUCCAGAUGAACAGAUUCAGUGAGGUUGAAGAGCUAGUGUACCUUCGUUGGGUCAAUGCUUGCCUAAGGUAUGAACUUCGGAAUUACCAGACACCUGGAGGAAAGAUAUCAGCGCGUGAUCUUAGCAAGAGCUUGAGCCCCAGAUCGCAAGAGAGGGCUAAACAGCUGAUGUUAGAAUACGCAGGAUCAGAACGUGGGCAAGGGGACACAGAUCUUGAAAGCAACUUUUCCCAUCCAUCCUCUCCUGGAAGUGAGGAUUUCGACAAUGCUUCCAUAGAUAGUUCAACUAGUAGAUAUAGUAGUCUAAGUAAGAAACCUAGCUUAAUUCAAAAGCUGAAGAAAUGGGGCAAAAGUAGAGAUGAUUCUAGUGUUCUUUCAUCACCAGCUAGAUCCUUUGGGGGAGGCUCCCCAGGCAGAACUAGCAUAAGCCUACGUCCAAGGGGUCCAUUAGAAGCCUUAAUGCUAAGAAAUGCAGGUGAUGGUGUGGCCAUCACUACAUUUGGUAAGAUUGAUCAGGAAGCUCCUGAAUCUCCUGAAACUCCAAAUCUGUCACACAUUAGAACAAGGGUUUCUUCUAGUGACUCACUGAAUAAUGUUGCAGCAUCAUUCCAAUUGAUGUCAAAAUCAGUGGAAGGAGUUUUAGAUGAAAAGUAUCCUGCAUAUAAAGACCGUCAUAAACUGGCCUUAGAGAGGGAGAAACAAAUUAAGGAAAAAGCUGAGAAAGCAAGAGCAGAGAGGUUUGGUGACAGUUCAGAUUUGAAGUAUGAGUCUAGGGCCAAAGCAGAGAGAGACAAAUCUGUCACUUUGCCUCCAAAACUAGCAAAGAUAAAGGAAAAACCCCUUGUUUCUGCUGAUUCAAGUGAUCAAUCCAUUGACAGCAAGAUGGAGGAUUCUCAAGUGGCGAGCAAGAUGAAACUUGCUCACAUUGAAAAGAGGGCUCCUAGAGUGCCACGCCCACCUCCUAAACCUUCAGGAGGGGCUCCUGCAGGUCCAGGUGCUAAUCCUUCGAGUGGAGUACCACCUCCUCCACCUCCUCCUCCAGGUGCCCCGCCACCCCCACCCCCACCUGGUGGACCGCCUCGUCCACCGCCCCCACCAGGAAGCCUCCCAAGAGGGGCAGGAAGUGGAGAUAAAGUUCAUCGGGCUCCUGAACUAGUUGAAUUCUAUCAGACACUGAUGAAACGUGAGGCGAAGAAGGACACACCAUCUUUGGUCUCUUCAACAUCUAAUGCAGCAGAUGCCAGGAGCAACAUGAUUGGUGAAAUUGCAAACAAAUCAUCAUUCCUUUUAGCUGUACGUUAAAUUUUCCCAUACAUCCAUUUAUCUUCUCAGGCAGGUUGUUUGGGUGUUCAUUUCUCAAAUUUAACAAAUAUUGAAACUGGAUGGACUGGAACCAGGUGAAAGCUGAUGUGGAAACUCAAGGUGAUUUUGUCCAGUCAUUGGCAACUGAAGUUCGAGCUGCUUCCUUUACCAAAAUAGAAGAUCUGGUGGCCUUUGUGAACUGGUUAGAUGAAGAGCUCUCCUUCUUGGUAUGCCUUUAAAACUUCAUCUGUUAAACUGGCUAUUCUUUUCUUUUAUAGCUGCUAAACAUGAUUCUAUGUCAUGGUAUUCCUAAUUUGAUCAUUUAUUCCAACCCUUUUCAUCAAUUUUUUUCCCAUCAGGUUGAUGAACGGGCCGUUCUCAAGCACUUUGAUUGGCCUGAAGGGAAAGCAGAUGCAUUAAGAGAAGCAGCCUUUGAAUAUCAAGACUUGAUGAAAUUGGAGAAGCGAGUCUCUACUUUUGAAGAUGAUCCCAAACUGUCAUGUGAAGCUGCUCUAAAGAAAAUGUACUCAUUGCUCGAAAAGUAUGUGAUUUCUUCUCUUGCAUGUUCAUCAGUUUAAAACAUAGAACAUUAUGGCUACAUGGUGGCGAAAAGGACUUCAGCAACUCAAUAACAAAAUGCUGCAUGACUAAAGAAAAGAACCAUUCUCUUUUAUAUGCAACAAUCUAUUUAGCAUUCCAUAAUCUUCUUUAAGGAUUAUACAGUUGCCUUGGAAACCUUCAUAGUUAUAAAGACUUUCAAAAAUCAUCCAUUUUCUUCAGUACCUUGACCUGUUGCUGAUUUGUUAAUUUUGAGUUUUGUUUUUCCAGAGUGGAACAGAGUGUUUAUGCACUCCUACGUACGCGGGACAUGGCCAUUUCAAGAUAUAGGGAGUUUGGAAUUCCUGUUGACUGGCUUCUAGAUUCUGGAGUUGUUGGCAAGGUAUGCAACAUUAGAACAAACAAAAAUUCAUGGUCUUGGAGAUGUUUGGAGCUCUGAACGUUAUAUAUCCCUUAAGUUUUGGAACUUCAUUUUCAUAUGAUAAGCAAGUUAUCACAGUUACUAGGGGCUAGUCUCUGAAUUCAUGCCUUGUCAUGGCAAAGGAUAAGCAAAUUUAUAAGCUCCCAACUGUAUUAUGAAAUGAACCCACAACUGCAAUCAUCCAUGUGAUUAAACAAAACUCUUUCUUCUUUGUAUGAAUAUGUGGAAUCCUAUCAACCAAUGUUAUCAAACGGUAAAAUAAUAUUUUCCAUCUUGCAGAUUAAACUUUCGUCUGUACAACUGGCAAGAAAGUAUAUGAAGCGUGUAUCAUCAGAGCUUGAUGCACUGAGUGGACCAGAGAAGGAACCAAACCGAGAGUUUUUGAUUCUGCAAGGCGUGCGUUUUGCUUUCCGUGUUCAUCAGGUAUGUUUCGUUUCUGCAUCUGUUUCUGUUAAUUUAUACUUCACAUGUUCUACGGUUUACAGAACAAAUGAUAGAAGUAUUUUAUUUUCCCUCAAAUUGGGAAGAACAAAACGUAAAAUUUGUAGCAAUGUGAAUAACAAGAAGUUGAAAAUUGUGACAAGUAUGGAAACAACAUUCUGAAUUGGACUUGUUCCCAGUUCGCGGGAGGCUUUGAUGCGGAGAGCAUGAAGGUUUUUGAAGAACUGAGGAGCCGUGUGAAAACACAAACAGGCGAAGACAACAAGCUAGAAACAUGAGGUUUUUCUCUCUUUCUAUUUUUUUUUUCCCUUCACUUAUGUAUAUCCAAGUUUAUGUUUAACAUUUCAUCUUUCAUAUUGAUCUCCAUGUUGGGAUAUUGAAAGACAUGGUUUAUAUGUUGUACAAACAUCAGUUAUGAUUAAAUGAAAAGAAAAAAGUAUAAAGUCUUUAUAGGGUAAAGUUCUUAAGGUUCAUAGUUACACCAAUGGUGAAUAGAAAUCUUGAAAUCGUAAUGAAAGCACAAUGUUAUGCUAAAGAAUCAAAUUAUUCUAGCUUGAGUUAUUGCCUGCGGAAUAUUCAAGACAAUAUAUGCAUCAAGAAUAUGUGGGAUUUCUAGGGAAAGCAAGGAGUUUGUGGGUUUUGUUGUUUUCUGUAAUAACUUUUGAAGGGUGGUGGAGUGGUUCAUUCUCUUACAGCCUCCCUUGUUUCAACCAUUUUCCUACUAUGCUUUCAGAUGAAAGAUGCUAACAGCUUAUCCUUGUUUGAUUGCAUAAACUGGCUGGGGACUCCUCAGUGUUCUGGGGCCUGGUGUGUGUGUUUUCCCACUCUGUCCCUUUAUAGUCGUGUAUAUGGGUUGCCCCCCUUUUUUGUUAAGGCUCGUCUAAUAAAUUUUCUUUGCCAAUAGAAGAAAAUAUGUUUGCAUCAAGAACAAAGAAAGAGACUUCUGUCCAGCCUUGGGAGAAAGAGAAACUGGAAGUUCCAGUUUGUUUGGGUGCAGAGGCACAGGUUCUUAGAUUUGGGGAACAAAACCCUUCAGUGCUGAGCAAAUAAAACGCUACAUGAUUAUAUUUAAGGUUCCAUCUGCCAAGUUAAAUUGGGAUGCCUUUUUUUUUUUUUUUUCAGUGCAUCUAGCUGGAGGAACAGGGUUCAAAAGUAGAGGUCUAAUGGUUUCUCCCUUUAGGCUAGGUUUGGAUUAUUAAUUUUGGAUUAAAAAAAAAGAAACAGGGAUGAAAAGAACAAAUAAUAAGGAAUGACUGAAAAUCUAUGUAGUUUAGAAUUAUCAGUGUAGUGAAGAAAAAAGAACAAUGGAUGAAAAUUUAUCAAAUUCAAACUUAUAAAUUGCAUUCCUCCCAUUUAAAGCCAAAAGAUUGUAAGCAACUUUGACCCCUCUCACAUUGUGUGGUCAAAAGUAUUCUACCAGUAACAAUCUUCUUUUGGAAUCCCUCCAGCUUUACCCUUCUUUGACCUCUCAUUACCUUUCCUUCCUCCAUAUGAAAUCAGGUGUUUUGACAUAUCAAUAUCUGAUAAUUUUCCCCUACAUUUUCCAUCUCAAACCUAGUUUGAUUAAAGGAUGACUCAAAUCUCAGUGUGAGCAGUUUGGAGGAUAGGUAGGUACUAGCCAUGAAUAAUAGGGUCUUUCUGUAUCUUCUUGAAUUCCUAUGGUAACCAUACUAUCAGUUAACAAUAAUUUGCAGUGCUUACUUGCUUUGACCUCUAUAGCAAGAGAAAAAAAAUUUGAAACUAAACUAUCGCAUUGUGAUGACAAGUUUUCUGUCUGCAAAUUUGGCACCUCCAACCUUUCCUUGAAUUUCUGGUGGCAGACGAAUGACACGUCUCUGGUCCCCUGCUUCCACCAGCAAUUCAGAUCCUCCCCUAUACUGCAAUUACAAUAAUGUUGAAGAAUAAUUAAUCAUCCUCAAAAUGGCAUCAACUUUAUAUAGCUUGAUAGGUGAAAACAUGGAAAGAUAUAGACUUACUUGGUAUAGCUUGAUCUCUGACUUGUCAAAACCUGGCAUGAGAAGGCUGACUGAUUUCUUGGAUGGAUCAAACUUAACUGGCUCCAUAACAUUGCUGCUGCUGCUUGCUGGUGCAGAAAGAAGAUUUCGUGCGUCUUCACUGGGAUUGCUUGAUAUGAUUGCAUUCCAAUCAGGCAGGGAACCCAUUGGGACAUGUGGGCACAAAGCAAAAGGCAAGGGUGAAAAGUUCUUGACUAUUUCCUCUGAUUCAACAUCAGAAUGUGGAGAAGCCGUGCCAAAUGCACCAGAAACCUGUGCACCAGCUUGAAUUGCACAACCCCAGUAUCGUAAUGCAGAGCUCACUGAUGCUGGAUUGUUUGGGUCCACCACAAGGUAGCAGCCAAACUCACGUGGUUCUCCAAAAGCAGAAGAUCCUCUCUGCAAAGCAUGUAACCAUUGCAAAAUCUAAUUUGAGCUACAUUAACCCCAGUAAAAUUAUAAAAGAAAUGGGAGCCACACCUCAAGAGCACGCUCCAGUAUGUCCCAUAUUUCGGAACUCAUUUUCCCAUUGAGAUUGGAUCCCCUGGUGCUUAAACUCAUGGCUUCAUCAACAAGCCUCAAGAGUGAAGGACCAGCCAACCUUCCAAUAUCAGUUCUCUCAGCCAUGUUGCGCAGAUAUUUCAAGUACAAUCUGUGUAGAGUCAUGCGAUUGCAUAAAAAUCACCAAGUGAGAGAAAGAGAAAAAGAGACAGUUCCCCAACCUUGCUCUACUGGUUACACCUAUCAUGCGUAGGGUUUCCUCAGUGUUAAUACCAUCAUAUAUGAUUAUGUCAUAUUUAUCUUUUCGGAGAUUUCUUCGACCCAAAUUCCCUAAGAAUCCCACCAGCCUCUCAAGUGCGAGCAAUGUAAACACAGAAUCCAUCCCAGGAAGCACUCCAAGCUCUUCUCCCACCACCUACUACAUAAUGAAGACAAAUGCAUAAGAAAUUCCUUCACAGAUGAAAGUGAAACACUCAGCCCACUAUCCCUUACAGAUGACAUUCAACCAGAUAAUUAAGAUCAAGAGACCUAUGUAUCUAUUACAUACCCACCCCUUCGAGAACCCCUUGGGUGAUAUUAAGUUCUGCAUCUGCUUUCUUCAGCAGAUGUAGUGGUUCAAGAAGCAUCUGCAUGAUCAAGAAUAGAUCUUCUUGAGCUUACUACUUCAGUUCAAGUCAAGAUAGAGCAUAAGGCAAAAUACAAAGAAGGAAAAAAACACACUUUAGUGGUUUCCAACCUAACAGCCGAAAGGUUAUUGUUGCAGAUUAUGGGAGAAGUUCCAAUCUUACAGUUCAGAAGAUAUUCCGCAGUUGGGUCUUGGGAAUGUAUCACCAAGCAUGUAUUAAACCCUGUCAUGGCAUAAUGCUAAACACACACACAGGAGAGAAGAUACGUUAGAACACUGAUUUAAAACAUGAAGGCUGCGCUUGGAUCUCACAUAUUUCAGGAGAGAAAAUGAAAAUACUAAAAAAUUGCUUAACAACAUAUUCCUUUCUCAAACAGUAUCCAGCAUUUCCCUUUUCCUUUCUCUUUUUCUCUGGUCUUUUUCAGGAUCCAAAUGGAGCCCAAACAAUUUCAGCGUCACCAAAUAAAAAUGACAAAGAUAAUCCAUCAAAUGGUUGCAUUUUCCUCACAAUUAAGUAAAGAAUUUCCAUCCAAUAAUUACAUAUCCCCACACCCAGCGCAGAAUUUCCCCCAGAAAUGCGGCUGGAUUAAGUUUUGGAUCCGAAUCUGCUGGUAGACAGCACCAGCUCAACUAAAGUGUUUUCAACUCCAAAUCACACAAAAAAAAAUAAAAAAAUCCCACUCAGAUAUAUACAACCGUUACUUCUCUUGUAAAAAUCCCAAAAACUCAAAAUGCGAGAAAAGGGAAGAAAUUGAGAGGAGAAUCACCUGAGCCGCGAAGAUGGCGGAAGUGGUCUUGCCGGAACCACCUUUGCCCAAAAAAGUGACCAAUUUGGUGGAAUGAUCUUCCUCCGACGAUGCUGUCGUGGCCAGAGCUCCAUGCCGUCUUCUUCGGAUAGAUAAUCCGGAAUUAGGGUUUCGUGACAAUGCUGACGAUAGCAACAAAGGUGAAGAAGCCAUUUCCCCAGAAACCCAGCUUCACUGAGUUUUAUCCACGCGCUCUCCCCACUAUGUUGUAGUCGCCAGAGGGCCUCUCGUACGAUUUUCCAAAACAUAUACCCAUCUCCCGUAUUCAUCAUGUGAUUCGUUAGAACUUUCAUUUUUUAUCUUUUUGUUUCUUUUCUUAGGAUGGAUGAGAUUGGAAAACUUAUAAAUUUUGGUUGAAUAUUGAAUACAUACAAAAUUUGAAUUGGGGAAGUGCAAAUUGCAAAAAAAUUGACAGGACCUCAUAUCAAAUCAAAUUCUAAUACCAUAUCGAAGACUUCCCAUUAAAUCAAAUUCUAAAACCAUACCCAAGACCUCCGAGAAUAUGCUCAUGUCAAUAUACCAUAUCGAGGACUUCUCAUUAAAUCAAGUUCUAAUACCAUAUCGUGGACCUCUGAUAAUAUGCAUAUGUCAAUAAGAACGCAUAUACUAACAAGAUACUUAACCCAUUUCUUGCCAAGUCUUUUAAACACAACCGAAUAAGCAACAUUUGUAUCUACCUCGUUGUAUUUUUGCAAAAGGACUCUGGCUGAUUACGACAUAUAAAAGGAGUCCACCCUUCACCUGGUUCUUCGCCUUCGUGUGGUAUUAUGCAGUUGCGUCUUUGCAGCUGGUUGAAAUAGUUAAGAGUGAGUGACAUUAGUACCUAAACUACUUGGUUAUCUGAUGGUAUGAUUGAUUACAGAUUUAUGCUUUCAAGUGAUGCAUCUCAACUAUAUAUUUGAUGGUAAAUAAUUGCGAUAUCAAAUUAUGAUGUGAUGACUGAUGACGAUGGAUUAUUCCUCAAAGCACGCAAUUACAGCUAGGCCAUUCAAUUACGGCUACAUCUAGGAUUUGGUUGUCAACACAUCACUUAACCCGCAAGUCAAGGGGCCAGUCAAGGGGCCAACCAAUCCCACUUCCUCUUUUCCCUAUGUUUCAUUUUCAUUAAUCUCACCUCUCAUCGCCGACACCCGUUCCUAUCUCUCCUCACUUCUCUUCUCCAAUCUCCACCACCAUGGCCGAGCAGACCCAAAAUCACAAACCCACAAGAAGCUAUUGGAGAUGGAGUAAACAAGACUUCUUUCCAGAAGAGUCUUUCCAGAACUUGGCUUCAUACAAAACUGCUCUUUCCCAUACAUGUUUCAGGCUCAAGGACCGUCUUCUGAACCGAUCCUCCGUUGCAAAUGAGAUGCUUCUUUUCCAGGAGAGUGAAAACGCCAUGAAAAAGUGCCUCACCUGGUGGGACUUGGUCUGGAUGAGCUUCGGCUCAGUUGUUGGAUCUGGCAUAUUUGUGAUCACUGGGCAGGAAACUCGUUACGAUGCCGGACCCGCCAUUAUAUUAUCAUAUGCUGUUUCGGGUUUCUCUGCAUUGCUUUCCGUGCUUUGUUACACCGAGUUCGCAGUUGAAAUACCCGUUGCAGGGGGGUCUUUCUCUUAUCUUAGAGUAGAAUUAGGCGACUUUGUUGCAUUUAUCGCGGCCGGGAACAUUCUCUUGGAGGCAAUUGUUGGUGCUGCUGGUCUGGCUCGGUCUUGGUCCUCCUACUUUGCCAGUAUGAUCAAUACAGACACCGAUUUUUUGAGAAUUCGGGUGAGUUAUUUUGCAGAUGGUUUCAAUCUAUUGGACCCAAUAGCAGCAGUUGUUUUGUUAAUUGCAGACGGUAUAGCCAUGAGCGGGACUAGGAGGACAUCUAUUUUGAACUGGAUCAGUUCUGUGUUGAGUUUUAUGGUAAUUUUGUUUAUUAUUGUAAUUGGGUUCAUUCGUGGCAAGACUUCAAAUUUGGUCCCCUUCUUUCCGUAUGGUGCAAGAGGGGUUUUCAGGGCUGCGGCAGUUGUGUACUGGUCCUAUACCGGUUUCGACAUGGUUGCGACCAUGGCUGAAGAAACCAAGAAUCCCACCAGAGACAUACCACUGGGUUUGGUUGGUUCGAUGUCAAUGAUCACUGUUGUUUAUUGCUUGAUGGCCUUGGUCCUUUCCAUGAUGCAAAAAUACAACGAGGUAGAUGCAAAUGCUGCUUAUUCGGUUGUGUUUGAAAAAAUUGGCAUGACAUGGGCUAAGUAUCUUGUUAGCAUAUGCGCCCUCAAGGGCAUGACCACGAGCAUGCUAAUUGGAGGCCUAGGGCAAGCUCGAUACAUGACUCAGAUCGCAAGAGCUCAUAUGAUUCCCCCCUGGUUUGCCCUCGUUCACCCACGGACCGGAACCCCCAUAAAUGCAACUCUACUCAUGGCCAUACCCGGUGCUACGAUCGCUCUUUUCUCUAGUUUGGAUGUCUUGUCUAGUAUUUUUUCAUUCAGUACACUCUUAAUCUUUAUGUUGGUCGCUGUUGCACUGCUCGUGAGGCGAUAUUAUGUGAAGGAUACCACUGCGAAGCGUGAUUUGGUCAAAUUUCUGGCUUGUUUAAUUGUUAUCAUUGGAUCAUCGAUUGGAAUAGCAGUGCUUUGGAAUUCAAACACGACAGAAUGGGUUGGAUAUGCAGUGGGAGCAUUUUUGUGGUUUCUCGGAACUUUGGGGAUGGGGUUGCUUCCAAAGCAGCGAGUUACAAAUGUCUGGGGUGUUCCACUUGUCCCCUGGUUGCCAUCACUGUCAAUUGGGAUGAACCUGUUUCUCAUAGGAUCACUGGGUUAUCAGGCAUUCUUGAGGUUCUUCAUUUGCAGUGCAGUAAUGCUAAUUUACUACUUUCUUGUUGGUCUCCAUGCAACUUAUGAUAUGGCUCGUCAGAAUCAACAAGCAUAAAUUCGAGAUGAGCUCCUGAAGCUCUGAAGGAGCUAAUGGAGAAAGGCUGUUGAACUGUUGUUGCAGAUGCGGUUCUGGAUUCUAGGCAGUUCAUUACAGGCAUUAUUAAUCCCUCAGGCACCAUGGUGGAGUUAAUUGGUAAUGGAAUGAAAAAAUAAGGAUUUAGUUCAGGUCAGGUCUAAUUCACUCCUGUCUCUUCUGUUCCAAACGUAGUAGAUGGCUUUCCCUGUUUCUUUUUGUCGGACUGGAUCAUUAAGUUGCUCAUUUUGCCAAGUGACCAACAAGGAUCACAAAUGGCCAAAGCCAAUUUGCUGCUUGACUCUUGGAUCCCAUUUCAUAAGACAAGAAAUGGCCCUCUUGCUCUUGGCUCUGCCUUGCAACAAUAUAAAAAAUUAAUGAAAUCAUAAUAUUUUAUAAAUUAAAAUUAAUUUGAUAUGAUAAAUUAUUAAUAAUUUUAAUUAUUUAAAUAAAUUAAUGUUAAUAAAUAAAAAUUAUUUGUAAUAAAAUUUUAAAAAUUAAAUCUCAAAUAAAAUAUUUUAUAUAAAUCAAAUUAAUUAAAAUGAUCCCACAUCAUUUUUAGAGUUUAUGAAAUACCAAUUGGAAUGAGAAUGAUCCCACAUCAUCCAAACGGUUGAUUCUACCGGAUCAGGAGUUCUGGUUAUGUAAGAUGGACAAAAUUGUCAUAUUCAUGUGCUGUAGAUUUUGGAGACAAAUCAUCUCUACCCGGGUACAUAGAUCCAAACCAUCCUUCUAGCCACCUUAUUCCGUCUCCUGAGACCCAAGUCAACACUAACAAAGAUCUCUUGAUUCCCUGCGGCCUGACUAUUCAUCUUCACUUUCUCAAGAGUGCUAAAAGGAACCCCUGAGUGCAAACCAAUCCCACGGUUUUCAUAGGUUGAGACAUGUAAUUUGCAUCUCCACAGAUAUGUCUAUUUCACCGAGAGCUUCUCUCGAAGACGAUGCCCAGAUAACGCCUUGAUGUUUAUGAAUUCUUUCUCAUGUUGAACUUAAAGAUUUAAUGCAAAUAUAAAUGAGUGAAAUAUCAUCAUUUAUUGAUGAGAAAAUACUUCAAGGAUGGCAGCAAAUUUAGUUUGAAAUAAAAAUUUGAGAAGAUUUUAUUAUUAAAAAAUAUUAAAGAUUAAAAAAUUGAUUUGAUGAUGAUGAAUGCAACAAAAGGAAAAGAAAGUGAACAGUUGAAAAAAAAAAAACCCAAACCAAACACAGUGUUAAUGCCAGAAAGUAUCGUUGAAUAGGCAAAAGCAUGAUGCAUGGCUUGUUUAUGUGUUGAUUAAAUUUUGUGUGGGUUUUGUUACCAUAGAAAAUAGGGCGGGGUUCAAUGCAAACAAAGGAUAAGGGCGUGUUUGCCUAGCUUUCUGGCUCUUGGAUAUACCCAAAAACCAGAAACUCCUACUGUCAUCAAGAAAGGGGGGUGGGGGGUGUGGGGUGUGGGGGUGCACCCAGCUUUUUCAUCCAUUGAGUAGUGGCACAGCUGGAGCUGUUUUUGUUGUUUCCAAUGCAGUGAAGUUGAUCAUUCACAUUCUUUUGACAUCAUGGUAAAUUGGGGAAUAGCAGAUGUUCUCAUCAUUCCAUUAGAAAAGCAUAUGGGUACUUUGAAUCAUUUCUUUGUACAGAAAUUGGUGAAAGGAAGUGACCCACCUUUCUGUGCUGCAGUCACUGCACUGAAGUUGAGUCCAAUCCUUCCUGAAACUCAAGAAUGGAGGUCUAAUUGGUUGGGAAACAGAGUAGGAUUUGCCAAGAAACAUAGAGGAAUUUAAACAAAUGAAAAAUUGAAAUUUUAAGAGCAACACCCAUCUUUAAAAGUUCUUAUUUCUGUUCUUGUUGCUUAUCUGCAAUCAAAUGGAGCAUAAUCAUGGUGUAGGGACAAAAAAUUGAAAACUAUGGAGUACUUUCCUAUUGAUUGUUGAGAUCAUAUAGUACACAAAGAAGUGCCCCCUAGCUUGCACCUUUAGCCAUUGGAUAAGAAAAACUUGGCAAGGGGCUGGCCCUAGGUGUCCUUGGAGGCUCAGAGACUUGAUUUCCAUAACCAUCAUAAAAGAUUACACCUGAAAAUUCUGGGUGCUGGCACCUCUCACCCAUCAAGAUUGACUUCUGCCACAAGCCACCUUCCCCGGUUCCUUCCUCCACUCUGCAGGCCCCAGUUUCAGCUCCAGCUUCAUCACCUCCCUUUUUCUUGUAGAUGAAUGGGACAGCCUUGUUGCUGAUACUUGUGAGGAGCUCCUUGGGGGAAGCUAAUGGUGAUUUAGGGACCAGUUUUGGAUUACUGGUUUUGUUGCACUUUCUUGAAACAAAGCCUGCAUGUUUGGCACACAAAGCUACUAUAGCAGUUGCUGAGAGGAACAAGCCAAAUCCUAUCAGCACAUAUCCCAAAUGAUUACCAGAGUUUAAUAUUGGGACCAUUUCUAUACAAUGGUUGCCUGAAAACGCAAGGUUAGGGAUAGAAGCCCUCAAGAACAAAGAUACUUAUAUAUCUAGUGGUCUCAUGUGUUUAUAGGUUGGCAGCUGGUGGAGGUUGAGAGGAGGAAGGCUCACUUUUUCUCUGCAAUUAACUAAUAUGACCCUGAGCUCAAUCUAAUGAAGCUUUGGUUGGUUAGGAGAGAGUUGUAAUUUCAACUUGUAGAAAAACCGCCUUUAUUAAUGAGAGCUGAAUCCAAGUAAUUUCCCUCAGAUGUUGAUACAUAUUCUUCUUAGCUGAUAUAUAUAUUUUUUUCAUCCAUGGAUGGUCCAGAUCAUGAAUGCCAAUUAUCUUUGUGUUUGCAGUAUUAUAAGGAGUAGUUGAGUCAACGUUAAGCCUGUGAGGAAGACAUGCCAAGAUGAAUGCCAUGUAUGGGUCACCAAUUUCUGUUUCUUUAUUUUCUUAUUCGAGGUUGACUGAUUUGCAGGCUGCAACUUGGGUGUUUUCCUCUUCUCUCUCGGGCCUACCUCCUUUCUUUGAAUUUUCCCAUAUAGUGUUGAUCACCACGUUGGCUGAUUGCGAGUCAUGUAUUAAGAUCAGAGCAGUAGUCAUCUUGCUCAUUGAUUGAACUCCAUGGCUGUGAAGUGAAUUGUGAUGGUGUCUGUCCUCCUAUGCAAUUAGUAAAAUUCCAAAAUAAGGCACAGAAACAAACCCUGAUGCAAUGAUCACAAACCCCACAAAUUAGUGAGAAAGGACCCUCUUGAUUACUCUGUUGAUAAUCCAAAGGAUGUGAUCCAAGUUCUCAUAAUGAUGAAAUCAUCAUGAUUUCCAGUACUAUUUCCUUUUAAGCAUUGACCCCUUUUCCAUUAGGUAAUUUUAAUGUAUUCAGCUGGAGGCUGAAUUGAUGUCAUGGAUAAUGUUCAUAAUUCAUUUGUAGAUGACUCGUUUCAUUUUUUUUAAAGUGCGAAAGCUCGACUCGUACGUGUUGAAGCUGUAUCUGUCGAAGCACGAUUCAGCUUCUUUGAUUUCAACAAGCAAAUUCAUUUUGUGUUAAUGCUCCACUAGAACUUGUUUUGAAUUCAACAAAGCCAAAAAAGGGGCUAAUUUCUGUGAGUUCAUCAUGCAAAUGGUUUAAAUUUUCCAAGAUUUUGCCUUUUCAACAUGCACUUCCUGUAAGGUGCCAUGUCCUUUCACCAAAUCAUCAUGGGGGAAAACACCUUUCAAGCAAAUAUUGAACUCAAUUUUCACAUUCAAUUUUCUGAUUGGAAUUUGUUAGGUAUCUUUCAUCUUUUCCACUGAUCCCAUUAUUAGAAGGUUGAUAACUCUGACUCUUUCUCAAUUGUUUAACACACUAAAAGAUGAGCAUCUUUGUAAAGCGUUUACCUCUAUAAAGUAUGACAACAACUUAGCUGAUAUUUCCCAGGGAUAUACUCAACAUGUUGCUUUCCUAGCUUGGAAACGCGUAGUUGACUAAGCAAAAAUAAUCGAGAAACCGGUAAAUUAAAGCAUCAAAUAGAGAAGUCGGCAAAUCCCCGUCUUAGUACGGCAGAAAAGGGACAUUUCCUGUCUUGGUUCACACUCAGGAUGAUAUGAAACACAUUAUGCAGCAACCAUAAUUGUGGUGCAUCAGACUAUGAUAACCCAUCUCAUGGACAGGGACAGGGUGGGUCAUGGUCACUAUAAUUGCGGGUUGGAUUAGCGAUCAAUUUCCCUUAAUUAAUCCUUGCCCCUCAAACUAAUCCAAAGUGAUUAUAUGAUUUAGUGGCGUAAAUAUUAGAUUAUCCUAGAUCAUCCAACCAUUAUGGAUGUAACUGAUGUUUAAAUUCAGGUUGGUUGAAAUGAGCCCCCAGCUACUACUCCUCCUCCUCUACUCAACUGCAGUGUCACAAUUUGAUCUGCAUUCUGAUUUGUGGUUUGAGUGAAUGGAUUUCCAUGAUUGAUGCUGUGAAAUCAUGACAAAUAAUUGUACUAAAAAAAUCAAGGGUAUGUAGUGGGGAUCCAUUCUCCUCGACUCCUGAAGAAAUGAUGAACCAUGGCCCACCUGCAAGCGUGAUGUAAUUCACAAGAGGGCAACCUCUUGGUUAUCUGUGAUCCAAGGCUGGAAUUAAGCAGAGAAACCAUGAAACGACUCCGCUGAUAUACUCUUUCUCUAAUCUAAUUCAUAAUGUUUGGCUGGUUGUCAGGUCACUCUGUUUAUUUUAUGCGUUUCGGUCGAGAUCCCAGUGAUGUGAAAUUUUCUUUAAAGAUGGGCAAUAUUUCUGGUAGAUCGAAUUUUGGGAAAUCUGAUCACCAUUGUCAGUCACUAUUCACAACUUCACAUUUGAAAAACCCAAUUCAGAGAGGGCUGAAAAAGGGGUCAAUGCACCCUCAAGGCAGUCACAAAACCCAAUUAAGAGGGCUGAAAAAGAGGCUGUGCUUUUUACGUUACUCAAUCCAUCUACAUUUGAACCCCAAAAACUUUAUUAUAUAUCCAAGUCAAUGGCCAUAUUAUAAUGUAAUCCAUAACGUAAGUGACACACAAGCUCAGAAAAACAGCUCAUUUGGUAAACACCCUGCAUUUAAUGUCUAAAACAAAUCAAAGUUCAAAUAGAGAAAAAGAAAUGGAUUAAUUUCCGGUGGGGGGUGAUGAGGAAGAGGAAGAGGAAGAGGGAAGAAGAAAAGGAAGAUGAUUGAUUCCAUGGGUGAGUCAUGAGUGGGACCAUAGAGGUGGCAGAUGACACCAAACCCAUGAACACACUGAAUUUCAUUCUUCAAAGAAACCAAAGACUUCCAUAUUAACCAAACUCUCUCUCAUUGAUAAAUAUAUUUAUUAUGGUGUGCAUCUUAAUAUACAUAUGCCGUGCCGUCACAACUACUCAUGUUCCUUUCAAAGUAAAAAGUCCCACAAAAGAUUACCACCUAAUAAUUCUCAAUUAUCAUUCUGAUUAAUUAAUCACAAGUGUAUUAUUAAGGAUUAAGGAAUUAGAAAGUGAAUUACCAUUCACUUAAUUAAUUAAAGCCUGAAAUCCGAUAUAUUCCCCUCCUUAAUUUUUCUUUGUUAUGGAAACAAUAUUCAUUUACAAGCUCACACUCACAAGAUCAUACCACAUAUAUGAUCCAUAUGAUAUGAAUAAAGGUUUCUUGGACAGAAGAAGAAAAAGAAAUGUAAUCAUACAAGUAAAUAUGAAACCUCUCUCACUAACCAUUUUCAAAUUUUCUUCCACCUCCCAUCAUGUAUAUCCUUCUUCUUCAAUGGUGCAAUGGGUUGGGGCCAGUCGGGACGAGCCGCUUCUCGACGCCGUAACGCGGGUCGAUCUCGGUUCCAGCUGGCUCCGGUUGCACCUGCAUGUUCGGUGAGCGGCCGUGGCGGUGGCUGUGGUGGUGGCGGUGGCGGUGGCGCUGUUUCUGGAAUGGGGUGAAGUCAAAUUUGCUGGAGAGAACCUUUCUGCUGAUGGGAGGUUGGCGAGAGACUGAUGAUGAUGAGUAGUAGCUUAUGCUUCUGGGCUUGACAUUGUAGUAUUCAUGAAGAAAUAACAAGAGGAUAGAAAGCCAGAGAAGAACAAAGAGUAGAUGGGAAAUCCUCUUCAAGGCCAUGGUAGAGGAGGAGAAGGAGAAUGGUGAGAAGAGGAAGCAUGGAGCAUGAAAUGAGGAGGAGCUGAGGAAGGGGAGAGGGUUUAGUAUAAGAUGGACAAUGUAAGAAGGCUUGACAGCUUGAAUCUAAUGGGCAAUAUAAGAUUUGUAGUAGAAUAGAAAGAGGGAUGAAUCGGUGUUCGUGUUGCGUCUAUGUGAGUCUUGUGAGCAUAUUUUUUAUGCUAAUUUAAUGUGUCAAUGCGAGAAAAGGAGAGAAAGAGAGAGAAAGAGAGAGGGGCAUUCGACCCUUUCCCCAAUGAGACAUCCUUAGAAAUCAAGGAAGAGAAUGGGUCAUUGUAUGAGAUUUGUCAAACCUUGAAUUAUAUAUGUUUGAUUUUCUGUGAUGAAUUGAUAUAAUGGAAAAGUAUUGUUAAAUAGUAAAAGAAUGGCACACUCUUUUCCAUAAAGGAAGCUCCAUCCAUGGUGGUUUUGAGUGAAUUGCAACUAAAUUUAAAAGGGGUGGGGAAUAUCCACUCUACCUUUUCUAUGGACAAAGCAAUGUAUGGACUGUUUGGAUAAAUGUUGCACAAAGCAAUGUAUUGACUGCUUGUUCCUUAAUUUUCUUUCAUCUUGGUGUAAUAAUGUUUUUUAAUACUUCAUUCAUACUACUAAUUCUUAAUCAUAUACAUUCCUCAAUUGCUCAAUUGCUCAAUGCCAACAUUAACAACUUGAAAUAUUAUGAAAAUUUAAAAUUUGUUUGAUUCUUUAUUUAUUGGGUGCAAUGGAUCGCCCACCCAAAAGUAGGUUUAAAAGAAAUGACUAUUUGGAUGGGCCAGUGUAGUAUAGGCCCUUUUUUUUUUUUUUUUGUUUCCUUCCUUAUUUAUUAAUUUAUUUAUGCUUCACAAAACAAUUUUUCUAUGCCCCAACCAAUCAUAGUCCCACAAGAGAUAGCGUCCUAAGGUUGCGAACCUCCUUAUGUUUAAAAGGCCAUGUAGAGUGUAUUUGUUUUAAUCUAUAGUAUUUAUGAAAUAAUUGGUUAAUAUUUGAAUAUAAUUUUUUUUUUAAAAUUUUCAACUUUUUAAACAUAAAUAAAAUUUUACUUUUCAUUAAAAUAUAUUAUAAAUACUUAUAAUAUUUUUUAUUUAUAAAUUAUAUUUAUUUUAAUAAAUUUUAAAAUUUUAAAAAUAAAAAUAUUGAAAAAAAUUAAACAGAGGAAGGUGGACGAGUAUGAAAAUUUCCUAUAAUUGCCCUUAUCCAACUCUCGCUUUAUUUAUUAUUGUUAUUUUUGGGGUAAGGAUGGGAAUAGAUAUAAAUAAAUGGAAUGGAUUGGGACGGGGUGACCCGUCUUGAACCGUCUCAUUUCAUCCUUGAUUAUGUGGCGUAUCUUUCUAAAAUAGUUAGAGGUAAGUUUUUUGAGCUCGUGUGGGCUGGUGUGGGUUUUAGAUUUUGGGCUUUGAUAGGCUAUGGCAAUUUAAAUGGUAUUUGGGCUUCCUCUCGACUGUCUUAUUGGGCUUUUGAUGGUUUUUGGGCUUUUUGGGGUGUGGGCUAGGGCUAUUUCUACUGGGUUGUUCAAUUGAUUAAGGGCAUUUUUGAGAAAUUCUGUUUAACACCUCUAGGUGGUAUAGAUCAGAGGUGAUAUACAGGGUUUCUUCCUCAUUCUCAUUCAGCGCGAACCGAAUCGAGAGCAUCAAAUCUUGGAAAGAACGAAGAAGACAACAUGGUAAUUGAAAUUUGAAUAUCUAUGUUUUUUUUCCCCCCUAAAUUAGGGUUUUUCCUGCUCCUUUUUUUUCCUCUGAAAUUAGGGUUUCCUGUUCGUUUAGAAGAUUUUCCUGGUAAUAAUUGUUACGAUUUAGGGUUUCAUCAUCAGUUUGCAGUGAACACGAGCCUUUUAAAAAUUUUUAUUUUUAUUUUUAUUUAUUUUUCUGAAAUCUUUUUCCUGAAGACAUGGUUUUUAUCAUAAGAUUCAUAACGAAUAAACAGGCGAAGGAUCGGUGCAUAAUCUUGUCGAUUUUAUAGUUUUCUUUAUAAUAAAAAAAUAAUAAAUUAACUAGGUUUUUAUUUUGAAUCAAUUUCAUCUUCUCUGUCGGCGCUUUUAGAAUUGAUGUAUUGUUUUCUAUGCGCAAAAUAAUUGAACAUUCUUCUCCUGUCAUUAUACAUAAAUUGCUGUAAUAUGUCGUAGGUCUUGUUCUUUAUACCACUUCAACAAAAUUAGUCAGACAAAUGAAUGCUGUGGAUUAAGAAACCUGGUUAGAAGAUCGUAUGUCUUGUUUUCUGCAAUUAGGGUUUCUUGUUAGUUUAGAAGAUUUUCCUGGUAAUAAUUGUUACUAAUUAGGUUUCAUCAUUAGUUUACAUUGAACUUGAGCCUUUUUUUUUCUUCAAAUUUAUUUUUCUGAAUAUUUUUCCUGAUUAUAUGAUUUUGAUCGUAAUGAAGGUAGCGGAUAAACUGAUGAUGGUUUGGAAGAUACAGUUUUAUUACCCCUUCAACAAAAAUAAGUCAGAAAAAUGAAAACCAUGGAUUAAGAAACCUGUUAGACAAUUGAUUAAAAUGUUGGAACUGGUUGAUUAAUUCAAUGUUACUUUGCCAAGAGAACAAGUGGUAUCUCCUUUGAGAUGGUUUCUAUAUGUAUCUGGUUAUCAUCACCCAUAAAAAAAAAACUAAUAAUAAGAAAAAUAAGAAUAAUGCAUCUGGUUAUCAUCACAACUUUUGUUUUUUUUUGCUCUAAAAAUCUACCUAAAGGAUCUUUGGUUUUUCACCCUCAUGUUGAAUAGGAAAAAUAAAUAUGGCUUACCUUGUCCAGUUUGUUUUUCCAAUCUAUUCUCCAUCCAUUGUUUCAUGACAUCCUUUUUAUCACCAUCUGAAAUAGCAUGCAUAAUGACGGUUCAUUAUCCUUUUAAGAAGGAUUACCAUGCCCAAAGAUUUCUCAUUCACAGAAGUACCUGUUUGGCCUUGCCAUCUGAGGCUCACAAAGAGUUGUUGCUGCCUCCUCUACUCCAUUUCUUUCUUGCGUUGCAACAAGCCAUACGACAUAAGAUAGACUAAUCUUCCAAAAAACUAAUGAAACUCUUACAUAUCUAAAAGUAACUAAAUCUUAAUACAAAUAUAAGUCAAUUUACCUUUUUAAAUAGAAUUUUUUUUUGAUGAGUAAAACAAGAGUGUAUUAUAGACAAAAAGCAUUAAAACAGUGCUCCGAAGUACACAUGAAGUAUACAACAAACGCUUAAAAGCACAAACUAAAACAGAGGGACCAACAAAAAACUACGCCCCCCUUUAGAAGGAACCCAACUAGUCCACAAAAUCUACUGCAGAAGGACAAAAAUCUAAAAACAACCUAGACCAAGCCCAUGGAUUACAAAUGAAAGAGUGUUUUAGUCCUUGAAUGGAUUGUUCUUCAUUCUCAAAAGAUCUUCUAUUUCUUUAUUUCCAAAUUGUCCAAAAUAAUCACAGCAGAGCUGCCUGCCUAGCCUUUUUUUGCUUUUUUUUCCCACAAAAGACCUAUGUCAUCCUAAAAGAGUGAUUGAACACGAAAGCACCUAAAGCUCACUAAACAGGAAGAACAAAAGAUUCCAUAAAACUCCUGUCAUGACGUAGUGGAUAAAAAUGUGAUCAAUGGACUUUUUCUCCAUAAGACAAAUGAAACAUCUAUUUGCCAAAUACCACCCCCGCCUUUCUAAAUGAUCCAAAGUUAACACCUUUGCCUAAGUUGCAUCCCAAGCGUAAAAGUCACCUUUGAAACCCAAGAGUUCCAAAUCACACUAGUAGAAAAUGACAUUAUACUUUCUAACUCUAAAGUUGAGUGCAGGACUUUAACAGAGAACUUCCCACUAUUUGACCUUAUCCAAAUCACUUUAUUUUCCUUUUCCCUGUACACACUCCUCAUUUGAAAACUCAAAAGAAAAUGUUCUAUCAAGUCCAAAUCCCAAUCAUUUAGGAGCCUAGAAAAACGAUGGGCCCAAUAAUUCCCUUCAACUGUCGAGUGCCAAACAUUUUUCACCCAAUCCUCCUUAAAAUCAACAAUGACAUAAAGAGAAGGUAAAGUGGUACAUAGUACUUCAUCACCACACAACUUGUCCUUCCAAAAUUGCACCCUUCACCCACUACCAAUUGAGAAAGCAACUCUACUAGUUAAAAGAUCCCAAUCCUUUCUGAUGACUUUUCAUAACCCUACCCCAUAACUUUCUCUCACCUCCUUGGAGCGCCUUCCUCCAUCUUCUACCACGUACUUACCACUUAUAUCUUGCUUUCAUGAAGCCCCCCUAUCCUUAGCAAACCACCAACUCCAUUUUCCUAGAAGAGCUUUAUUAAGCUUUGCAAGAUUCCUUAACCCCAAUCCACCCUUACUCUUAUCUGCACAAACUAUCGCUCAAAGGAAAUCCCUUUGAAUCUAUUCCAACUUCAUUUGACUAUCCUUGGAAUGCAGAACAAAGACAUGAAAUAGAUGGGCAUGCUAGAUAAUGUGCUUCAGAUUAGGGUAAUCCUCCCACCCUUAGAUAAAUACUGCAUUUUCUACAUAACUAGCUUUUUUCAAAACCUCUCCUCUACUCCAUCCCAAACCGCAACGUACUUGAAAGUAGCACCUAAAGGAAGACCCAAGUAAGACGAUGAAAGUGUUCCUACCUUGCAUCCAAACUCAAAGGCUAGCUUUUCUAAAUUUUCCACCCUUCCCAUUGGAAUUAACUCUCUUUUUUCCAAGUUAAUGUUAUGCUCGAAAUGGUCUCAAAUCACAUAAGCUACCAACUAAGAUAAGUCAACUGAUCUUGAGUCAAUUUGCACAAAACUAACGUAUCAUUGACAAACAAAAGAUAGGAAAUUUCCACUCCUCCACCUCUGCCAGUCACCCUCCAACCUGGCAAAAAACUUCUAAUCUUAGGUCCCUAAGCAAACAACUAAGAGCCUCCAUAACAAUCACAGACAAAUAGGGCAAAAGAGGAUCUCCCUGUCUUAGUCCCCUAGAGCUUUGAAUGGAGUCCACUGGAGCACCAUUAACAAGAACCGAAAACCUAAAGAGAUACACCAUUUUAUCCAAAUUAUCCACUUCUCCCCAAAACCUAUCUUUUUUAGGAUUGAAAGUAGAAAAUCCUAAUUAACAUGAUCAUGAGCCUUCUCAAUAUUGAUUUACAUAGCAAGCCACAUUCAAUGCUCUUCAACGAGGAGUCAAUGGCCUCAUUGGCAAUGAGCAUUAUCCAAAAUUUGUCUUCCCUCUACGAAAGCAUUGUGAGAAUUGGAUACCACCUUAUCCACCACCUUCUUAAUUCUAUUGGCUAAGACUUUAGCCAACAACUUGUGGAGACCACCCACCAAACUGAUGGGCCUGAAGCCCUUAAGGUCUUUAGGUCUCCCUUUCAUAGGAAUUAAAACAAAGAAAGUUGCAUUCAAAUUCUCAACGAAUCGACCCGCCCUUUUCAUGAAAGUCCUUAAAGAGAUCUAACACCUCUUCACAAAAUCCCAAUUGAACUGCCAAAAAGCCAUAGGAAAAAUAGGAAAGCCGCCAAGACCUCUUUAAAUGGAAUUAUGAGAAAUAGAAAAAUAAAUAGUAUUUUAUGUAGUGAUUUUAUAUACGAUAAAUGGAAAAGCAUACAGUAUCUCAUGUAUUGGUUUUAUACUUUUUACUCACAAAAAUUAUGAUAACCAGGGUUGAAUCAGUUGUUUGGUUGGCCAGAAUAUAUUUGAUUAAUCUUCUGGAAUGGAAAGCCCAUUUUAGCAAAAUCAUCCCAAUCCUCCAAAAGCAUUUUUAUUGGUGUAGGUUCAGUGAGGGAUGCUGGUCUAGUGGCAUGCAGCAGGGCACCUUAAGCAAUGGAGAAUUUAUUUAUUUAUUAUUUGGGAUUUUUAGCUGGGCCACACACUAUAACUUUAAGAUCAGUUUCUGUAGGGGCAAACUCUGUUUAGAUCCAAUAGUUAAUGUGCUAUACAAUAUGCAGCUAUGAUGAUAUGUCCAUAAUUAAUUAUGCUAUUUUGCUAUUUCCAGUAGUAAGUUCUUUGUAAGACUUUUUUUUUUACAUUUAUUUAAGAUGCUAAAUUUUAAUUUGUAUUUUUUUGCAGUCGUCACUUGCAGCUGCUAGAGCAGACAAUUUUUACUACCCGCCAGAAUGGACACCGAAUCAGGUAUGUUUACAUGAUCCUAUAAAGGCUAUAAAGGCUCUUGUUGAAUCGGUUUAUGAGACAUUUGUAUUUUGGAUUCUCACAUCACAUUCUUUUCAGGGUUCUUUGAACAAGUUUCAUGGUCAACAUGCUUUGAGGGAGCGAGCAAGAAAAAUAGACCAGGGCAUCUUAAUUAUAAGGUACUGACUCACAUGCAUUUUGUUGAGUAUUUGAUCAUACCUCCAAAUAGUUUUUUCAUCAUUGUAUGAAAUAUAAUUCAUACGUUUACUUACUUCUCUAAAAGUAUUUGUGCUAUAAUGGGAAGUAAGAGAGUGCUUAAGUGCUUAGGUGCUGGAACUUGGUGUUCACAUCCAGCAAUUGGACAUGGGAAAGAAAAGGUGCCUGUUCCACUUGUUAAAAAGCCAUUCCUUGGGUUAAACCUUUUUAAAGAGAAUAAUGGACACUUGAAAUAUAGAAAAAUUAUUUGGGGUUUGGUUUUAGGGAGCUGAUGAUCAAUGUUGGUGAAAGUAAAUCAUUAGUUUCUGUUGCUUUUAAAGUGAUAUUUGAAUAAUUCAUUAGUCACAUAAGUGCCUUAAUUUAAUUCUUGCUCAGACAAGCAUGGUUUUUGUUUAUUAGAUCUUAUUUGUUACACAAAUUAAGCCAUUUGACUGAAUCUUCUCGUAAGGGGAGUAUAUCAAUUAGGUAGUGAGUAUUGAUUCACAUUAUGUGGUUGCAUUCUAACAUGCACAUCAAUGGUAGUAUCAAUGCUUAAUCAACUCAACUUCAAGCAAUGAAAAAGUUGGUCUCCUGUUUCUUUUUGAGGGGGCUCUGUUUUUGUUGGUACCCUGUUUCUUUUUGAGGUGCUCUUUGGCCUACUUUGUUUUCUUGGAGUGCCUUUCCUUAUUUUAACAUAUUGCUAUUUACUCAUAAAAAUAAAAAAAAAGCAAUGGAAUUUACAAAAAAUAAAAAAGAAAGUGCUAAUGGAAAUAUAGAAUUCAUUUUUAGUUAGAAAACAUUCUGUACAUAAGACUCUGCAUACAGCACAUAAGAACCACGAAAGGACAUUAUCAAUUUUGACAAAGAAAUUUGUGAUUCUAUAACUACAUUAAGUGUUUAAGAUGUUCACAAGCUUAAAGAAAAGCUGCAAAAGGAAAUUUGCUGUAUUAGAAAGAUGUUUUAAUGUAGGGUGUUAUAGUGCUUCCCAUUGUAGCGAUUUAUAAUACAAGUCUCCAAUAAGAUACUGAUCUUAAUUUUAGGAGUUGAUCUUAAUUAGUAGAUAUAAAAUGUUCUAUUAUUUGCUUUAUAGAUUCAACAUAUAAGUGUAUUUGUGUAAAAUGGUGAAGGUUCUUCAGCCAACCAUUAAUUACUAUAAUUGGUUGACAUCAUUACCUUUCUUUCAGGUUUGAGAUGCCUUUCAAUAUAUGGUGUGGUGGAUGCAAUUCUAUGAUUGCAAAGGGUGUGCGGUUCAAUGCAGAGAAAAAGCAAGUUGGAAAUUAUUAUUCUACUAAGGUAUCCUAUGCAAACUGAUUCCAGAUUCAUAACUGCCUCUUUCAUGUAGAAUUAUUGGGAAGGGUGAGAGUGACCUAAUUGAAUGUUUAGGAAAUAGGUUGUUGCAUGGUUUUGAAGUGUGGGCCAGGGAGGGCGAAAUAUUUUAUCAGGCUAUGUCAAAUGUUUCCCAUCUAAGCCGUGUAUUUGUAAUCAUAUUGCAUAAAAAUAGUAUUGCAUGAUUUUGAGAAUGGGUAUCGAAAUGCAUUUAUCAUAUAGUUAAUUUGCAUGCAGAGGAGAGCCUUUAUAUUGUUUCCAAGUUGAAUAUUAAGGUUAUGACUUGUUGAAUCUUUUUCUUCUUUGGUUGUAUGGUAAUAAUCUAGUUUAUAGGUUGUCAUGUCUCUGCCCAUUUCUACAUAUGAUGAACAUUUUGUAAAGUUGUACACUUAUUUAUGUGCUGCUGUGUUAUCACUGAUACUGGUUUUAUAUCUUGAUAUCCUCGAACAGUAAGGAUUAAUUUGAUUGUCAUGCUGGGGUUAUGCUAUCCUACAUUUGUGUCCUAUAUUUGUAUACUACUGAAAUAUGUCUCUGAGCUCAAACUAAUUAGUUAUGUAUUUUUAUGCUAGUCAAUGGGUGCUUACUCCUGUUUGUGUUUGGCUAUUUCUCCUCCAGAUAUGGAGCUUUACCAUGAAGUCUGCAUGCUGCAAACAUGAGAUUGUUAUUCAGACUGAUCCAAAAAACUGCGAGUAUGUGAUUAUCAGUGGGGCUCAACGGAAAACGGAGGAGUUUGACAUUGAGGAUGCUGAAACCUUUGCACUCCCCGCAGAUGAAGGUUGGUAUUAACGUGGUCCAUUUUGUUGUAUGGUUUGUGUGUUGGCACACACGUAGCAAAUCUGGAGUAUAUAAUAAAGGGAAUAUUAGGAUAAUAAGGACUCUGGGGCAAAUAAUAAAAUAUUUUCUUUAUGCAUUAUUUUCUUGAUUAUUAUUAUUAUUUUUUGAUAGGCAAGCAUUAUUUUCUUGAUUAUGGCAUCUCAUUGUUAGAUCACCUACUAGUAUUUCACAAACUAAUGUGAAACGUGAUGGACUUAUUCAUUCACUCCAUUCAUUCUCUACGGGAUGUCUGAAAAGCUUCUUAUUUCUUACUGUUUGGAUUAAAAUGCCAACAGCUUAAUUUAAUUCUUUGUUUUCCAGAAAGAGGCAAGCUUGCAGAUCCAUUUUACCGUCUUGAACAUGAGGGAGAGGAUUUGCAGAAGAAGAAAGAAGCUGAGCCAGUUCUAGUUCGCCUCCAGCGGGUAUCUGAUGCUAGGCAUUCAGAUGACUAUUCCCUUAACAAGGCUCUCCGGGCUCAACUUAGAGUAUGCUAUCGAGCUAAUUUUUGGUUCUUAUCUUCUUUUCUCUUCUGCAAGAUUUUUUAAAAAAUUUCUGUUAUUUCAGAACCAAAAGAAGAGAGUUGCUGAAGAGGAGUUUGUCUCGAAGAAACUUGGGCUUGGCAUUCGAUUGCUACCAGCAACCGAAGAAGAUGCAGCUAUUGCAGCACGCAUGAAGUUCUCUUCCAAGUUUGAGAGGAACAGGAAGGAGAAGCGAGCAUUAAUUAAUGCUGCUUCAAUCUUCCCUGGGUCAUCUGGGUCUUCACUGUCUGAUAAGAAACGUUUGGAACUAGGAUCAAAGAGAAGGAAAAUCAAGGCAGGCACAGCAUCUGAGUUACUGACAAGAGGAUUUAAACCGUCGUCAUGGUUAAAGAGCUCCGUAUCUUCGAGCCAGAGUAGGGGGAUGUCAGUGGCUUCAAGACACCUCUAGGUAGCAAUUGUUAAGAAAGUCUUCAAACAGCUGUAUUUCUUCAGAUGAGAUUUUAAAGGCUGCCCGUAUUUUCCUUGUUCAAAUUGGCUGUGGAGCUUAUAUACAUAUAGGGAUAGCCAUAAUUGAGGAUUAUUUUACUCCUGGGUUCUCUUUUUUAUUUUUUCCCCUCACCUGCCCUUCUGUAAACUAUUGUUCAGUAAAUGUGGGUGAAUCCAAUACUGAACUUGGGUGUGGUAUAUAAAUAUAAUAGUGUAUUGGCUUCUGUCCGUAACUACUUUUAAACAGUGAGAACUGCAAUAAAAGAUGGCUGUAGGCAGUUCCUUAUUUAAUGUUUCCGUUGUCAAUAUUUGAUCCAAAAGGUAAAGAAUUACACUCUCCAAAUAAUAGUAACCAAAUUUCGAAAAAAAUAAUUAGUCAAGUCAUAUUUUGAAAGUGUAUAUUGAAUGAAGUAAACUAGUUUUUUAAACAAAACCAGCCUAAAGGAACAUUUGACAAAACCCGAGUGGCCGAUGAGGGAGAUCUCACACACAUACCAAAAAGGGCAUAAAAUGAGGGGGUAGAUCGAUCAUACACACAUACUAAAAAGGGCAUAAAAUGAGGAGUAUCAAAUAUGAUCUGGGCAUUAAUUAUGAUCAAAGCACUUGAGGACAAAAUGGAGGAGGGUUUACAAAUACUUUUUUAAUUAAAUUAUGAUAAUUUUUUUAGGUUGUUUAAUAAGUUUGCAUUUUUAAAAGAAAAAAAAAUGAACCAUUUAUUUUUUUAUCUAGAAAUUUCUAUAAUAAUAUUUAACUCCUUUAGUUAAAAUUAUUUUAAUUAAAUUAUGAUAACUUAUUAGAGAAAUAUUAUUUAAAUCAAUUUUUAGGUUGUUUUCGAAAAAAGAUAAAUAUUAUAAUUAAAUAAAAUAAUGAUGGGAUGCGAGCAUGGUAAGUAAGAUGAUAAGUGCAUUUUAGGGCCAAAAAAGUUCACAAACACAAAACAAUAGUAUAUUAUUAUUAUGGGAAUUGAAUACAAAUUUAAGAAAAAUUAUUGUUUAAAAUUUGGAUUUGGAAAAAACAAAUUAAUUCAAAACAAUUAUAUUUUUUAUUUAUUUUAUUUUAAUCUAUAAUUUUUUAUUUUUAAAUAAUCAUUCUCCAAAUCAAUUUUCUUUUAUCAAAAAAUUUCUUUUAAUAAUAAUUAAAAGAGAAGAAUUAUCCAAACUAAUUUUUAAUUGAAUAAAUGAAAAUGAAAAUUAUUACUAUUACUACUAUUAUUAUUAUUAUUAUAGAAUUGAAAAAAAUAAUCCAAAACAUAUUUGUAUGGUUAAUGUUGAAAUAAAAGAAAACAAUGCUUAUCAUUAUGUAAAAUUAAUCAUAAUGGAACAUAAUUAAUUAUCACCUUUAAAGAGGAAAAAUUAUAUCAUUUUAAAAUAUUAUGUAAAGUUUUAAUUAAAUUAUGAUAAUUUUUUAGACUGUUUGAUAGGUUUGUUUUUUUUUUUAAAUAACAAAAGAAUCAUUUUUUUCAUCAAGAAAUUUCCAUAAUAAUAUAUAAAUCAGAAACUAUUUUAAUUCAACUAUAAUAUUUUUUAAAAAAAAUUAUUCAAAAUCAAUUUUCAGAUGUACUUGAAAAAAAGAUGGGAAACAAUAUCUAAAUUAAUUAAAUAAAAUAAUGAUAGGAUGAAAUUUUAUUUCAAAGUCGAUUCUACAACUUCCAUUAAAAAAAUUUCUUUGACUAUUUUUUGUUAUUAGUUUUAUUUUAUUUAAAUUAUUAAAAUGAAUGAAAUUUGUGUUUAUAAUUUAUCUUCUCAAAUUAAUUUUCACUUAAAGCUUACCUUUUAUCAGAUAUUAAAAUAUUUAUUAUUAUUAUUUGAUUUCAAUCUCUCUAUUUUUUUAGUUUUCUAACAUAAAAUAUAUAAAGCGAUAAAAAAAAAGAAUAUAAUUAUCUGAUUUUUUUGUUAUAUUUUGACAUUUUCGACGAUACUACACGCUGGCCGUUCGAUCUUGUCAUCUCGACGAUUUUCUGGAUAAAAUAAAAGUUUUUUUACCCAUUUUUUUGCUGUCCGAGUUUCUUCCUGCUUUUCGUUUUUGCAGCGAUAUAACUUUGAUCCCUGGAAGUAGGAUGUUUUGGAGUCUUAAUCCAAACAGAUACACAAUGGAGCUGCAUGCAUCAAACGCAUGGAACAGGAGCUGGUUCCCCACCUGGAAAGAAAGAAAAAGGGGGGGUUAUUGUGACUGAGAAUACAAGGGUUUAUUCUAAAUCCCAAAAUAUGCCCGCUGAGAUCCUCUUUUCUCUGCAACUCACAAGGACAGUUCAGAAAGGGCUAGCUCCCCAUGUAUUAGUCAUUUAUAUAAACAAUUUCCACAGUCGACCCUGUCACACAAUUAACUGAUCAUAAGAUAAAAGAAUGGGGCUGGUUUCUUAUAUUUUAAUCUAAUCAACAUGUAUGCUCCAGAGUUAAAACGUAAUUAUGUAUAUAGAAUAAAUAACGGUGAGUGUGAAAAGCGUAAACCAUGCAGAGAGGGGGACGGUCUGCAGUGGAGACUGGAGACUGUAGAGUACGUACGGUACAAAAGAGACUGAAAUUCGGGUCUUUCAUCUUCAGAGAUUGAAAAAAGAGAGAAAGCAAAGCGAAGCAAAGCAAAGCAAAGCAGAGCAGAAGAGAGAGAUGAUAAGAAGUGGGGAUAACAAUUACCCUACAUUACGCUAGAGAUUGUUGUGUCCCCUGUUUGGGAUUUCUUUAGAUAUCCAUGUCCUCCCUCUCCCUCACUUUUGCUUCUGCACUGGAUUUCUCAUUUUAAUAUACUGCAUCGCUAGAUUCAUCCACCGAUUCCACCCUCUGUGUAUUUAACACCAGAUCUUCGUACUCUCUAUAGACUAUACCACCUAACACUGCAACCCUAUCACGCAAGUGAGUCAAAACAAGCAAAUCCAAGUAACUAACCUUGUAGAAAGAGAGACAGAUUAGCCAGUUCUCUCUCAUUUAUUAUUAUUAUUAUUUUCACUGGUACCAGGCCAUCAUUAUUAUUCACUCCCUUAGGAUCUGGGUUUCUUGUGCCUCCCUCUCUGUCUCCCAUUCCCUCUCAUGUUUCGCUGCACUCCCUUCCUCUCUUUUCCGCGUUUGUCGCUUUAACAGUCCACCUCCGUGAUUUCCUUCUCCUGAACAGUCUCUUUCUUUGUCGUUUUCCUUUUAUUUUUUCUCCCCCCACUCUUAUUGGUACCGCGUCAACAUCAAUAUCACAGUUACUGUUUCCAUUGUUUUAUGGGGCUCAUGGUCUUUGCUUGUGGACUUCAUUUUCCAAAUAUGGCAACGAAGCAACCGGCGUAAUUCAGAGGUACACUUCUGCAAGUUGGAUGCCCUUCCCGGUGAGUUGAAUCAGAACCCUGGAACCAUGUUUAUUCUCUCUGUUACAAUCAUCUUAUAGCUGGUAGUUUGAUUGUGUGUGUGUCUCAUGAUUGGUUGAACAAGUGAAAAUGACCCACAUCUCCACAUUCAAGUGGGUCCACUGUUGUCUGUAGAUUUCCCCUUGUUUUGAUCUAAAUCAUACAUUGGCAAUGAGUGACUGAUUUGUGGCGAUGAUUGUUUGUUUUGGAAACUGACUGUUCGUUUUGGAAACUGACUGUUCUGAAGAAGACAAUGAUACAACUGUGAUUGGUUGAAAAAUAGGACUUCAUUCAUGACUGACCUUCUAUAGAAGUAAGAACACAUCAUUCCCAGUUUCGCCUUUCAUAAAUGGUGGAGGGCGAUCACUUAGAUUUCUCUUUGUCAUGGCUAAACCUACACCUAAACCUAAACCUAGGGUAAAUGAUAAGACUGCUUCCAUCCCCAUUUGUCCCAGAAUGAAGUACUGUGAUUUUUGAACUUGGCUUCCUUUCUUCUCCUCCCCAAAUAUUCUUAACAGAGAGUAUCAUGUUUUCAUGCAUGCAUUCACAGUGCAAUUUUUUUUUUUUUUUUUCAUUUUAUUUUAUUGAAAGCUUAAGUAAUGACCCCAACUGUUUAAUCAACCACAAGAUUUAAUAAUUUAUGAUUUAUCCGUCAUGUUGCUUUCUCCUUUUUUCUAUUUCUCUUACGUAUAAAGGAUAUAUCUUCAUAUAUAAAAUUUAAAGGUUGAUAAAGACAUUGGAUUUCCCGAUUACCAGUGGUAUCAGUCAGUAAGGGGACAAUAAAGUUGUUGCCCUUUUGUUAACUUUAGGCAAUACGGACCCUGCAACCACAUACACCGAUGUAGGAGGAUUGUCCUUUGUUUUCUUCUGGUAGUGAUAAUAUUUGAAAAAGAAAAUGAUAACAGUCUUCAGAGUGAAUCAGAUGAUAACCCUUUUAAAAAAGUCAUGAAUAAAAUAGUAUAAUUCAUCUUGAAAUGAUUCUAAAAACUAAUGGCACUCAUAAUUUUUGUUUGGAAGUCAUGUGAAAAACAGCAUUUCUUUUUUCUGGGAAAGCAGUUCUCUGCAUGCAUUAUAGCAGUUAUUCUUUGCAGAUUCUAAUGACACCCACAGCAGUUAUUCAGCAGCAUGCAUGUCAUAGAGGUUAGAAAAAGGAGAAAAAGUCAUGGAUCUCUAGUAAACUGACCCACUAGUAACUAGCUUUUUUUUUUUACCUUUCCUUUUUUUCCCCUGCAAUAUGCUAGAACUCAACAAUGUGAUAAGGAGCUCCUGAAUACAGACUGUUGAGCUAUGGAAUAAUUGGAAUCCAUUGAUGAACGGGUGGUAUCUGGCUUUGGGCUUAGUGCUAAUUGCUUUCUUGUUCUGCAUUUCUGGUAUAUGUCCAUGGGGCAUAGGAGUUGUAAGAAUUUCUCCCUUUCCAGUGGGCAUUUGUCAUUUCCAAGGUGUGUCUGGGCGUCAGGAUAUCAGAAAAGUGGGCUUGAGUUCUACAUGAUGUGAGGGAAAACUUUCUAUACUGAGAUGCCAAUGUAAAUCAGCAGGCUCAGUGAUUGAUAUGAUGGAAAAGCUUUCAGGAGAUAUGGUGUAUGGUAUGGGUACGUACUGCAUUUUUCUAAUUUAUGCUUUUGUCCUUGUUUUCCCCGUGUUGGGCAUAUUUUGAUUGCGAUGCUUCUCAAUCAUGAGCUUCCAUAGGAAAAUUAAAACACAAAACUAGUGAUUAACAUGUAAGUGUUGAAGCAGCAGAAUUUAGUCGGGUCCCAAUCCACCAGGACCAUGUUUGUUUUCCACUCCCUUUACUCUUCAAGCUCACAUCUGGAUCAUGUUGAAGAGAAGUUGGGAAUGGGUUUAAUGUGGAUUCUAUUAUGGGUUUAAUAUGAUCAUACUACACUCCUAUAAUGAAAGAUUUCUGUGAAACUAGCUAUAUAUGAACCAGACUUUUGUCUUCCUUGGCUGCUUUCUCUUUUCUUUUUUUAUUUUUCAUCCAGUGUCAUGUGUCAAAGAAUGAUUUUUUUCUAGCUUUGUUCAGGGUCAAAACUGAAUUAUAUAUAUCAAGCGCUCAGACUAGGUGUACCAAAUGGAUGGUAUGGAGUUUUUGACGAGUGAAAGGAAGAGGAAGAAAGAUGAGAUUGGAGGACAGAGAAGUUGGAACUUCAAAGCAUGUACUUUCUUCUACCAUUAUCUGAUGGGCCAUGUCAAUCCACAAGGCCACUACAGAGGAUCCAGUCCAAGUAGAAAUGAGCCUUUCAUAGGACCCAUUUGAUGGUCAGUAAGUAGGGCUCAAAUUUGCUUUGUGGCCCAAUUUUGUUUGGGCUGGACUUGUCAUAGUUUGGGUCAUCACUUUGUGUGAAGUUUUAGGAGUCUAGUUCUAACACCCCUUCAUGGCCUCUUUUUUUUUUUUUUUCUCGUCUCCCACAAGCUUGAGUAGGUCAUCUCCUAUAAAUCAAGGUUUUCAUAUCAUGUUACGUACGUUUUCCUGUAAAUGAAAGCUUUACAUGACCUUCUGUGAUAAAGAGAAAAAAUAUUAUGCAGGUAAUAUUUAUUAUCGUAACAUCUUGAAACAUAACAAAAUCCAUGAAACAAAGGUUUGGGUGGUGUUAGCAGAAUAAGAAGAGCAAAGUGUAGCAGCUAGCAGCAGUUUCUAUUCAAAUUUUCUGUGGAAUUCCUUUCUCCACUGAUAUUGAAAUUGGAUGUGUGGGUUCGUGCUUUUCUCACCAUAUUUGCAGUAAGGGUUUCUCCAUUUUGUUCUACAACCCUAAUACAUCAAUCUGUGUAUGCAUAUAUACGUGUGGCUGUGAUCUUCAGGUUAAUGCAACAUGUGUACAUUUUUGUGAGAGUUGGCUUUAUUUAUUUGGAAAAAUAUGUAACAAUAUUUACCUGGAAAGGGAAUACUAGUAUACAAGUAAAUGUUCUACCCUUCCAUCAUGGUGUCUUCUUUGUGUCACAAAUCUUGAAUCUGUUUAGAGUUACUAAAUUAUCUGCCAAUUCUCAACAAUUUAGAGUAUCUCACUGUUAAAUCUCUAGAUAGAAUUAUUGACUGAAGGCCAGGUAUGUCCAGCAUGAAAAAUAACCCAUGGAUGCCAGAAUUGGCAUCUUUUUAGAAGCAUGACUGAAGAUUUUUCAGUUCCAUUCCUGCCAUCCUCUAUUAAUAAGGAUGCUAUAUUAAUCAUUUGAGUUUAUUUAACUCUCAGCCAUUUUCUUGUUAGUUGUCUCAUUCACUGAAAAAAGAUUUAAACUUCAUUUCUUAGUUCAUCUCUUUUCUUCACUAGGUCUGGGAUGUAUAUUGGUUAUGCAAUCAAACCCUACUUUAUUUGGUAUAGUAUGAGAUAGACUAAGAGAUGGGAUAACAUGUCAUAUCCUAUCAGUCAAAUUUAGGAUAAAAAAAUAAUAUUAGUUAAGUAUGGGAUACAAAAAAUAAUGAGAUAACUUAACCCACCUCUUUUUUAUAUCCCCAUAUAAUAAUACUUUGUCCUAUUGAUAAUAAAUUUAUUCCUUUGGUUCAUUUUCUUCUUCUUCUUCUUCUUCUUCUUUUUUUAAUUUUUUACUGCUAUUUUGUAACAAAAAAAAAAGUUAAAAAUAUUCAGUUUUGGCUAAAAAGAAUUAAAGCAAUGUGAAUGGUAAAAUCUAAAAUAAUAACAACACAAUAUUAUUUAAUAUAUAGAAAAUACUUCUUAUAUUUAACAACAUUAUGUAAUAUUUUUAUUUGUAAAUUUUAAAUGUUUUAAUCAUAAAUGAUUAUUAACAAAGAAAUAAAAAAUUAUUUAUUAAAUUAUAAAUUGUUGAUUGAUUUUCAAAUAAUAUUAAAUAUGAGAGAGAUUUCAUUUUUUUUUAAUAACAAACAUAGGAAUACAAUUUAUUUUUAUUUUAAAAAUGAUCAAAUAGUGAAAUACAAUAUGUUUUCCAUUCCAAUUUUUAUUUUUCAAUAGAUUAAACAUGGACAUCGAAUAAUAUUUCCUAAUAGAUAUUUUCUACAAAUCAAACAUGAAUAUAAUAUUGCAUACCUCAUUAGACAUAUUAUCAUAAGAUAUUAUUUUCAGGAUGUGAUGUCGAAGAAUAUUAUGAGACAUGCAUAUCAUAUUCUAUCCUGUUAAUCAAACUUAGCCUUAGGCAAAUCACGGUAUUUAGGCAAUCAAGUGUCUAAAUCUGAUUAUAUUCUUUUCUUCCAUAAACAAACCUUUUCCAAAAAAACUAUUGGCAAACAUAUUACUAGCAAGACAGAUUAAUUUUAUCUAGUGAACACCCAAUUGAUAUAUGGUAAUCAAACUUAAACUUAAUUUCUUCAAGGAGUUCACUCCUGAAAAAAGUUGGUAUAUAUAUAUAACCUGAGCUCAAAUCUUAUGUACAUUUGAUAUUUUAGUUCCAUGUUGAAAUGUGAGUAUUAGAGAAAAAUUAAGAUGGAGACAAUGACAAUGAAGCUAGGGGCAGAGCAGGAGAAUGACAUUAUUUUAUCACAUCUAUGUUUCAGAUAUAUUCAAGUAUCUCCAAAGAGUCUUACAGCAAAAGGCUAAAAGUCUUCCCACUAAUCAAACUGGAAAUCCAAGAAUCCAUUAGUUUUGUUAAGUCUGCAUUGAAUUCCUUAGUCCAUUCGUUAUCAAUGUGCUUGAUAUUAUUAUGCAUGAUGUAAAAUAUAUCGAUAACUAGUAACCUAUCAAAAAAUAAAGAUAUAUGGUUAACUAGUAGAGUGCAGUCCUUGAGUUUCUGUCUGCUCCCUUGUAUAGAAGCCCACACUCGACCACUUUUUAAUUUGUUCAAUGAGAUUUGUGAUCUCUAGGUCAAGCACUAGGUUUAAUUAAUUUUAUCAUCAUCUUCACAAGCAUAGUAUUUGUGGUUUGAUUGUACUAAGUGACCUGAACCCUACUGAAAUUAAUAUAAGCAAGCAGUUAUACGCUAACUUUGCAUUUUCCAUUUACUAUAAGUAGGUGAGAUACAGUAUGAUUGGCCUCCAAUUUACUGAAGAUAAUACCGUAAAGGUUUGAAGGUUUGUAUAUCAAUAUUAGAAAUUAGGAACAUGUUCAUAGACAUGGCCUAGGCAAGACAAAUUUUAGGGUAUUGUGGAGAAAGUAUGAUUGACAAGAUGGGAAGAACAAGGAGUGGUCUAGGAGUUUCAUAUCAUCAUUCUCCUGGGCAUGAGGGACACUAUUUAGUAUUGGAACUUUUGAUAUUUUUGUCUGCUGCACUUUAGCGAAAGGAAUUUUGACUGACUCUGACAUGAGUGGAGCUGGUUUUGUUAGGUUACCAUGAGCAUGACAUGACAGAGAGAGAAGAUAUUAGGUCAUAAAAGAAAAUUGGUGCUUCGCAUGUAUAGUGGUUUUAAGUUUUCCGAGGAAGGCUUUCCACCGAAGUCGUUUAAAUGGAAAAGAAGAAGAAGAAGAAGAAGAAGAAGAAGAAGAAGCAUCACAACACUUGGCACUGAACUAGUCGACCGAUAUAUAAAGGAAAUAGCUAUAUCAAAGGGAAAAAAAUUGCAGAAACUUGUGGAAAAAUUUAAUCUUGUCUUCCUUUUGAUAAACCUAGUGGUUUAUCUUCAGGUUUCAACUUGGAAAAAGAACUUGUCUUUAAAUAACUAGCUUCUCUAAUGAUCUUUUAGAUACUUCUUUAAAGUUCUUUGCUGCUUCUACUUUACAAUAGACACAAUGAUUGUCUGUCAUUAACAUACGCUAGGUUAAUGGGGAUGUACACGCUUCAAGUUAUCUGUCACUGGGAUCAAAAUAUCAGCUUCAGUAUAUAUGCUUUUACCCUAUAUGAUUGAGCAAGUUUAUGCUUCAACUAUUUAGUGCUAGUUUGUGGAUACAACAGCUAAAUUAGUGAUAAAAAACCAGAUUAGUCAUUACAAAUAAUAACAAAAACAAUGCAUAAUAGGAUUUGAACUUUUAGAGAAAGGGUUCAUAACAAUCUACUUCAUAGUAGAGCUCAAAUUGACUGAUGCCAAAUCAUCUUUAUCCUAUUUUUCUUGGUGAACAAUCAUAUGGUUGGUCUUAGGUACUCUUCACUUGAGACAAGCUUACUUUAUUGAUAAUUUCUUAGAUGGAAUGGGGGCAAAGGUUUUUAUGAAAGUGUGAAAUGGGGGAGAGAGAGAGAGACUAAUCAAAACGAUUCUCACAACAAUCCUUAUCAAAUUUGUAUGACUAAUCGAUCAAUUAAUCCUGGAUCAUUAUGUUGGAACAGCAAGAGGGUAGAUAUUAUAACUUGCAUAACAUUGAACGUUUUUGCAGAUUUAAAAUCCAUGCAGAGCCCUCCAAUCACACUGAUUGCACAUAAAGGGCUUUUUACAGAACCCAUGGGAGUUUCUUAAUCAGUAAUAUUCAUAGCAAUUUCUUCCAAAACUUAAUUUCCUAGAAGAGGUUAUACUUUUGCUAGAACAUUUGGAUAGUGUCCUCAAAUAAUUUUGAAAUUUUUUGAAGUAUCUUUUUGCUCUAGCAGGUAAAUUGUUUAUCUAAAGAACAUCAUCACAAUGCUUAGUGCCAGCGACUACAAACUGCUAAAGAAUAAAUCAAUUAUAACCUUAAGAUAAUCAACAUAGUCAGAACCUCUUACCUGAAACCUGCUAAUUUCUCUCUUUGUUUUUCAUGCUUGAUUAGCGUGGUUUCCUUUUGUGUACAUGUUUUUGCCUUAAUUAGGAAUCUUCUCUCCUUUGGGUUCCUCUGUGAAAAGGAUAUGAUAGGUAAGGAAUAUUGCUUUAUAACCCACAAUCACCAUGGUCGACUGGUCGUCAGUUGUAUAACAGUUUAUUAAAUAAAGGAACCAGGGAAGUUUCAUGGGAGUUUGUGUGCUUGGAGCUUUUAUUAUUUGACACAAAAGAAAGUAAAUGUUCAUAAGAUAACCAUUGGUUGAUCCCCUCUUUGUCUAUGUAUAAGAAACUCAGUUUCUACAACUAUCUUAACUUUAUUUACGAAAAUAUUUCAACUAGAAUUAGUACAAAAAAAAAAAAAAAAAACAAUAAAGAACAAAUAAAGAACUUACUACCUGGAAGCACAUCUCGCCACUGACAUCCUUGUUGCGCACCUACAUCACAGAUGAUGGGAUCGAGUGCUUCUGAUGCUCAUCUAGCCUGCGAGGCUGUGAAACCUCCAGGAAUCUUUGAGUAGGUACUUCUUGUUGCGCUUAUCUGGAGUUAGACAACAAAAAGAAGGGAAAAGGUAAGAAAGAAAAAAAAAAUGACGUUUGAUGUAUGUUAUGGCCUGCCAUAGUGUCUUUGUUGUCUCUAUGAACUGCUUAAGACGUAUAUUCCAGUCCCAAAGAAGGGCAUCAAUCGCCAGUUAAACCAACUACAACCAUCGUAUGGGUGUUGGUGUAUGUCUGGAUGGUCUUCUUGCUUGGUUUUCCCAAUUCUUGAGCUUCAUGCCUUUCCUAGGAUGCAAGAGAAAACUAAUGGCACAUGAAAGAAAUCUACCUACUUUGUGUGCAUAGACACUCAGACGUCUGAUAUACCGGAUUUUCUCCUUUCCUGGGAUGCAAGAGAAAACUUGCACAUGAAAGAAAUCUACCUACUUUGUGUGCAUAGACACUCAGACGUCUGAUAUGCCGGAUUUUCUCCUUUCCUAGGAUGCAAGAGAAAUCUAAUGGCACAUGAAAGAAAUCUACCUACUUUGUGUGCAUAGACACUCAGACGUCUGAUAUACCGGAUUUUCUCUGACACUCUUAUCGUUCAUGUGAAUGCCUACAACAUCCUUUUGCAGCGAUUUCAAACUUCUACUGUGAACAGAUAUAAUCGAGAGGAAAUAUUAAAAGAAAAAUGGUGUACAAAACAGAUUAGUAUUUUCAAGUAGCUAGCUUAUGCAAUUUUCAUUUGUGGAGCACAUAUUUGGUAUUCCUGCUCAAAUUUAAAGUUUGCUCAUCGCUAGCUACUUGUGUUACUAUAUCUGUUGUGAGAGUGAGUGAAAGAUAUGGAACUGAAAGAAAGCACAGAUGAUAAUUAAUAUAAUAGUAAAAAUGAGAUCGUAAUUGGUACGACCAAAAACAAAAGGAUAAUAUUUAAGACAUGGAACAAGCAAGGAUGACAUUAACACAAAAUAACAUCUAAUUGUUUAAAAUUUCAGACAAGAAACGCAACAGAAAUCCAUCAGAACACAAGUCUGGGAUAGCUAAACAGUUUUCUGUUGUUCACAAACUUCAAAAAGCUCAAUGUAAUCCAUAUUAACAUAGCCUGUGAUUUUUGUUGCCAUCCAGAGGAUUACGGGAGUUUUGGUCUUGAAACUGAGACUCCAGUCGACGAUUUGAAGUGGUCAUGAAUAGAGAAGUAGGGUUUUGUUGUCGGACAUUUGUGGUGGUCAUGAAAACUGAAGUAGGGUUUUGAUCCUGAAAGUUACCUGUGGAUGGACCCAUGUUUGUCAUUGCAGAGUAACCGGAAUGAAUUCUACUAUCGUCUAUGUCCCAAUUUCCAGGAAAACAUGGAAAAUUGUUGGAGUUUACCCCACUUGAUACUGCAAUGUUGGGGGAAUAAUUGAAAAUGGAAGAUGAUGUUGAAGAGCUUGGAAUGCCCAAAAAUUUCUCAAUGAUGCCCACAGUAGCCAUUUGAUGUUCCAGCGAGUGGGUGCUGGGUUCUUCUACUUCAGCCACCACUUCGAGGGAAGCACUCAUUUCUUGGCUGCGAGAACCCGAUGCUUCACCAGUUUCGAGUGGACUGGAAGGGACUAACUGUUCCAAAUUAUUAGGGUUUGCUUCAGAACAUUGUUUCGACUUUUCAAGACUUCUCAUAAUCAUUUUUUCUCUUGUUCUUUCCCUUGCCCUUGCCCUUGCUUUCUCGCGAGAUUCCUUUGCAAGAGGAUUAAGUGCUGAUUUACUACGAGGUUUUCUGUUCUUUUUCUCUUUAGGAGUUGUCAGUACUGAAGAUUCACCAUUUGUCACAAUGCCCUUGGGCUCUCCAUUGUGGGCGAUCUCCUUCAAUCUCGAUGUUCCUUUGCUUUCGGAAAUAGAGGAUGCACUCGUUCCACCACUAGUGCCACCACCACCAAUGUGCUUUAUUUGUGGAAGAUUUCCGGUGAGUUCCUUGAUUGCUGCUUUGGACUUGGUGAAGAGCCAUUCUAUGGUUUUGCUUGCCUUAUCAAAGCCCAAUAUGUCCUGGAGAUCAAAGAACUUACGGGCAAUUUGGAGGGACAAUCUCAUUCUCCGGUCUCUUGGACCUUGUGCUGUAUAGAUCUUGCUGUGCCGGUCCUUCUUCCCAGUUCUCUUUCUGGGGACAGACUUCUUCGCACUAUCGCUCUUCUUCAUCGGCGGGACUUCCAAAGGCUCCUGCUGCUGAUCAGCUACAACAUCGCUACUUGUCUCCUUGUCCACACUUGUUGUCUUGUUUGAAGCUGCCGCGUUAAUCUCACUCUGAUCACCUUGGGCACCUGAUCUGUCUACUAACAUGAGUUGUCGUUGUGGUAAUAAGUGAGUUGGAAUGAGUUCAUAGUCAUCAAGAAACGCGGCAGGGAAGUGUAGGAAGGAUGAGGGUGGUUGGUCCUCUCCUGAGUUAGGGUUUUCAUCAUCGAUGUAGCGGAAAGGGUUAGAACGGUUGCUGGAAGGAAACAUCCGCAGCGGGUGAUGAAGACAAGUGGGAGUCCUUUUAACUCUGCAAGUGAUCAGAACAAGUGGCUCAGGAGGAAAUGGAAAUAUGAAGGGAAAAAGAGAGGGGUAUUCGCUUUUAUGCUGUGAAAUAAUACAAGUUGAGUAGUACUUACUGAUAGAUAGCCUGGGCGGCGCCUGAGAAGGAGGUGGUCGUUGUGGUGGUGGUGAUGGUGUGGGGCGUGUUAAAGCUGGUGGAGGAAUAGGAGGAAUAUAACACAGAAACUGGUAUUUAUUACGGACAAGAGCUUUUCUUUUAUCUUCAUCUUUUGGAGGAAAAGUGAACCGUGGUGCAAUUUGGCCCAUGACAGAGAGACUAGAGAGAGAGAGAGAGAUGCAGUGGAACAGUGAGAGUGAGUUGAUACGAAACGCAAAUAGUAUAAUAGUGACACUUCACGUGGGAGCAGGUGAGAGCUUGAUAGUAACCCGUCCUUGAGAGAGAGAGAGAGAGAGUCCAUUUGAAAAUGCCUGCAGUAAGUAUAAGGGAGCUAUGAGGUGUUGAGGAGGAUAGAUAUGGGCACAUCUAUGCAAACCUAGACAAGGACAAUUAUUUCAAUGGAAGAAGGCAUGUGCAUAUCAAACCCCCCUUUUCCGCCAUGGAAGGCAAUGGCUCUUUGACUGGACGACCACUGUCACUUUCUACUCAAAAGAGAAAAACCCCCAUGUCUCCUAUGUGUAUUUUUGCAUCCUUAGUUCCUCCAGUUACACCCACCCACCCGCCUGCUUAUGCUUAUGUGUGAUUCCCAUAUAACCACAAGUAAUACUCUCUCUCUCCAUCCGCUUUGUCAAAAAAGAGUCAGCACUCAUUCGUACCUUUUCCACUGCCAUCAUGUUCACGAGACCAUCUUCAAACCCAUAAAAUUCUUCAUAUACCUCACAUCCGCAUUUCAUGUGAAAAUGCAAUGGUCCUAGACCCAAUUCCCCUCUUUCCGGAUCCCACCCUACAAUUUCCUUUUCCAUUUAUACAUGCCUUUUUAUUUUCUUUCCAUUUAUACAUGCCGUCGUUCUUUCCUCAAUCUCUCCAUCUGUACCUUACCUCCGGGAAGGGCAUAACUCCGAGGAACCAACUAUACUUUCUAGGACAUGAUUCCAGUUGAAGGGAACAGUUAUAAAAGGUCAUGGUUGAGCCCAUUAAUAUAUUGCUCAGGGCCUUUUCAUUUCCUUGUAUAGCGAAAUCCCAGACCAAAUACUGCAGCUGCAUAUAUUGUUAAACUUUAAUUAGGUACUGGCCAGCGGACAAUUUAACUACAUUGAAUUUUCUGGGGAAGUUCUUCCUUCCAUGCUUUUCUAUAUUGGUAAUUACCACUUAAUGUCAGUUUUCAAUACUUGAUAGCAUGUAUGAAAUCACAUCGUUGGUGAUCAGUUAGAUUUGUCUAUAGAUGUAUGAAUGUUUUAUAAUAAUCUAGAAUACCCAUUAAGUGAUGCUGGAGAUGAGUGGAGAACCUUAAAAAAGAAUCAGGUGUCUUCUCUUAUCAUUGAGUAGCUCAUGAGAUUAUUAAGCUCUCAUAACCGGCUUUUGAAAGUCAAUUCGCUAUCAGGUUUACUGUCAAGCAAUAAUUGUUUCUCAAAAGCUGAACAGAAUAGAUGGAACAUUGUGCACAACAGUCUGUUUCACUCGCACAAAUGCUAUCUGAAUAGAUAAAAAGUAUAUAAAAGACCAAUAUUUUCAUUUCUUUAUCCUUUUCUGGUUGUGGUGGAGUUUGAUGCUAAUUGAACAGUACUAGAUCUGAGACGCAUACAGCCAGAAGUAUCAUUUUCAGGAGACAACUGAUUAAUUGGUAGGUUUGUUCUAUGUUUUUUUCCGCACCUUUGUGAUGUUUGGCACAACCACACAUGUAUCAUGGAUGUUCGUUUUUAUAAUAUUUUACAAAUGAAGCACCCAUUUGGUGUUUAUAUAUGACCUUUUCCAUUUCCCGAAUACCUGGAAACUUGCUUACCCUACUUAACUUUAUGAAUUAAGAGUCUCACCGAUGGUGAUUAGUUAAAGUCGGGCUAGUUUCAAUUUGGACAAGAUCCACCCACACCCAUGAAUCUUCUACAUUGUUUCCCAAACUAUGGAUUUUUUAGCAUAGCUCAUUCACCCGUCAAGGAUAUAGUACUGCAUGCUAAGAAGGUUGAAGGCUACGCCGUUCAGUAGAUUGAAGUUGGUUUUUCAUUGACAGCAAGAUUUUUUAACCGAAUUAAGAGCUUGUUUGUUUUAUAGUGAUUUUAGUAAACGUUUUUAGCCCUUUCUUAACACUUGAAAACUAUUAUUUUAAUAAAAAUUUUGAAGAGUUAGAAAGGUUAUAAGCCUUCCUACCAUAUUUGGUCUACUUAAAUCAAUGGGUUGGGUUUGUGCAUGUUCCCGAAUUUUGAUUUGUAUAUAUAGAAAGAGGGGUCAGAAGGUUGCUUGAUACCAAACAGUGGGUCAAGUGCCAAGUAUGCGCUAAAUGGAGACCAUUCAAUAUAAAUAGACGCGUGCAGUACCUUCAUAAUUAAUAAACAGCUGUUUAAUGUCUUAAUUGGUUAAUCAAUGUGCAUAAGCGUUCUGCCAACUUUUUAUUAACUCUGUUCCAUCGACUUCAUUCUUUCUACUUUUCAUCCAUAUCUUAGUCAUUGCAAGAAGGUUUUCAAACAGAGUGCUCAUUAAUGUCAACACAUCAUCCGUUCAAUGUCAGAGAUCUUGGAGCCUCGAGCUUUAAAAACAUGCUUUUCUGCAAUUUCGAUGUCCCCAUGCAUGCACCAGAGCCAAAAUUCUUGAAGACUGCAACCAGCAUAUCAGGCUCGGGUUCAACGUAAUCAUCUAGAAUUAAUCCUCUCCACGCUUUCUUGGGGUUUUGCAGUGCCCAAAAAUGAUUUCAUCUUGCCUAAUUAUUAAAACCAGACUUCUCCUUGCUAAAAGCCAAAAAUGCACAAGCACUUUCAGCAGGA